rnacentral:lncRNA from 1 species
UCACUUAAUUUAAUAUCACAAUAAAUCACCUAGUGAUAGUUGUUUUAUUUAUAAUAUGAUAAUAACAACCACCUAGUGGUAGCUGAUUUAUUUAUUACAUGCUAAUAACAACCAUGAGUUGAUAGUUGAUUUAUUUAUUAUAUGCUAAUAACAGCUAUCAGCUAGUGGUUGAUUUAUUUAUUAAUUGCAGUCUUGUUCAUUUACUUCAGUCUUUUUAUUUAAUUAUGUUAAAUCAUAUGUGAAUCCUAAUUUGUACUUGUACUCACAGAAAAUAAACCUAAGAAUUCAUCAAAGGAAAUAAAAGAUAAACGACAAUACAAAUAUUGCGUUUUGUUUUGUCUUAUUUUUUAAAAUUUUAUUUUCAAAUAUAUACGCAUGCAUGAUAAAGAUUCACAAUUAUAUAUAUAUAUAUAUAUAUAUAUAUAUAAUCCGUCGAGGUGUUUUAGUUGACUAGCUAGUAUAAACUACCAUCUACCAAAUCGUUAUUAGCUAACGAGCUAGUGUAAAUUUUCAUCUUGGAAGCUAGUAUAAACUAUCAUCUAUAAAAUUGUUAUUAGUAGAGGAACUACGAAUGUAAACUAUCGUCUAACAAACUGUAUUAGUUGAUGAGCUAGUGUAAAUUACUAUCAUUUACCAAAUAGUUAGAUAGACUGUUGGCUACAGUCAAAUGUGUUUUGGAUCAAUUCCUAUAUAUGUGUGUGUGUGAAAAAUUCAUGAAAAUCUAAAACUUAGUUGUUUUGGUACUAUUGAAUUGAUUUAUCUUUUCAUCUUUAUUUUUUUUUAAUUUACUACCCGACCCAAAUCUUUUCUCUUCUCGUAUCAAUAGUAAGUUUAAGAUUGGAUGAUAUUUUUGUCCCUUCAUUUUUUGUCAAUUGAGUCCUUAAAGUGGUCAAUUGAUGUCAAUUCUGUCUCUUUUCUCCAAAUUAACCCAAUUUCUUCUAAAUUGAAGUACAUGCUCGGCAUAUAUAUGCGAUUUAAGUUGGGGCAAAAAUGUCUCCUAACACAAUAAUAAUAAUAAUAAUAAUAAUAAUAAUAAUAAUAAUAAUUCAAAAUUAUCUAAUGAAAAGACAUAAUUUAAGCAGUACCAUCUUGUAAUUUAUGUAAUCACUUUAUUUAAUAUCACAAUAAACCAGCUAGUGAUAGUUGUUUUAUUUAUAAUAUGGUAAUAACAAGCACCUAGUGGUAGUUUGAUUUAUUUAUUACAUGCUAAUAACAACCAUGAGUUGAUAGUUGAUUUAUUUAUUAUAUGCUAAUAACAGCUAUCAGCUAGUGGUUGAUUUAUUUAUAUAUCGUGCUAAUAACAACCAUCAACUAGUAUAUAGUUUCUUGAUUUACUGUUGAUCGGAAGAUUACUGAUCGUUCAUUUAGGUGUUGGUGGGACUAAUGUUAACACCAUAGAUAACUAAACCUGUCUUCAUAGUCACGUUUUCAGUCCCGUCAAGAGCAAAUAUGAUAUCUCCAUAGUCAAACUUAUUGAAGAAUUCCCCAGCUUUGAGCGAAAAUGGUGUGUUUCUCGGAUAAUUCAUCAAUCCAUAUCCGUUCACUUGCGAGGAUCCAUUCGGAAGAGUAAGUGUAAGACUCACCGGACUUGCUAUGUUAAAGUUGUCUUUCAGCAGCACCACAAAAGAUACCUCAUAAGAUAAAUUUUCAAGCUUUUCUGUCAUAUAGUUUCCGUCAACAUGUAGGACUAAGCUACCAAUUAAUUCAGCACUGUCAGGACUGUACAAAAUGAUAGUAGAAUUAAAGUCAGAAACUUUUGAUAUAAGGAGCUUAAAUUCAUUAGGUGAUUUUAUUGAUUUAUUUAUUUUUUGCUGGAAUAUUUUUAAUGCGAGUCCUUCUAUCUAACUAGACUUCAAUAAAAUUUCUAUAGUCCUUCUAUCACUUUAAUUUAAUGACAAAGUUGCUUAUAUAUCCCUAUUUUUAACUGAAUAAAAUUCAGGUGUUUAAACACAAAUCUUGACCUUUGACGUCAAUUAAGUUAACUAAAUCUUAUUUCUACUUACGUAAACUUCCAGCCUGAAGGGUUGGCAUAAUUGAGUUUACUGGCAGGUACAUAAGCGCCAGAACUCUGAAUAAGACGAGAAAAAAAAAUUCAUAUCAUCCAUUACAAAAAAAUUUCACUUGCAAAAUUUACAAAUAUUAAGGAUUAUUUUUGUUCUAUAGCCAACUUUAGCUAUAUAUAUGAUGUUUGUUUACAAUUUCAGUAGACUUACCUUCUGGCCUAUUCCGCCGUUUUGGAGCAACUCCAUUUCCUUGGCUUGGGACAACAAUGCCUUGAGGUCAACCUCAUUAUGCCUCACUACUUGUGCCAUCUCCUCGAUCGAUCGAUAACUAUCCUUUAAUUCUGCUAUAUAUAUAUAUAUAUAUGUAUUUUCUGUUUCUAUUCUUGAUGUCUAUAUAUCUCUCUUCCAAAGGCUAGCUCUAUUUAUACUGGCACAAACAGAGGGUACUGCGAUUAUUAUAUCCCAUAAUAUCCUAUCUUCAAAUAUUCCUUCCCUUUUCAAAGUAGGGAUCCGAUCCUGAUAAGUUUAACAUCAUCAUCAUCAUCAUCAUCAUCAUCGCCAAGGAUAUAGAGCAGCAGAUUCUGUUUAAUAAUUUUGUUGGAAUAAUUCUUUUCCAUUUCCCAGUUCAAUAGUUCUUUCUUUAGCUUGUUGCGCAGGCAAAAUUCCAUGAAGGCGAAAGGCACGUAGGCAUACUAGUUGUGGGCAAGGAAAUUGUACCUUGCUAGGGUUAGGAUUUCGUGUUGGCUGAGGAGGAGAGAAAUUCACGAAGAGCACGGAAUUGAUUGGUUGAUUGAAGAGGGGAGAACGACAGGUGGGCGAUUACUCCAACGACGUGUGGCAGAACCCCUAGAAUCCAGGAACCGUGUUAGGGUAGUAGGGAUUCCAAGAGCCUUCUUGAGUCCUUCGUUCUUGAGAGAAUGUCUAAACCCCUUUUAGUGCUUUUAGGUGGAAUCUCCGAGCCUUUAAGUCACCAAAAAGGGUUCUUUGAUCUUCCGAGAGUCCAAGUCUUGAGUCUAAAGAGAAGUCUCUUUCCCAAUGGAAUGGAAGGGUAUUUAUAGGGUUUUCUGGAAAGUAGUCAUGUGCGAGGCACAUGCUUUCAGGGAAAUUCCAGAAAUGCCCUUUAGUCAUUAGAAUAAUGCCCAUGUUGCCCUGUCCUUCUAGCCACCAAUCCAAUCCCUCAAUUAAUUCCCACAUCGAGCCGCCUCCACGAGUCUUCUGCCUCGGGACACGUGGAGGCUUCUCCCGGGUCUAGCACAUUUAUUUAUGACUUUUUCAUCUUCAUUCCAUUCGGUUAUGCGAACACUAAUUUGCACAUUUAAUGAGGCCGUGGAACCCUAAUUGCGCAUUUAAUUCAAUUAGGUCAUGUGAACUCUAAUUUUACACUUUGGCCCACAUUUGCCCCCUGCGCGAGAGUCGCAUUUUCAAAUAGACGAUCGUGCAAGAAAACUGCAAGCCUUUGAAUGAUUUUGCGGGACUUCACUUUACAUGUCUUGAAGACAAUAGUCCUAGAAGAGGGAACUCCUAGGGAGCCAAACCCUUAGAGUUAAACCCUAGGAAGGCAAGACCUAGCGAGGCUCUUCCUUGGACAUAUUGAAAAAUCUUCUGAAAUCUUUCUGUAUUUUGCCCAAUAUUUAUUUCCAAUUCCGCAAGCAGAUCAACUGUCCGAGCAGCCUCAAUACGAACAGAAACAGAUUCCGAUAACUUGGAAUGGAAAAUAGAAUUAAGACCAGGCAAAACAUUGAAUAGAGCGAUGUAGAGAUCUAAAAUUUCAAACAACUUGAGAAACGAUGGACGGGUACUACUAACGCCUUCUGCAAAGUUAAUCAAGUGCAAGGCGGAUUCUUUAACUAUACCCAUAAAACACACAUCAAAUGUGGAGUUACCAAGUCCACUAAAGAUUUGUUCACAGAGUUUCUUCUCCUUUAUGAAGAGAUCUUCAAAACAAACACGAGAUGCUCGUAUCCACAAUUUGAUCUUUGGUGCCAACAUAUCCCACUCCAAACUCCGGAACUCACCGAUGCUAUAUUUACCGACGCCGAGGUGUCGAAAUUCUGCAUCCACAAUCAACUUCCUUGAAGUCCUGUAGAAUUCAACGCAGUCGCCAACAUUACCGGCUGAGUUCAAUCGUUCAAUGAUACUCCUAAAACCAUAAACUUCGUCAAUAUGUCCAUCAUCCUGUAAUUCAUAGCUAAAAGUAUCGGUUAUUGUACUUGAAAAAAUGGUAGAACUCCUAUCGGCCAAGAAAGCAUUGUGGACUCUGUUGGUUUGUCGGGUCAAUAUGACCCGAAACUCUAACGGAAGGGUUUCCAUGCCCGUUUAGAUCAUGUUUUGAUGCUUUCAGUUUGGGGAUCUGAGAUUAUUCUCGAUCGUCUGAAGCUCGUCAAAAGUACUGAUCAAUCUCAUGGCGGUCUCCGUCGAAGUCGAAGAUGAUGAAUUUAAUAAUUCCGCCCGAAUAUUUUGUGUUCUACCAAUUCCAUUCAGACAAUACAAAAGAGAUAUAUAUAUCUGCCUAAAAAUUGAAAACCGAAAAUCAUCUCUGAACAGCAGGCUUUGAAAAUUACUCCUACUAGUAGUUUAUAAAUAUAAAUACUUUGAAGAUUGUAAGAAGUUCAUAGCCAUCCACUAGUAAAAGUACUUACCAUUACUAAUUGAUGUCACGUUACCGCAAUUAGGACGGAGAGAGAAAGUCGGACCAACUCUUUUUUUUUUUCAAAUCAAACAUUAAUUUUUUAUUUCCAAAAUCAAAUCUUAAUUUUUAUUUUCAAAAUAAAAUCAAAUCUUAAUUUUUUAUUUCCAAAAUAAAAUCAAAUCUUAAUUUUUUAUUUCCAAAAUAAAAUCAAAUCUUUCUUAAUUUGAAAAGAGAUUUUUUUUUUUUGAAAAUGAAAUAAAAUAAAAUCUCUCUUUUUUUUUUUUGGCAAAUCAAAUCAAAUCAUUUUUUUUUAUCAUUCACGCAAAAGAUUUAAGUGCAUGAAUAAAAUAAAAUAAAAAUGCAUGAAUUUAAGAGUCAUAUAAUCUCACAGAUCUAAUGAAGGGGAAUUGCCACAUGCCUACGACAUUCUCUAUGAAAAAAAUGAUGAAUUAAGGCAAAACGAGAUCCAAUCAUGUAUUAUUUUUUUUUUGAAAAUAAAAUAAAUCUUAUUUUAUUAUCUUUCAAAAAAAUAAAAUAAAAUCUUAUUUUAUUAUUAUUAUUUUUUAAAAUAAAUAAAUAAAUAAAUAAAACAUUUACUUAUCUUAUUUUUAAGAAGUAAGGAGUCGAUGAGAAUGUCUUGUAUCCAUAUUGAAGCCUUUGAUAAUUCUUUGAGCAAAGAUGAUUAUAGCUUUUUGAUGAUUCUGACAUCUUUUAUAUGAGACAAGUCUUCACAUGCUUCCGAUUUUUAUUUGCCAUAAAGAAAGAAUCCAUUAAAGCUUCACAUGCCAGUUGCCACUCCUCUGUUAGCCAACAAAAAAAAAAAACAUUGUUUUGCUGCUUUAUUUGGGUGUUAUAGCCACAGGCAAGCCUCUUUCUAUCCACGCCGAACCCUACUGAUUCAAUUUUUUAUUAUUUUUUUUUUAUUAAAAAAAAUCAAGAACUUUUGGAACACUUAUAUUUAGAAGAAGCUUGUACGUAUGGGAAUUGAUGAUCCAAAAACCCACAACCCAAUUCUUAAUCUCAGUUUCUUUCUUGCUAAUCUUUCUCAGUUGAUGAACCCUUUGGAUAAUAUUAACGAUCCUCUUAGGAGGUUGCAAUAUUCAGAUCCCACUCAACUACUAGCCAAAAUCCAAAUUUUACAUAACCUAUUGCAGGCCAUAAAUGUGAGUCCUUCUUUCCCAAAUAUUAAAGUAGUAAACGUGAAUAAUCUCUUGGGAUCAUAUAAUUAUCUUAGCCAAUUUGAUGGAGUGAUCACGAGUGAAGCUAUCAACCCCAUGAUUAAUCCUAUCCCCAACAACCGGCCUUUAAUAUAUAUACUCCAAUCCCAAACUCAUUUGGAUUCUUUAGCCCACAAAUAUUUAACAAUGUUAAUAGCUUAAGUGGUGUUGCAUGCAAUAUUACUCAUCAAACUGAAAAUCAGCUUCCGGAAAGUUCCAAUACCAAGGAAAUGGACAGUAUGAAGCCUACAAACAUCCCCUCCGGUUCAACCAACUCUGACAAUAUCUUUGAGGUUUUGGAGAAAUUUGUUGAUUGUGAUCAAGCCAAUAGUACUUCCUUCUUGCUUCUUUUUUUUUUUUAUUCAGGUAACUCUAGUCUUUCUUUUGUCUUCCGAGCCCCAUUACCUUGAUCAUAUCUUGGUUUUUUCCCUCGGAUCAUAAAGAAAGAUUGGUAUUUUUUUUUUCUUGCAGGCCCUCCCUGUUGAACAUUCUGCAGACUUGGGAACAACCAAGGAGGCCCCGUUUCUCAAUAAUUGGGGAAGGGAUCCCCUCUUUUGGUCUUUCCGACGUCUUUUGAGAGCGAGUCUAGACUUAUAAUCGUACAACACUUCCUCCGCCAGAGAAGAAAGGCGUGUUUCUUUAUGUCGCGGCUUGCGGAGGUUUGGGUGACUUCCUCCCUUCCGAUCGCAUUCUCCGCAUGUGCAUAGAGAAACAAGAAUAGCCUUUCAGUCCCUUUCGCUUCCUGUCUGACUCAUCUGACCGCCUUCAAGGAUGGCAACAUUGGACCGACUUCCCGUUGUGUGCUCUUCUUCAUACACAUUCAUUACUACUUGGGGGGGAAUUCACCCCUAUUCUAGAGGAUGUCUCUGCCCUCCACCAGUAGGUCGUACUUCGGUUUGCCCCCUGCACGUGAGUCACACCUUUGGUGGGACAACCGUGCAUAAUUUCUCCAGCAUUGAAAUCUUGCUACAAAUUUCUUAAUGAUUCGCGGAGCACGAUGGUGCAAGCCUUGAACAUAAAAUCCCUAGGAGGGGAGACCUGUAGGGGGCGAGCCCUAGAGAAGCUCUCCCUGGCUAUCUUGGAAAAAAUCUUCUAUCUUAUCCUUCCGAAUAUUACUUUCUUUUGGAAGUUCUCUCAUUUUCAAAAUUAAGAAGUCAACGAGAAGGCACCGAGUGAACAUACUUCAAAUUGGGGUGAACAAGCGAUGAAGGAGAUCUUUCCUCUAGGUACCCGAAUCCUGAGCGGCUUCAUUCUGGAACAUUGAUUAACGAGCUAGGAGAAGUAAAAGGUAAGAGGGGAGAGCCUCUGUAGGUGUUUGAACCCCAGGGGCCGAACCCUAGAAGACUGCCUAUUCCUUCACUCUUUUUUUCCUUCUUCCUUUCACUUGAAUCUUGGUCGUGUCCUAGCUUGGUUCCCCAAUAUAGUUGAUCGGAUACAUCUUCAUAGGACCCUUCUCCAGAUUUUCUUGCUCGAUUGUCUUCUGAGACUUAUUCUCGAAAUGCACAUUCUCUCUCUAUUAUCUGUGAGCAGAAGACUUAGAGGUGUUUUAGUUGUGAAGUUGAUGACUUCUCGAUCCUUCUUGGGCCUUGACAUGUCUCCCUUCCGUGCUAAGCUGGAUCUCUUCACUUUCAGUUAUCAUGUCAUUGCACUUUGUUCGGAGGUCACUUCACGUCCUCAUGAGAAUGACUUUCUUUAUGUAAGGGCCUCAGGAGCUUCAGGACGUCAUGGAUAGAUUGAAGGCCAAGCUUCGGGAAAUUGAUUCAUCUGCCCAAGACCUUAAGGAACUGUUAGCCUGAAGUUCGAAAGGCUCGAGAUACUGCCAUUGUCGACUUGGAGGCUUUAGCUAUGCCCCCAGUUCAGUUUGAUGUAUCAUGACCUUUGGAUCAUGACUUCAUGUAGCUUUUAUUUCUUCCAUCACUUUUGAAGAUAAAGUGUAUUAUCGAGGAUUUCAGGGUCAAGUGUCUCAAUCACUUUUGAAGUUGAAAGUAUAACUCUUUUUUUUUUCUGGAUCGAGGGCUGAUUAAUCAGGUGCCUCAUUACUUUUGAAGUUGAAAGUAUAACUUUUUUGGGUCGAGGGCUGAUUAAUCAGGUGCCUCAUUACUUUUGAAGUAGAAAGUAUAACUUUUUCGAGUCGAGGGCUGAUUAAUCAGGUGCCUCAUUACUUUUGAAGUUGAAAGUAUUUUUUUUUUGGGUCGAGGGCUGAUUAAUCAGGUGCCUCAUUACUUUUGAAGUAGAAAGUAUAACUUUUUCGGGUCGAGGGCUGAUUAAUCAGGUGCCUCAUUACUUUUGAAGUUGAAAGUAUAACUUUUUUGGGUCGAGGGCUAAUUAAUCAGGUGCCUCAUUACUUUUGAAGUAGAAAGUAUAACUUUUUCGGGUCGAGGGCUGAUUAAUCAGGUGCCUCAUUACUUUUGAAGUUGAAACUAUAACUUUUAAGAAAUUUGCUCUGAUCAAAAUUUGAUGUAUUUAUUUAACGAUCAAGAUAUAAUACAUUUUUUUUUCAUUUUCUAGUCUGCUAGGGCAGUAGCUUAUUCAGCAUUAUGCUUCUUAUUAUAGUUCGAUUUCACCUGCCGCUAAUUUUUCAUGAUAAAUUCUCCUCAAAUUACGACAAUUCAUGAUGGAAUGUCCUGGGUAUUGAUGAUACACGCAAAAGUCUGAUCUCUUCUUCAUCUCCUCGGUCACAACAAAUCUGGGUUUUGGAGGCUUCACCAUUCCAUUUUCUACCCAUUUCUCAUACAAAUCUUUAAAUAUCUCCUCACCACAAGUGAUAGCUUCGGGCUCUAGCGAAUUUAUAUUCUUUUUGAUUCUUUCCCUCUUGCCCCCCUGUGGCUCUGACUGAGAGUCUGUCAAAGCCGUAGUAGCUGUCCUCUUACUCUUCCAGGUAGCAAUCGGAUGGUUCACAGAUACUGCCAUAAUUUCUCCAUGGUCCUGUGCAAAGGUGGAAAGUGUCGCAAAGGAAUCACAAGACUUAGUGAUCAAGUGGGGCUUGAAGGCGUCGAGGGCGCCGUUGUUGCAAAUACUCACUAAAUUCUUCUCUUCGAUUGGCUCCACACACUUCCGCGCCUGGGCCCGAAAGGUGGAAAGUGUCGCAAAGGAAUCACAAGACUUAGUGAUCAAGUGGGGCUUGAAGGCGUCGAGGGCGCCGUUAUUGCAAAUACUCACUAAAUUCUUCUCUUCGAUUGGCUCCACACACUUCCGCGCCUGGGCCCGAAAUCUGUCAACAUAAUCAGAUAACUCCUCAUUCGAAUUUUGUUGAAUUCUCAUAAGCUCUAUAAUUGACACUUCCUUCUGAACAUAAAAGAAUUUUUUGAAAAACUGGUGUUUCAUAUCAUCCCAAUCUCGAAUCGAACCCUUCUCCAAAUUGUAGUACCAGCUGAAGGCACCGUUAGUGAGCGUCUUGUUAAACUCCCUCAAUAGAAUAUUGUGGUUGCUCACUUCAUCUAUUCCCAACCACGAGGACAUCGACUCCACAAAUCUUGCAAUAUGCUCUCUCGCAUUCCCUUUCUCUCCACUAUACUUAGGGAACUGAAGUGGAUGUUCAAUGUACCCAGCAGGGUAUGGCUGUCUUCUCACAUGCGCCGGGUAUGGUGGGGUGAAAUCCAGUUCCGCAGGCCUGACUGUCUGUCUACGCAUCUGAUUGAUUACAUCCAUCAUGUCUUCCCUUGUCGCAUAUUGACUGGUUUCUGGAGCCUUUUGGGACGUCAUCGCAUACUGGUUUAUCUGAGGUGUAUGUGGAACACAUGUUGAUGCACACUUGCCUCAUGUAAGAUUGGUUGUACUUGCUGGAUUAUUGGUUGUAUAUGGCUUGGGAUGGUUGGUAUCUGCACUUGUGAAAAUGCUGGGAGUGUAAUCGGGAUGAUGUUUAGCUGAGGCUGGCUAGCUUCCAAUCUAAGUGGUGGUACAUCACCACUGUUCUGGGGCUCCAAGUUGAUGACUGGAAUCGGCUGACUCUCCAUUGCUGGAGGUAUAAUCUGAUUCUCUUUGUUGUUGUUGUUGUUGUCCUCCACUUCUCCUGCUCGUCCCCCUUGCGAACUUCCUGGGAACAUGGUCUUGAAAGUGGGGAUUUGCAUCAACUGCUGGCAAAAAUUCUCCAUUUCUUCUUGCUUUCUCUGCAUCUCUAGCAUCAUGGCCAUCAUCAUCCCUUGCCCUUCUCGUGCUUCUUUCAAUGCUUUAAGCAUCUCCAGUUGCACAGCAUUCGUCUGGUCUCCCCCUGCAUCUUCGCCUUGCCUUCUUGCAUUGGUUUGUUGUUGAUUGGCCAUAUGUGGUGAUGUCGAACUCCCUUCCAAAGCGUCUUCAAUAAUUGGUUGGUCAAAAUCCAGGUUUGCGCCUUGGAAAACUUGAGUUACUUGUCUUGGAACUGGAUCCGGUGACGUAAUGCUAUUUGUUGGUGAAGCAGCUCUUCCUGUAAUUCUCCCACUUCGAGUCGUGGGCAUACCCUUCACGAAUUAUACACCUCCCCAGCAGAGUCGCCAAAGAAAUGUGGGCAAGGAAAUUGUACCUUAGUAGGGUUAGGGUUUCGUGUUGGCUGAGGAGGAGAGAAAUCCACGAAGAGCACGGAAUUGAUUGGUUGAUUGAAGAGGGGAGAACGACAGGUGGGCGAUUACUCCAACGACGUGUGGCAGAACCCCUAGAAUACAGGAACCGUGUUAGGGUAGUAGGGUUUCCAAGAUCCUUCUUGAGUCCUUUGUUCUUGAGAGAAUGUCUAAACCCCUUUUAGUGCUUUUAGGUGGAAUCUCCGAGCCUUUAAGUCACCAAAAAGGGUCCUUUGAUCUUCCGAGAGUCCAAGUCUUGAGUCUAAAGAGAAGUCCCUUUCCCAAUGGAAUGGAAGGGGUAUUUAUAGGGUUUUCUGGAAAGUAGUCAUGUGCGAGGCACAUGCUUUCAGGGAAAUUCCAGAAAUGCCCUUUAGUCAUUAGAAUAAUGCCCAUGUUGCCCUGUCCUUCUAGCCACCAAUCCAAUCCCUCAAUCAAUUCCCACAUCGAGCCGCCUCCACGAGUCUUCUGCCUCGGGACACGUGGAGGCUUCUCCCAGGUCUAGCACAUUUAUUUAUGACUUUUUUGUCUUCAUUCCAUUCGGUUAUGCGAACCCUAAUUUGCACAUUUAAUGAGGUCGUGGAACCCUAAUUGCGCAUUUAAUUCAAUUAGGUCAUGUGAACUCUAAUUUUACACUUGGGCCCACACUAGUAAAUGAUGAUUUUCUUCUAACCAGAAGUAUGAGCAGGUUAAAAGUAGAAGAAUAAGCAUCUCGCAGGCCAAAAAUCAAUAAAAAAACGAAAAGAAGAAAAAGAAAAGAAGAAGACAGCAAUAGCAAGACCAUAUUUUUCUUCUUCUUUCUUUUUAUCUUUUCUUUCUUUCUUUUUUGUUUCUUUUUAGACGGAGGGUUUUAUUUCAUCUUUGAAAAUAAACCUAAGAAUUUAUCAAAGGAAAUAAAGGAUAAACGACAAUACAAAUAUAUAUUUUUAUUUUAUUUUCAAAUAUAUACGCAUGCAUGAUAAAGAUUCACAAUUAUACACACAUAUAUAAUAGGCUACAACCAACAAUCUACUAAACAAUUUGUAAACCAUCGAGGUGUUUUAGUGACAACCUACCGUCUACCAAAUCGUUAUUAGUUAACGAGUUAGUGUAAAUUUUCAUUUUGGAAGCUAGUAUAAACUAUCAUCUCUCAAAUUGUUAUUAGUAGAGGAGCUACGAAUGUAAACUAUCGUCUAACAAACUAUAUUAGCUGAUGAACUAGUGUAAACUAUCAUUUACUAGAUGUAUGAGCAUGUUAAGAGUAGAAGAAUAAGCAUCUCGCAGGUAAAAAAAUAGGAAAAGAAGAAGACAACAAUAACAAGGCCACAUUUUUCUUUUUCUUCCUUUUUAUCUUUUUUUUUCUUUUUUGUUUGUUUUUAGACGGAGGACUUCAUUUCAUCUUUGAAAAUGUGGGUAAAGAAAUUGUACCUUAGGUUUUCAUGUUGGCUGAGGAGGAGAGAAAUCCACGAAGAGUACGGGAUUGAUUGAUGAAUUAAAGAGGGCAGAAGAACAUGUGAUCAAUUACUCUAAUGACAUGUGACAAAACUUUUAGGAUCCGAGAACCUUCUUAGGGUGCCAAAGAUCCAGGGAGUCUUCUAGGGUGUGCUUCGGGUUGAGAGAGAAUCUCCAAGUCUUCAAUCUUUCGAAAAGCCCUCUUCUUCAUAGAAUAGAAGGAGUAUUUAUAGAGUUUCCUGGAAAGUGGUCACAUGACAGACAUAUGACCUCGAGCAAAUUCCAAAAAUACCCUUAGUCACCAGAGUAAUGCCCAGAUCGUCCUGUCUUUCUAGCCACCAAUCCAAUUCCUCAAUCAAUUCUCAAAAUGAGUUGCCUCCAUAAGCCUUUUACCAUGGAGGCUCUUCCUUGAUCUCAUGAUACAAAGCUCUUAUUGCUCAAACCAUGCUUACUUGCUCUUCCUUCUUUAUUUAAGAAUCUCGUCGCCAGAAAUCAUCGGAAGAACUCUGCGCAAGACCCGGGAAGCCGCGUGUUACAAACCAGUCCCACAUCGAAAGAUAUGGAAAAAAAUUAGUCUAUAUAUAAGGAAUUAUGUUACUACCAAUAAUAUACUUUUAAGUCAUGACCUUUUGGGUGAGCCUGUGGUGGGAUAAGAUGACCCAAUAAUAUACUAUUGGGUCAGUGGUUUAAGGCCUUGGGAUUCGGACUUGGGAUUUGACCCAAGAUUUGUUUUGGGCAAUUUUACUCAGGUUGUUACAUAUGGUAUUAGAGCCGACUCUCGAAAGCUCGGGUCGGAUCAUCCGAUCGGGUUGCCGGAAGUGGGGACACGAAACCAGCCGAUAUUAUCCCACAAUGGCUAAAGAGGCAAAGAUCUGUGGAACGUAUAUGUGAUCGAUUUUGAUGGAGAUGUCAAAAAUUUAAGUGGGGUAGUUUAUAACACCUCAGUCCCACAUUGAAAGAUAUGGGAAAUACUAUUGUGCAAUGAUUUAAGCUAUCCAGCUAUAUUGUUAUAGUUUGGAUAUAUUCCAGUAUGAGAAUUAACAAACCCUGAAAUGGGAUAUUUUUAUUGCACUCUGGGAGUGGUGACGUUGAACAUGGAAGUUGUUCUGGAUAAGAUAGUAUUGAUUAAUAAAGGGCAUAUAUAAAGGGCUGAUCAUCCAUCGUGCUCAUAAGAUAAGAUGGUUCACAAAUAAAUUUUUAAGAAAACCUUUUCAAGAAAAGAAAAAGCUUGUUCACGGUCUUAUGACCUCUCAGAUGUUCAAUAUUGAUAUGAUAUUCCAGGAAUAUGAAUGAUUCAAGAUUUAAUUGCUUUACAGUUUUGUUUCACUGUUAAAGCAUGUCUCAAAGAAAACAUUUAAUUAUUGUUAAGAUAUUAAAGAAUGCUAUUACUUAUUGAGCAAUUGAAUGCUCAUUCUUGUUUUGUUAUAAAUGUUUUCAGCUAAUCAGGCUCCAACGGAGGGGUCUAAUAGAGACAAAGGAAAAGGAAAAGCUACUGAGUAGUAGGUAUAUGUUGUAAUAAAUAGUUUAUAUGUUUGUAGAUAUUUAACUAUCAUGUAAUAAGCACUUAAUGGUUACGUACCUGGUAUUAGAAGAACUCUGAUAUAAUAAAUCUAUCAAGUUUGAUAUUAUAUUAUGUUGAAUGCUUGAUAUCUUGAAGCACUGAAUAAGGGUUUAAAAUACCCGAAUUUGGGGGCGUCACACGCCCGAUUCGCCUCCUUUGCGUAUGUUUAACAUGCUCAUACAACUUGUCUAAUACUCCAUUGAUUAAUUCUAAGUAUCAUUAUAUUUCAUAACUUUCAUGUUUAAUAACUUAGAAUAACAUAUUUUAUCGUCAAAAGCAUCCACGUAGUACGAGCAUGCCCGACGCCCUCCGAUCGCCUCCGAUCGAAUGCACAAUAGUCCUAAAAAUAGCCAUUUUAGCCCCUUCUCCCGACCUCAAAUCUCAAAACUUAUAAAAUAAAAGUUUUAGGUCAACUUCUAAUAUUUUCGAAUCAUCUUGAAUCACCUCAAUCAGAGUUCGUAUAAAAAGGUUAUGCAUGUUUUACUAAAGAACGUCAAAGCUGACUUUCUGCACUUUUGGUUCAGCGCCCAUCCUAGGCCUAUUUCCAACGCCCCGGGGCUGGACGGCAGUACGUUCUCAGCCAAAAACUUCAAUUUUCAAAAAUCUUCAGUUUUGAAUGAUUUCAACAUGUCUACUUUGAAAUAUCAUAAAUUUCUCCUCCGAUAUCGAAAUGAGCUCGUUCUUAAUGGGUUGAAAAGCUUGCAACACCCUCUACAAAUUUCUCAGGACAAAAUAAUUUUCUGGAUUCUCUAACAAUCCUUUAAACUUUCUCAAAAGUCCAUCGAGACUAAGAUUUUUAUCAUUCAACAUACUUUACCAAAAUUUUCUGCCAUGACUUCGUUUUAACAUAUUUUUACUCCGUUCCAAUUAGAAUAUCUUCAUAAAUUCCUUAUCUAUAAAUCCUUAUUCCCGAAUUUUAUUUAUUACAACCCUAUCAACAAUAUUAAAAUCCAAUUUAAGUACUCUAAAUAAAUAAUGUCUAUCCUUUAAGCUUUGGCCUACGAUUCCAUUCUUGUUACCACUUCUUAUGCAAUUUAACAAGUUAUUUAUCAUGAUCAAAGCACACAUAACUUUAUUUACUCAAGGUCCUUCAUACUCUUUCAUUAAACAACCAUCGCCAACAACUAAUGAUUCAAGAAAGACUUCACAGAAAUGAAAAGAUGGAUGGUUCUUACCUUCUUAGUUAUUCUUCUUCUUCCUAGCUUAUGCUUUGUUAGCAUGAUAUACAUUGUUGGGCCCUCCAUCUACCAACUUAAGCUUUUAAGAUAAGUUGGUUACUUAACAUGGUAUCAAAGCUUUGGGUGUGCAAGGUCUUGGGUUCGAAUUUUUCCAGCUGCACAAUUAUCUUUCUAUUAAUUUAACAGUGCAAAUGCACUUUAAUUUCUCCCUUCUCUAUAAAAAAAAGUUGCGUUUGAGAGGGAGUGUUAGCAUGAUAUACAUUGUUGGGCCCACCAUGCAUCUAACAGCUUAAGCUUUUAGAUGAGUUGGUUACUUUGCUCUUCUUUCUCUUCUUAUUGGUAUUCGGCCUCUCUAUUUCUCUCUCUCUCUCACUCUCUUGUUUUCUUUCUCUUCUCUCUAGUUUGCCCUCUCUUCCUUUUUUUUUCUUGCAAAUGAAAUGAAUUGGCUAAGUGAAAAAUCCUCUAGAUCAAUUGAAUUCUCCACUAACUAACUCAACCAUACUUCUAAGGUUAGGUUAACUCGUGUAGGGUUAGGGAAUGAUAGGAUGACACUUGUAAGCUUAAUGUUUAAGGAUGACAAGAAGAUAUAAGCUAGCAUUAAAUUAAAUUUUCACCUUGCUAGAUGAGUCACACAUACUCUCCCUUUUGCUUCUUUAAUUGGUUGGAUCACCCCUCCCUUUCUUAGCUCAUAUUUUAAUUAUCCCAUGUGGGAUAAACAUCAAUCCUCUCCCUUAUCUUACUUUUUCACCCAACUUAUCUUUUAUGAGAUAACUACUAAGUCUCAUUCCUUAUCUUUUCUUCGAUAAGCCUUGUCAUUAAUCCUUAUCUCUUCCUUGUUUUCCUUCAACCCAAACUUACCAUAAAUAGAAAGUUUCCAUCUCACCUUCUCUCUUCUCCUUGUCCAUAUUCAAAUCCCCACAUGUUUAAUUCUAGCAAAUGACACUUGCCCUCUUAUAACUUUGGCUCCUAGUUUGGCUCACUUUUUGGCUCAAAGACCAAGCCAUGGCUCCUAUCCUUUGACUCUAAGCUUAAGCCACUCAAACCUUAGGCUCAACCCUUAGCUAAGCCCCUUUAAAUUCCUAACCAAGUCAUUUAAACCUUAGGUUUGGUUAGACUAGAAUUAAUUUAAUUUCUCUUUUUCUUUUAAAUUAGUUAGAUUUCCUAAUUUUUUAGUUACAUUUUUCGUAAUAUGCUUGGUUAGCUGACAAUCCGACUUUUGAUUUUCAAAAAUCCAAUUUCGCCACCAUUCCUUCUUUCCCGAAUAAACGCUAUGUAGUUCUUCGAAAUUUUAAAAAAAACGAAGUUGGGUUUUUAGCGUGAAUAGUUUUUUUUCAUACGACUUUUUCUAGAAAAAUAUUUUAUUAGAGAUUUCAUCUCGCCUUCUCAAAUAAACACUAUGAUGUAAUUCAAAAUUCUCGAAAAAGUAUGUUUAUUAGCGUUUUUCUGUGAUUUUAAAAAUAGUAACUUUUUCGUCUUUUUCUCGAAAAAAUUAUAUUCUCCCAAAACUCCCAACACUUAUACAUAAUCACGUAACACGUAAACUAGGUCAUUAAUCGACCUAAAUCAUGUAACACAUAAUAAUAUCUAUAAAAUUUUAUUUUAUUAGAUAUUCACAAAUAAAACCUAUUUUCAAGCCUAUCUGAAUUCUCGGGUCGUCACAUAGUAUUUAUAGAGUUUCAUGGAAAGUGUUCACAUGCCAGGAACAUGACCUCAUGGAAAUUCAAGAAAUACCCUUAGUCACCAGAGUUAUGCCUAGAUCAUCUUGUCCUUCUAACCACCAUGCAAUCCAAUCCCUCAAUCAAUUUCAAAAAUGAGUUGCCUCCAUAAGCCUUCUGCCUUGGGACCCAUGGAGGCUCCUCCUCGAUCUCAUGCUUCAAAGCAAUUGUUGCUCAAACCAUACUUUCUUACUAUUCCUUCUUUAUUUGAGAAUCUCGUCGAUGGAAAUCCUCGGAAGAACUCUGCGCAAGAACCAGGAGGCCGCGCCUUAGGGGGGCAAUCCUUAGGGGGCGGAACCCUAGGGAGCUGAACCCUAGGGGGGCCUCCUUCAGUUCUUUUCGUUCGUUUCAACCUUUCUUGGUCAGUUUUCAUCAUUUUCUCAUGAUUCUUGGUCCUGUAAGAAGCCUUUCUUGUCAUAGAGAUUAUAAGGCUAAUCAUUAUUUGGAGUUUCACAAGAUUUUAGUUUAUUUUUGUAGUCCAGGCUUAUUUCUUUGUCAUUGCAUCGAUGAAACCCCUUCUAGCAUGCCAAUCGAGAAAAUGAGGUAGCAUAUGCCCUAGGGUGCCGAACCCUAAGAGGUAAUUUAGAUUUCUUUUGUCCAUCUUUUGUCUGUUUUCCUUUUUUCAUUACGAUAGUUCCAACCAAAUCCAGUCGGAGAAGAAAUUGGUUUUAUCUUUUCUUUAAGGAGAAGUCAUCUUGGAGUGGUUGAACCAUAGGGUGGCCGAACCCUAAGGGGCCAAAAUCCUAGGAUUUUUCCCUUUUUGCUGAUUUAAUGCUUCGUUCAUUAAUUGAAGUCUUGUUCAUUUACUUUCGUCUUUUCAUUUAAUUCAAUUAAAUCAUAUGUAAACCCUAAUUUGUACUUGGGCUCACAGAAAAUAAACCUAAGAAUUCAUCAAAGGAAAUAAAAGAUAAAUGACAAUACAAAUAUUGCGUUUUGUUUUGUCUUAUUUUUUUAAUUUUAUUUUCAAAUAUAUACGCAUGCAUGAUAAAGAUUCACAAUUAUGUAUAUAUAUAUAUACAUAUAGAUACAUAAUAUGGUAAAUAAUAGGUGGUAGUUGUUUUAUUUAUAAUAUGGUAAAUAAUAGGUGGUAGUUGAUUUAUUUAUUACAUGCUAAUAACAGCCAUGAGUUGAUAGUUGAUUUAUUUAUUAUAUGCUAAUAACAGCUAUCAGUUAUUGGUUGAUUUAUUUAUAUAUCGUGCUAAUAACAACCAUCAACUUGUAUAUAGUUUCUUGAUUUACUGCUGAUCGGAAGAUUACUGAUCGUUCAUUUAGGCGUUGGUGGGACUAAUGUUAACACCAUAGAUAACUAAACCCGUCUUCAUAGUCACGCUUUCAGUCCCGUCAAGAGCAAAUUUGAUAUCUCCAUAGUCAAACUUAUUGAAGAAUUCCCCAGCUUUGAGCGAAAAUGGUGUGUUUCUCGGAUAAUUCAUCAAUCCAUAUCCGUUCACUUGCGAGGAUCCAUUCGGAAGAGUAAGUGUAAGACUCACCGGACUUGCUAUGUUAAAGUUGUCUUUCAGCAGCACCACAAAAGAUACCUCAUAAGAUAAAUUUUCAAGCUUUUCUGUCAUAUAGUUUCCGUCAACAUGUAGGACUAAGCUACCAAUUAAUUCAGCACUGUCAGGACUGUAAAAAAUGAUAGUAGAAUUAAAGUCAGAAACUUUUGAUAUAAGGAGCUUAAAUUCAUUAAUAUAGUACAAUUAAUGCGAGUCCUUCUAUCUAACUAGACUUCAAUAAAAUUUCUUUAGUCCUUCUAUCACUUUAAUUUAAUGACAAAGUUGCUUAUAUCCCUAUUUUUAACUGAAUAAAAUUCAGGUGUUUAAGCACAAAUCUUGACCUUUGACGUCAAUUAAGUUAACUAAAUCUUAUUUCUACUUACGUAAACUUCCAGCCCGAAGGGUUGAAAUAAUUGAGUUUCUCAGCAGGUAUAUAAGCGCCAGAACUUUGAAUAAGACAAGAAAAAAAAAUUCAUAUCAUCCAUUACAAAAAAAUCUCACUUGCAAAAUUUACAAAUAUUAAGGAUUAUUUUUGUUCUAUAACCAACUUUAGCUAUAUAUAUGAUGUUUGUUUACAAUUUCAGUAGACUUACCUUCUGCCCUAUUCCGUUGUUUUGGAGCAACUCCAUUUCCUUGGCUUGGGACAACAAUGCCUUGAGGUCAACCUCAUUAUGCCUCACUACUUGUGCCAUCUCCUCGAUCGAUCGAUAACUAUCCUUUAAUUCUGCUAUAUAUAUAUAUAUAUAUAUAUUUUCUGUUUCUAUUCUUGAUGUCUAUAUAUCUCUCUUCCAAAGGCUAGCUCUAUUUAUACUGGCACAAACAGAGGGUACUGCGAUUAUUAUAUUCCAUAAUAUCCUAUCUUCAAAUAUUCCUUCCCUUUUCACAGUAGGGAUCCGAUCCCGAUAAGUUUAACAUCAGCAUCAUCAUCAUCACCAAGGAUAUAGAGCAGCCGAUUCUGUUUGAUAAUUUUGUUGGAAUAAUUCUUUUCCAUUUCUCAGUUCAAUAAUUCUUUCUUUAGCUUGUUGCGCAGGCAAAAUUCCAUGAAGGCGAAAGGUACGUAGGCAUCCUAGUAAAUGAUGAUUUUCUUCUAACCAGAAGUAUGAGCAGGUUAAAAGUAGAAGAAUAAGCAUCUCGCAGGCCAAAAAUAAAAAAAAAAUCGAAAAGAAGAAAAAGAAAAGAAGCCACCAAUAGCAAGACCACAUUUUUCUUUUUCUUUCCUUUUUAUCUAUUCUUUCUUUGAUUCUUUUUUAUAAUUUUUUUUAGAUGGAGUCUUUGAAAAUAAGCAUAAGAAUUCAUUAAAGGAAAUAAAAGUGUUGAAAGUUGUCUUGCAUUAGUCUUCUCCAAAUUCUGUUCCCCUUAGACUUUAGAAUUUAGCCUUUCCCAAAAUUCUGUUCCCCUCAGAUUUCGGAAUUUUGCUUUCCUCAUUUCUUGUUCUCCUCUCCAGAUUUCUCCUAUAAAAGGGAGCUUUGGUGUAAGACCCCAACUUUUAUGAAUAAAGACGAAUUUUUCUAUAAAUAUAAUUUUUGAUUAUUAAGAUGUGAAUUUGAAAAAAUAUUAUAGUUGUGAGUAAUAUUUAAAAAUUUUACAAAGUAAACAAGGUGUUAUAAAAUAUUCGGUUGGUCGAGGAAUAUUCGUUUUAACAGGGAAUAUUCAUACGACGACACAAUCAUUGGUGGACCCCACAACGAAAGUAUUGUCGGAGUUAGAAAACGACAGAAAUAUCUUAUUAUGAAAAUAAUGGCGAAAAUUUUACCGUUAACUGUUGAAAUACCCGUUAGUAAAAGUACAGUAAUACGUAUGGUUGCAUAGUAGUACACGGUAUUAAUUAUUGAUGCUUACGUGAGAAGUCACUCAGUUAUACUCAAUUAUUGUUACAGUAAUUGUUGUAUCAUAUCUCUUAUAUUAUUGAUUCAAUUAUUGUCAGUAUCAUCUGCAUAAUAUUUUAUAUUAUUAAAUCAAUAAUUGAGACGAUAAAGUUAUUCAUAUUAUUAUUUACAAUAUUGACGAUGUCUAGAAGUUCUGUCAAGGAGAGGUUAGGUCAUUUAAUUGCGCGCCAAUAGGGAGAAAUCCUUAUCGGAAAGCCCCUCUUUCCUGAAAACGAUCUGGUUGUUAAUAUUGCGAGUUAUAAUAAUGAUGAAUAAAUUGAAGGAAUUUUAUGAAAUAUUUGUUGUAAGUUUUGCUUAUUAUAUGGACCCCCAUUUAACCAUUUUUCAAAAUAAUCGGUAAAAAAUUAUUCAGUAUUUUUUUUAAUAAAAAAGGUGGGGCCACAUGUGGGGCCCACUGAAAGAAAAAUGGGGGGGGGGAGAUGUUUAUGUUUGUCAUGGGUGAAGGUUUGAUUAUAUAUAUAUAUAUAUAUAUAUAUAUAUAUAUAUAUUAUAAUAAGUCUUUUUUUUAUGAAAAAUAGAAUAUAUUAAAUUUUAUUUGCAUAGUAUUUUACUAUGCAGUGCACAGUAAAGUUUUGUGAAUUAGAAAUUCGGCGCCCGUGAAAUUUUCGAUUGUUUUGUCCGUGAGAAUUUCAAACAGUACCCCUUCCAUCAUCCUAUAAAUAUGACGCUUAUUUUGAAUUGAAAAUCACACAAGAAUCAGAGAAUUUUUUUCUAUAAUAUUGAGUAUAUUUCUUUCGAGUUUUAGAAAGUUUUGAGUGUAGAAAACAGUGAAAGUUUUUUUCAAGAAUAUCCCCGCUAUACCAGUCGAAAUACUCUUCUUAGGAUGUUUUUUUGUUCAAUAUUCGUAUGAAAUAAUAUUUUCUUCCAUACUCUGUAGUAUGUAAAUAAUAUUAUUUCGUUUUAGAUUUCGAAUUCUAUAUCCAUUUUGUUAAAGUUUUGGCUCCUAUACUCCAUGAAAUUAGUAGAAUAUCCUUAAAAUUUGCGUUUCAUCCAGUAUCUUUUCAUGGAAAUAUUAUUCUGAGCAUUCUUGAUAAGUUUUAAUUUUUUCAUGCCAGAGUACUAUAUACGGGGUACUAUUCUCAAAUUACUAUUCACGGGGUACUAUUCACUCGGUUACUAUUCAUCCGAGGCACUAUUCAUGACAAAAAUUAAUUUUUUUUCGGUCCAAAUCAUUUUUGUUACAAUAUUAUUCGUGAAUUUUACUCCAUAAUGCAGUAUCAUAUUGACAAUUUGGACAUUAUUAAAUUAUGGAUAAAUUAAAUUAUAAAUCUUUAAAAAUUUAUCUUUUGCUUUCAUUUAAUUGAAUUCUUAUAUCAUUGUCAUCAUCCUGAUGCUUAUAUUAUAAUGAAAGUCAUUUGUGGCCCGUAGUGCAUAGAUGGACUUGGUAUGAUUAUGACCAGGGAUUAUUUGGUAUAAUCAUGACUGUAAUAUUACAAAUGAUGUGGUAAAAGUCCUCAUUGGCCCGUAGUGCAUUGAUGAACAGUUGUUUUCAUGAUCAUGACCAUUGAUGAAAACACGAAUAUCUUUGGCCCGUAGUGCAUGAAUAAUUUGUGGUUGUGAUACUAAAGAAUAUCCUUGGCCCGUAGUGUAUGGAUAAUUCAGUGAUGUGUAUUAUUUAUUAAGCUGAGUCUCAGCGAUACAAUUGAUGAUAAACCUUUUAAAUAAUAGAAGAUAGUAGAUUUUAUGCUCUACUUAACUCUUCUAAUAGAUUGCUUGUUCCUCUGCAAUUAAACUUGAUGUUUAUUAUAUUUUAUCAGUUUAACAUUGUUGAAGGCUAAUGAUAAUUUAUUCUGUGUUAUCUUAGUCAUAAUAUUUCUUACUGGCUAGUUGAGCUCACCCUUUACUUUCAUUGUUCUCUUCAGGAAAUGAGAAUAUAGCUGGGAUCGACUAGUCGGGGAACGGAGUGACGGUCCAAAUGAUAACAUUAGUAGUCCUCACUAUUCUGUGAAAUAGUGUGAUAAUAAAUGUAAUGAGGACUUAUUUUGAGUUUGAAUACUGUCUAGAAGACAAUAUUUGUAUUAAAACUCACAACUCAUGUUAUAUAUUUAAGUUUAUAUUUGUAUUCUGUACCAUGUAUUUAACGAUUCAAAAUGGGUGAUGUAUACCUAUUCUGGGGGCGUCACAGUUGGUAUCAAAGCUUGGGGAUAUGAUCCCUGGCUGAGAUGAGAGACUAGAACUAGGAGGGGAGAGUCAGGUAAUUCCUUUGCUAGUAUGACCUACCUAAGUUUAUUUGUUAUUUAAUUAGUCGGUCAGAAUAUAGGGAUAAUAUGUUGCAUGUCAAUUAACCCUUGUUUUGUGGCAGUAUUUGAAAAUGACAUCCGAGAAUGUUGAGAAUAGCAAUGGAGUACAUGAGACCGUUGAAUCACCAACGAUCAAUAACCAGGAUAAUGUGCAUCAGGAAGGCAAUAAUCCUCAUGCAAACAAUAACUCCAACAAAAUAAUGAACGACAAAAUGUUUAUGAGCUUUCUUCAAUUCAUGCAACAUCAGGCAAGAGAGACUCCUGUUCAAAAUGUAGGUGGAAAUACCGGCAACUCUCGAACGGUCACCGCUAAGCAAUUCAAGGAGCUGGGACCACCGAAGUUUUUGGGAAAGCCAAAACCACUUAAGGCGGAGACAUGGUUAAAGCAGAUCACUAAGAUAUUUGAUGUCUUUGGAUGCUCCGAGGAGCAAAAGGUUCCCUUUGCCACCUUCAUGUUGCGAGGAGAGGCAGAUCAUUGGUGGAAAUCUGUAAAAUGUACCCAGCUUGCCACAUUAAAGAUGUCUUGGGAGAAGUUUCAAGAACUGUUCAACGACAAGUACUUUUUCGAAAGUAUUCGUUAGAUGAAGGAGGUGGAGUUCAUCAGGUUGGAAUAAAACAAUAUGACCAAGACGCAGUACGAGGCUAAGUUUGCGGAGUUAUCCCGGUUUGCAUCUCAUUUGGUUGUUAAUGAGGAGAGAAUGACGCGGAUAUUUUUAAGAGGUUUGAAACCUGAGAUAUGUCAAUAUCUCAUUCUCACAAACUUUGCUUGUAUUCAGAUGUUGUGAAUAUUGUAAUAACUCGAUAUUUUCUAUAUAAUUAAAUCAGAAAUUUUACGUAUGAAUUUUUUUAUUUAAUUAUUAAAGUUGGAAAUAUGUGCCAGGUAAUGUGUAUAUGUAUAUAUGUGAUAAAUAAAAUAUAUUUAUUACAUGAAUAAUUACCAAUAGUUUUAUUUUAGAAUUAUUGCUCAUUAUAAAUUAUAUUAUAAUAAUAAUUAGUUUUAUACUAAAAAUGUUUUCAUUAAUUCUAUUCUAUGAAAAUAUGUUUAUAUAUUAUUUAAAAAUUAUAUGAAAUGAUUAUAUAAUUAUUAUAAUGAUUAUUCUAUUUUAUUAUAUGAAUUUAGUUCAGAUUAUUUAAGUUAAUUAUUUUAACUUAAUUAUUAUUGUUAUGUAUGCAAGAUAAAUCAGAUAUGGAAUCCAAACCCUAAUUUUGGAUUUUGAACAAGGAAUGAGAAUAUUAAUAUAAUAUUAAUUAUAUUUUUAUUUUUCAGUGCUAUAAAUAUAUAUGUUAUGUUUGUAAGGUUAAUCUGGGGAGCAAUUUUCUUAUGACCUGAUAAAACCCUAAUUUGAAAGUCAAUUACGACUGUAAAAUUUGUUAAGUCAUUGUGAUAUGUGGUCUAUGAUUUGUAUUAUAAGUAUUAAUGUUAAUUCUAUAAAACCCUAAUUAGUAAUUUAAAACUCUAUUUUUCUUAAAUUAGGAACCCUAAACAGUACUUAGCUAUCCGCUAAGUGAAAACCCUAAUUUAAAACUCAGCUAUGAGUCGAGACUGUUAUGUAACUGUAUUAUUAUGUUUAAGGUUAAGUAUUAUAGAAUUUUAUAUUAAUUAAAGAAACCCUAAUUAACAUUUAGAAAUUCUAAUUUCUAGAAACCCUAAUUUCUAAAUUAGUAACCCUAAUUUGCUAAAACAAAACUCUAAUUGUUAAUUUGGCACGCUUAAUGAUAAUUAGUAAAAUUUAAACCUAAUUUUCAAGUCUAUGUAAUGAGGAAACCAAAUUAAUUAUGAAACCUUAAUUUGUAUUUUUAGAAACUAAAAAUUUCAAUUUUUUUAAAAUUAGAAAUCCUAUAACACUUUGUGCUAACCCUAAGGGUCAAACCCUAAGGGUUUGAUAAGUUACUAGUUUGCCCUUAAAUUGAUUAGCCAAAUGACAAAAAUACCCCUCUUGCAUUAUUGGACAUAACUUGUAAGACUAGCCAAUUUUGAGUUGCUCAACAACUCUUACCAGCCCCAUGUGACUAAAAUGCCAGCAAUCAAGCUCUAGAUAUCAGCCAACUUGAUUUCAUGUUUUAUAUAUAUAGACAUCAAGAGAGAGAAAUUUCAUUUAUUAGCCACAUUUGUACACAAACUCCUUACCAACUCUCUCUCCCAAAACCCAUGAAAUGUUGUAGUAGAUCAGUCCCGUAUUGAAGCCCCACUAACACACUUAAGCAAAUCAGCAGCCAGAAUCAAGAAUUGAUGCUUAAAGGUAUAAAAUCCUAAGUCAAAUUUUGAUCUUGUAUGCUAUAUUGGAUUUGUGGUUUUAAUGUUUAAUCAUGUUGAAUAAGGUGUUAAUAGGUGAUCUGGGUUGGCACAUGUUAGAUCCAUAACAUCAAAGUGCUCGAAAUCUAAGUUUUUCAAAAUAUGGAAAUUUUUGUUUUUGUUGUCUGACAGCGAAUGUCAGGCCUUGUAGAUCUGUGCUUAUUUAUUAUUUUGAUGAUUUAAAUGUUUGAAGUGGUAGUCUGGUAUGAGGUCUUUCAUAUGAAAAUGGAAUCACUGUUAUUGGAUGUCUAGAUCGAAAAUUAUUGAUGGUCAAAGGUCGUUGACUGACCAUGACCGAGUAUGAAUCUGGGCAACCUUGAAAGCUUUUUCAGCGUCUGAAAAUGUUUUGGAAGGCUUAGAUCUGUCAGUGUGUAAAUGAUUUGAUGAUGUUAUAAUAUCCAGUUUAUAGCUUGUCAUAUGUAAUUUAUAUUUGUGGCUUUAUAUCCUUUAAACAAACAAUUGAUCGAACUUAGUGGAUGGUCAAACCUGGCCCCUCGGUCACGAUUUCAUUUCUGGGAAUUUCCAGAAAAUCGAAAGAACAGCCCUCUGACAGGGUUUGACCGAGUAAUAUCUUGUAGAUCUGUUGAUGUUAAACUGAUUUGUUGUUAUAUUAUUGUUCCUGGACAUAAGGACUACAUCUUUGAGGCAUUAGAUCACUUGAAUCAUGAACGGAACCUAGAUUAAAUCGAGGAUGAAAGUGACUGGUCGACCACCUGGGUUUCUGGAAAACCCAGGAAUGCUCUGACAACAUAUUUGCAAGCCUAGAUCUCCUUGUGUGUUUGUUGUAUGACCUAGAUAUUGAUUGCUAGUUAUAGUGUUGUAUAAUGACUUCAAUAUUGAUGCUUAAGUUUGCCCAAAAACGAAUUAGACAGAGAAUUAUUAGUGGUCAAAGUUGACCCCUCAAACACGAAGCUGUCAGUGUUCUUGAGCUCAAGAACACCAACAGCGACGCUUAGUGUCACUAAAGGCCAAUAGCGAUGGUUUCUAAUAUUUUUAAUUUCUGAUUUUCUAGAAAAUACUUAAAAAUAGAAAAUAAAUUAUAAAAAUUACAAAAAUGGUUUUAAAAAUUAUUUUAAAUUAUGAAAAUUAACUUUUAAUUAUUUGGGAUAUUUUUUAUUAAUAUUUAUAAUUAUUUGAAUAUUAUUAAUAUUUAAUUUAUUUAAUUAGUGUAUUAAAUAAAUUAGAGAAAAAUGAUUUUAAUGUUAUAAAAAUCAAUUUAAAUAAGAAUAAAGUGUUUAAAAAUAUUUUUGAGUUAUAUAUGUAACUUUUAAUAUUUUUGUGAUGAAUUUCAUUAAUUAAUUAAUAUUAAUGAUAAUUAAGUUAUUUAAUAAAUGUAUUAAAUAAAUUAUGAAAAAUAGAAAUUAUGAUUUAAAAAUCAUAUAAAAGUGAUUUAAAGAUUAUAAAAAAAUAUUUUAAGUUAUAAAAUAUAACUUUUGAUAUUUUGUCAUGAAAAAUAUUAAUAAUUUUAUAUUAAUAAUAUUAGAUUUAUUUAAUGAUUAUAUUAAAUAAUUUAGUUUAAAAUGAUUUUAUUAUUAUAAAAUUAUUUUAAAUGAAAAUAAAGUGUUUAAAGAUAUUUUAAGUUAUAAAAUAUAACUUUUAAUAUUUAAAGGAUAAUUUCAUUAAUAAUUUAAUAUUAAUGAUAUUAAUUUAAGAUUUAUUGAUAUUAAAUUUAUUCAAUAAUUAUAUUAAAUAAAUAGUUUUAAAAUGGUUUUAUUAGUUUAAAAAUUAUUUAAAAAGGAUAUAAAUGAAUUAAAAAUAUUUUAAGUUAGAAUUAAUAACGUUUAAUAUUUGGAUAAAUAGUAGAUUAAUAUUUUAAUAUUAAUGGUAAUUAUUUAAAAAUGAUUUUAAAUGUUUAAAAAAUUAUUUAAGGGUAAUAUUAGCACUUUAAAAAUAUUUUGAGUUAUUAUUAAUAACUUUAAUAUUUUGGCAAUGGUUUCAUUAAUAGUUUAAUAUUAAUUAAAUAUUAAUGAUAAUAUGAUUAUUUACUAUUUAAAUCAUUUAAUUAUGAUUCUAGUGUUUGAAAAUUCAUAAUAAAUUAUAAUAAAUGUUUAAAAAUUAUUAUAAGUCAUUUAAAAAUAAUAUGACUGAUAUUUGUAGAUAUUGAGAUACAGGAUAGAGUCUUAGACUCGAUAUUUACCUGAUAAAGCCGUCGGUAGACCGACAUGUUUCAAAAAUUGAUCUAGACUUAGAUAUUUUGACUGUAUUAAUAUUUGUUUGUGAUUCAAUGACUGUUGAAUAUGUGUGACAAUGUGAUUAGGUUAUAUGCUGACUGCAAUAAGCAGUGCUAUGUUAUUCUAAUCGAACGAAUGAUCUUAUUAAUGAUAGAUUUUGGUAUUAAAGAUAAAACUAAGUUGCGUAUUGUAAGCAGCAGACCAGGCAAGUAUCAUAUAUUUGCAUUUUGUUUAUGUGACGCCCCCAAAUCCGGGUUAUCUUUAACUCGGGUUUGGUGCUUACGAUUCUAGAAUACCCAUUCAUACUAAAAAUAAAACUGUCUUAUAUUACAUAAACAUUGAACUUAAAUCCCAGGUUCUAGAGACCUUUACAUACAAGCCAAAUAUUAUUACAUCAUAGUGCUACAGUAUUUAUUACAUGCACUACUUAGGUUCAUUUAAGCACAUGCGCUUAAUAAUUGACUACUCAACAACCUUGCCCUUUCCUUUGUCUUUUCCAGAUGGACCGGCAACCUCAAUUUUAACUGAAAACAUUAUAUUUAACGCAAGGGUGGGCAACAAGUUUGCCCAGCAAGGAAAUAAGCAGCUAAAUAUAAGAGAACAAAAAUAUUACAGUAAUGGGGAUAUCAUACAGAAGGUAUAGAACAAAGUAAUUCUUAAGAGUGUUGAGUCAAAAGUCAGGAUUUAUCAUGCUGUAAGGUCAAAUGACCAGUGAACACUAUACUAGAAUUUACAGUAAUAAUACUGCAAUCUAUGAAUACAAACAGUUAUAAAGCUGUUUUAUAUCCUAGACUCGUACUUCAGGGGAUCAGCCUAAGUACCCUAUAUUGUGCACAACAUAACAGUCUAAUAAAACUUUACAUGUCCUUCAGAAUCAUAUAUACGGUACAAUACGCCCCUAAAAAAGGGUUGUUCGUUCACAGCAUUAUAUAAGAAUCCAUACCACAAUAACAAAAUGGUUUGGAAAGAAUUAACUGAUAAAUUCAUAAACAAUAUCAAUAUAUCUCAACCUUUGUCCAAGCGAAGUAAUGGUAUUGACAUACUUUCAAUAUAACUUUUAUUCAAGAUAGAAAAGUUGAUAUACUAUUCUUUUGAAGCUGAUUGGAAUAAAAAGGCUAUUUAACCUUAUAUUAUUCAUAAAUAAGGACAAACAGUUCAGAAAUUAAAGAACCUGUCCACUGCAGAAUAUUUGCUCAAUAAAGAGUAAGGAUUAGAAACUUGCCUUGUUUGUAGUCUAUCGUUUAGGAUUUCAGCUUAAUUGAAGUAUUUCUCAAAGUCCUACACAGUUAUUUGUAUUAACAAGCAUGUUAAUCACAUAGCUAUGUUAUAUAGUUUGUAAGCUCACAUAUCACAUAAUUUCAGUGAUUAUGGUUGUAGUUAAAUUAUUAUUUUUGAUACAUUUUUCAAAUAUCUCAUCCAUGCUUUCAAGAGACAUUUUUCACUUUGAUGGGUUUCAACAAGCUUUCAACAAGUAAUAGAAAUCAUAUUACAGUCAUCAUUUGCAUUAACCAAGUAUGUUAGCCACAUAGCUAAGUCAUAUAUCAUGUAGUUUUAAUGGUCAUGGUUAGAUUUCCUAUAUUUGAUACAUUUUUCAAAUACCUCAUCCAUGCUUUCAAGAGACAUUUUUCACUUUAUUAGUGUUCAAUAUGCAAUACUUUACAACUACCAUCUCCAUUUCCUUAGUAACAUAGUAUAUAAUCAUUUUAUGUUUCCUUUACUUAAUUUCUAGCAUAUAAGGUGUUUUCAUAGCUUAUUGUCGGUUUUGAAGGUAUUUCUUAUAUGUAUGGUUAACCUAUAGUCUUCCUCAUAGUUUAUAGAUUCAUUUUGACACACCAGUGUAUCAAUUAUCACUGUUUUCACCUAUGAUGCUAAAACAGCCCUUUGAGGCUUUAAUUUUUUUAAACAUGACUUAAUGAUCCCAAUUUAGGUUUACUGUUUAUAUUAGAUUUCAUUUAGAAUUUUUCUCCUACACUUGCUUGCAUCAUAACUCUACUCAUUUAGAGAAACAUAAUCUAUCCUUUAUAGAUAAUCUGGUUACUAAAACUAAAUUUGGAUUCAAACAUGAAUUUUACAAAACAGUCAUUAUUGUAGCUGCUAUACCACAACUGUUGUUUCCCAUUCUACUUGUUGUGGCUAUUGGUAUCAGCUAUAUGCUGCCACUAUUAGGCAGUAAGUCACAUCACUCAUGCCCAAAAAUGCUUCUAAAUUAACCUUUUCAGCUGGCUUUGCAGGCUUUGCAGCCCUUAAUUGAGCCUUACAGCUCAAUAAUCUCUGUAACACAUUUCAGUUAUUAGUCUUAUCUUAUAACUUGCUAUUCCAUUAACAUUUUCUAUGUAUGAAUGCACUGCCAACUGCUACUGCUGGUGUUGCUGUUGCUGCCAAUGGGCAGCGACUAUUAUUUUCUUACCAUAAGCUGUUUGGUCUGUUUCAAGUGCUGCAGUCACAUGUCAUCAUGCUCCAUCAACUAGAGUAAACAAAAAUGCAUGAACUUAACUUACUAACUGCAGCCCAAGAAAAACAAACUCAGCUGUCAAAAUGACAGUGCAGUCAUCUACUUGAAGUUGCCAAGGACAACAGCUAUCCGAAGCUUUUUGCUACUGUCAUUAGCAGCCUCCCUUGCUCCUUAACCCAUUCCCAACAAUCCUCUAACCUCAGUUUUGCUAUAUUUCUAGGAAUAGGCCUCAUGGCUAUAAUCUUUUAGAGUUAUAAGGUUAUCCCAGUUGGCCUAUUAAGCUUUGGCUCCUUGGUUUAGUGACUGUUUCAACAGAGUAGGCAAAGGAGUUUGUCAAGCUAGAAUUACUUAGCCUAAAAACUGAACUAUGCUAAAAAUUUCUAUGCCAAAACAUUACAGUCAUCACAUAUGUUGGGUAAAUCAGGUAAAUAGUGUACUAGUUCUACUAUUCAGUUUCUUUUUACUAAAACAGUCCUCUUAGGUCUUUUAUCAAACAGUUGGUGGGCAUGGUUAUAAGCUACUAGUUCCAUAGCCAUUUGUUUAUAUUCCAACUCAUAUUUUCCCCUUAUUACUCCACAGCCCACUUAUCUCCUUGUGCUUAAAUUAUAACAAUAUCAUAAUGGCAUAACAAUCAAUGAAAUGUUACAACAGUUUAUAUAUAGCAGCUUAACACCCACAUAGCAGUCCUCAAAUCCAUACUAGGCCUUUUAGGCUAAAUGAUCAAAACAGUCCUUAAGUUUUUAACACAAGGAUUAAUAUAACAUGUACAUACUAUGUUUUAUGGUUUAAAGACCCCAAUACCAACCAUCCUGUCUUGACACUAUAACAGCUUUAGACUAGCAAUUUGGUCAUGGUUUAUCACACCAAACCAAUAGCAAGCACUGAUAUGUAUGCCUUUCUAACACUAAAACAUUUUACCUACCAUAUUUUCAUGGUUUAAAGCAUCUAGAGGCAAGGUCCUUAAGUUUAAAAUCAAAACAGCCUCUCAUAGGCUUUUAAAGUAAUAUAAGAUAGCAUGCUUGGGCAACAUGAAAACAAGGACUGCCUACUAUGAAUAUAUUAGAAGUAAGGCAUGAUCAUCAUAAUAAACUUCUAAUAACAGUCCACAUAAUGCAAUAACAGUUCAUAUAAGGCAAUAAUAAUUUAUAUAGCAACUAAAGUCCUUCUAACAGUCAUUUAUGCUUAUUCUAGUCACCACAACAAGUAUACUGUCUUAGUCCAUUCUGUAUACUAGUUCUGGGCAUGGUAAUAUAUUUUACAAUCAUAAAUAACCAACCAUCUUGGACUCCUUUCCAGCCACACUGUUUUGCCAUUAUAGCAGUUUUAGACUAGCACCUUAGGCACAGUUCAUCACAGCAAAACAGUAGCAACAUAGCAUAGCGUAUCAGUCCAGUUAUUACAAUAACAGUUGGUAUAUCACAAGGAUGAUGCUACAGCUAUUCAAGUCUCUUUUAGGCCAUUUUGGCAAGGUUUUAGUAAUAAGUUAUCAAAGCGGUCAUUAGUGUGCAAUACAAAGAUUAUUACCUCAUGUACAUGCUAUAGAAUAUAUGUUCAUGUUUUAAGAGCCUAUAUACAAGGUUUCUUGCUGUUAGUUCAUAACAAUCCCUUAUAGGCUUCAAUUUAAUACACGGAAGCAUGAUCUGAAAAAUUUAGUUAUCAAAAUAACAUGUUUAAACAUAAACAUAUACUCGAGGUAUUCUUUUUCUUUCUAUAUAAUCAAGUAGACAUGCUAUUAGGCUCUAUUUACAGCUAGCAUACCUUGAUACCAUAACAGUCCAAUUAGAGCAAUAUUUUAGGCAUGGUCUAUUACAACAAAAUGGUAGCAAGCACUGACAUGUUUUCCUUUCUAACACAGGCACCUUUUAUUUAUCAUAUAUUCAUGAUUUAAAACAUCUAAAGGCAAAAUCUCUUUGCUUUAAGCCAACACAGCCCUCUUUAGGACCCACUUUCCAAAAAUAACCAUGGUUUACCCUUAUGUUUACAAGGAUAACAUGGAUGUGCAACAUAGAAGUUUAGACUAUCUUCUUUAUAUGGUAUUUAAGAUGCAAAAAUAUAUUUGGAUGUCAUAGAAUGCCUUACCCCAUAUAUAUCAGUCCUUAUUAAGCCUCAAAUCUAGCAUACCAGUUUCUCAGAAUAGUGGCCAAGUCUUGGUUAAUUGCUUAGAUUACAUAUAUGCUAGUAUACAAUAGUUAUACCCAAUACAUCAUGCCACAUAUAACAUAUAAGCAGUCCUUUAUUAAUAAUCAUAGCAUAACAGUCCAUUUAACAUCAUAGCAAUUCAUAUGGUAACACAGAUCAUGCUAACCGAAAUCAUAAUAUCAUUAACUUUUUAGCAGCUCCUUAGCUUGACAAAUUAUCAAACACCUAGAGUGCAGUCUAUAUACUUGCACUUAAUACAUAAUUUCUAGCCCUCUGCCCCCAGCCGUAUGGCUUAAACAAUAUCAAGCAUAAGACCACACUUAUCAGUACCAAACCCAGCAGUUCAAAUAACAUGAAAGCAGUCAGUUAUCAUAACAGCCAUACACGUUUUUGGUCAUUGACAAUUCAUUUUACUAAUUAAUUUAAUAGCCAUCCUAAUCAUUUAUCAAUUCAGUUGUUACCCGGAAUGAAUGGAAAGAUUAGAAAGGCCAGAAUUGGCUUACCUUGCUGAUUCGAAGGUAUCAAGUGGUUGAGCUGCUUAAUUCCUUUUCCCCUCUAGCCGAACUCUUCACUCUUACUCUAUAUGACCGUUGCUGCUAAUUCUUUUGGACUCAGUUAAGUGAUGAGGCUAAUUGAUUUUGGGUAAUAACCUGGCCUUUUUAUGGCUGAGCUUAGCUUCCUUACAGUUGAUCGCAUCACCUUCUACUUGCCCCCUAACAUAUAAUCUAUUACCUCUAGCAGUUAGACUGCUCUGCAGCCACCCUACAAGACCCUAGUCUCUCUGCCAUGCCUUAUCUGUUGCUAACCUGUCUACUAACUAAUAACUGACUAACUUAUAGACUAACUACUGCUAACAACAGAACAGCCUCAGCUCCUAAGUUUACCCCUGUGGGCUGUUGGAAAAAAUCCUAAGGCAAGGCUGGGCAGUGGUUUCAUUUUGGGCCUAGUCCCUUUAACCCAAAGUUUUACUUGUUAAUUUGCUAUACUCCAAUGGGUUUACAGGAUUGGGUUUUGGACAUCCAUUUCACUCUUUAACACUUGGAGCUGCCGAAUUGGGCUAGCAAAUAGACUACAUGCAACGAUCAUGGCAAAAUUAUUAAGGCCCAAUAUUUUAAUAUGGACUCUUGUUACAUUAAAACACAUGGACUAUUAUUUUCUCUAGCAACAAUAGUUAUAACAUAUAUCAUUAAAAUGACUAUUCUAUGUAAUCUUAAAUAAUUCAUGAUGGCACAUAAUUUCUUUGCCCUUUAUAACUCAAGAUGCUAAACGAACUAUUAAAUAAAUAAUAUUUUUAUCACAAUGAGAAUUAACAUAUCAUAAAAAAAAAUUUAUACUCAAAAAUUGACAUUACAAUAAUUAAAUAUUACAUAGGAUGAACUACAGGCCAAUGAGGACUUUUACCACAUCAUUCGUCACAUUACGGUCAUUAUUAUACCGAAUCAUCCCUGGUCAUAAUCAUACCAAGUCCAUCUAUGCACGUAAGCCAAAGAUGACUUUCAUCACAAUAUAAGCAUGAGGAUGAUGACAAUAAUAUAAGCAUUAAUCAAACGAAAAUAAUGAUAAAUUUUAAAGACUUUAAAUUUAUCCAAAUGUUUAUCAAUCACUUAAUAAACUCAUAAUCUAAUAUUAUUAAUAUUAUAACAAUAUUUUAAUCACUUCUUGAACUUAUAAACAAUUUAUUCUAAUUGUUUACACUUUCCCAAAUAAUACAUUUUAAUCAUUCAAAAAUACCAUACUCAUAAGAUUUCAUCACCAAUGAUCAAAUCCCUUAUCAAAAAUCUGCAUAUACCUUAUAUAGGAUUUCCAAGCCAUAAAAUCCAUUUUACCAAUUUUUCAACUUCACAUAACAUAUUUAAUUCAUAUGUUCGUAACUAAACUAUUUUCAUGAAAAAUACCAAAUCAGUCCAAAAAAUUAUUCUUUUUUGGGAUUUAGCAGAAUAUAGUCCCAUAUUGAACAUAUAUUUUUCUCAUAAUUUUUAAAAUUCAUUUACUAUUUUUCAUAUGGCCAAAACUGCCGAAUAUUUAGACAUUUAUCAUAAAUUGUACUUUUGUCCAAAAAUUCCGAAAUUUACAAGGUAUACUCCUAUUAUAUAUGUGUACUCCCAAUAAAAAUUUAACCAAUUUUGGAGUUAACCACAAGGAGUUAUAAGGGUUUACUUUUAAAAUAGUUUUUUCCCAUAAAAUUCAUAACUCCUAAUCUAUACAUCCAAAAAUUGCCAUUUUUGGACACAAUCUAGAAAUCUCAACAAACUAUCAUUUCAAAUGUUUCCAAAAUUUUUGAGGGUCAGAAAAAUUACGAAACUGCAAAUAGAUUUUCACCCGUCAUUCGGUAAUCCAGGUAGACAGAUCAUUUCCACAAUUUAAUAAGGAAUGAAUACAAAGGAUCAUUCACCAUGCAUGCGGUAAUCCACAUAGACAGGUUAUUCCAACAGAAUAAUAAAAAAUAGAAUAACAACAGAAUUCACCAGGCAUACGGUAAUCCGCGUAUACAGGUUAUUCCAAUAGAAUAAUAAAUAAUGGAACCAGGUCAUGCGUAAUCCGCAUAGACAGGAUAUUCCAACAGAAUAAUAAAGAAUGGAAUAACAACAGAAAUUCACCAAGCAUACGGUAAUCCGCGUAUACAGGUAAUUCUAACAGAAUAAUAAAGAAUGGAAUAACAAUAGAAUUCACCAGGCAUACGAUAAUCCGCGUAUACAGGUUAUUCCAACAGAAUAAUAAAGAAUGGAAUAAUAGAAAAUUUUCACCACGUAUGCGGUACUUCGCAUAGACAGGUUACUCCAAUAUAAUAAUAAAGAAUGAAAUAACAAAAGAAUUUCACCAUGUAUGCGAUACUUCGCAUAAACAGGUUAUUCCAACAUAAUAAUAAAGAAUGGAAUAACAACAGCUCUCUUCAUGAAUACGAAAGAAAUAAUAAUACCCCUUACCUUAGAAGAAACUGGAUACUGGAAUAGUGAGGUAGCAGGCUUCUCUUCUUCUUUCUCUCUAUAAUUUCUCUCUAUAAUAAUUGCUCUAUAGCUUUAGUGAAUUGGUGAGAAAUGAAGGAAGAAUGAGCUUCUGUUUAUAGGAAAACAUAGUUUCAAUAAUUGCACAUUUUGGGGCUCGAAAUAUUACAUUAUAAUACCUUCCUCUUUUUCUUUAUUUUUAAUUUAGCCCUGCAAGUAUUAUCAAACUUGCACCACCUCCUCUAAUAGUAAAUCAUGUGAAUUAAUAGUAAAUCAUGUGAAUCAAUAGUUCUAGACAUGUGAAAAUACGAAUUACAGUAUAGUACCUCCAUCUAUACCUCUAUUUUUAACUUAGUCAUGCAAGUAUUAUCAAUCUUGCACCAACUCCCCUAAUAGUACCAUAAUGUGAAUCAAUAGUACACACAUGUGAACAAAUAGUUAUAAUCAUAUGAAUUAAUAGCAAUUAAAAGCUCAUUUAUCCGGAUAAUUACCCGAUUGGUCAAUAUAACCUCCAGACAUCAAUUAUCAUCGAAAUAAAUGUCGAUUCCCACUAACACUAAUAAUUCCAACACAAUGGAACUAUCAAUUUCAUCUUUAAUCAACACAAAUUUAUUCAUCAUUAAUAUUAUAACUCAUAAUAUUUAACAACAAGAUCGUUCCCAGGAAAGAGGGGGCCUUCCGGUAAGGAUUUCUCCUCACUGGUGCGCAAUUACCUAACCUCUCCUUGACAGAACUUCUAGACAUUGUCAAUAUUGCAAUUUAAUAAUAUUAAUAAGUUUACCAUCUUAAUUAUUUAUUUAAUAAUAUAACAUAUUAUGCAGAUGAUACUGUGACAAUAAUUGAAUCAAUAAUAUGAGAGAUAUGAUGUAAUAAUUACUGUAGCAAUAAUUGAGUAUAACUGAGUGACUUCUUACGUAAGCAUUAAUAAUCAAUACCGUGUGCUACUCAAUUCGUCAGCUACCACGUUCGCUCUUUCAUGAUGAUAUUGAAUGGUACGAUCGUAAUCUUCUACAGCUCAAGCCAACGUCUUUGGCACAUUAUACGAUUAUUUUAGGUAAAGAAAUAUUUGAGGGUUUUAGAAAUGAGUUUUGUACUUGGGUCAAUACAAAAUAUGAUUUCACGCUCUGGGGUAGGCAAGGAAGUUCUUCGAGAAUACGUCAGAAUAUUUAUUAACAAUAGAAAUAUCAUUUAAAAACUGUGACUCUCAUCCAAGACUUGGACAACACAUGAAAUGAAGGUUUCUACUAACGAAGUUUCAACCAAUAAGUCAAAGUCUAACUUCUCUGGGGUCAAAUUUAAAUGUUGAGCGCAAGCAAGAGAGAUAAAAGAAUGGGUAGAACCGGUAUCUAAUAAGGUAUAGACUUCGCAAAAAUUUAUAAUUAACUAACCCGUGCUAACUUCGUUCGGGUUACUCGCUUUUUGAGAAGUCAUGAAAAACGCUCUUCCUGAAACCACCGACUUUGUUUUGUCCAUAUCCGCCUUUGGUGCCACCGUCCCAGCUGGACUUGACUUUGGUGCACGACAAAAUCGGGCUAAGUGUCCUUUUCCAUAAUUAUAACAUGUUUUGGACUGCAUCACGCAGUUUGGACUGAUAUGUCCCUCCCCUCCGCAUUUGAAGCAUACAAUUGGUGGUCGUUCUCCUUCCUUGAAAACGGGUGUUGGUGCUGCUGUCUUUGCAUCUUUGUUGAACCUUCUCUUCUUGAAAUUUCCACUCCUAUUAUCUUGGUCAUGAUUACCACCGAAGUGGUUACCAUUCUUGGUGUAAGACCCCAACUUUUAUGAAUAAAAAAUGAAUUUUCUAUAAAUAUCAUUUUUGAAUAUUAUGGAGUAAAUUUGAUAUAAUGUUAUAGUUGUGGGUAAUAUUUAUAAAUUUUGAAAAGUACGCAAGUUGUUAUAUAAUAUUCGUUUGGUCGGAAAAUAUUCUUUUUGUCGGGAAUAUCCGUACGACGACACAAUCAUUGGUGGACCCCCACAACGGAAGUAUUGUCGUAGUAAGAAAACGACAGAAUUAUCUUUUUAUAAAAAUAACGGCUAAAGUUUUACCGUUAAAACUGUUGAACUACUCGGUAGUAAAAGUACAGUAAUACGUGUGGUUGCAUAGUAGCACACGAUAUUGAUUAUUAAUACUUACGUGAGAAGUCACUCAGUUAUACUCAAUUAUUGCUAUAGUAAUUGUUGCAUCAUAUCUCUCAUAUUAUUGAUUCAUUUAUUGUCACAGUAUUAUCUGCAUAAUAUGUUAUAUUAUUAAAUCAAUAAUUGAGACGACAAAGUUAUUAAUAUUAUUAAAUUGCAAUAUUGACAAUGUCUAGAAGUUCUGUCAAGGAGAGGUUAGGUAAUUGCGCGCCAAUGAGGAGAAAUCCUUACCGGAAGGCCCCCUCUUUCCUGGGAACGAUCUUGUUGUUAAAUAUUAUGAGUUAUAAUAUUAAUGAUGAAUAAGUUUUGUUGAUUAAAGAUGAAAUUGAUAGUUCCAUUGUGUUGGGAUUAUUAGCGUUAGUGGAAAUCGACAUUUAUUUUGAUGAUAGUUGAUGUCUGGGGGUUAUAUUGAUAAAUCGGGUAAUUUAUCGGAUAAAUGAGCAAUUAAUUGCUACUAAUUCACAUGUUUAUAUAACUAUUUGUUCACAUGUGUGUACUAUUGAUUCACAUUCUGGUACUAUUAGGGGAGUUGGUGCAAGAUUGAUAAUACUUGCAUGACUAAGUUAAAAAUUGAGGUAUAGAUGGAUGUACUAUACUGUAAUUCGUAUUUUCACAUAUCUAGAACUAUUGAGUCACAUGAUUUACUAUUAAUUCACAUGAUUUACUAUUAGGGGAGUUGGUGCAAGAUUGAUAAUACUUGCAGGACUAAAUUAAAGAUAAAGAAAAAGAGGAAGGUAUUAUACUGUAAUAUUUUGAGCCCCAAAACGUGCAAUUAUCAAAACUAUAUUUUCCUAUAAAUAGAAGCUCAUUCCUUCAUUAUUUUUCACUAAUUCACUAAAGCUAUAGAGCAUUUAUUAUAGAGAGAAAUUAUAGAGAGAAAGAAGAAGAAAAGUCUACACUUCACUACUCCAGUAUCCAAUCUUCUUUGAGGUAAGGGGUAUUAUUCUUUCGUAUUCAUGAAGAGAGUUAUUUUUUUUCAAUACUCGUUAUUCCAUUCCUUAUUAUUAUGUUGGAAUAACAUGUCUAUGCGAAGUACCGCAUACAUGGUGAAAUUCUUCUAUUAUUCCAUUCUUUAAUAUUCUGUUGAAAUAUCUUGUUUGUGCGUUUUACGCAAGACCUGGUUCCAUUAUAUAUUAUUCUGUCAGAAUAUCUUGUCUGUGCUUUACGCAUGACCUGGUUCCAUUAUUUAUUAUUCAGUUUGAAUAACAUGUAUACGCGGAUUACCGUAUACCUGGUGAAUUUUGUUGUUAUUACAUUCUUUAUUAUACUCAGUUGGUUAAAGUUUUGGCUUUUAUACUCUAUGAAAUUAGUGGAAUAUCCUUGAUAUUUGCGCUUCAUCCAAUAUCUUUUCAUGGAAAUAUUCUUCUGAGCAUUCUUGAAUUUUACAUCACAAAGCAGUAUCAUGUUGACAUUUUGGACGUUAUUGGUUCCUGGAUAAAUUAAUUCUUGAACUUGUUUUAUUGAAUUCUUAUAUCAUUAUCAUCAUCCUCAUGUUUAUAUUCUGUUGAGAGUCAUCUGUGGCCUGUAGUGCAUAGAUGGACUUGGUAUGAUUAUGACCAGGGAUUAUUCGGUAUAAUCAUGACUGUAAUAUUACAAAUAAUAUGGUAAAAGUCCUCAUUGGCCGUAGUGCAUUGUUGGACAAUUGUUGGUAUGAUCAUGACCAUUGAUGAAUACACGAAUAUCCUUGGUCGUAGUGCAGGGAUGAUGUUGAUUAUUUAUUAACCUGAGUCUCAGCGAUGAAAAUGAUGAAAAACCUUUUUAAAUCAUAGAAGAUAAUAGAUUUUAUGCUCUAUUUGACUCUUUUAAUGGAUUGCUUAUUUUCGCUGCAGUUUUUGAUCUAAAACUUGUUGUUUAUUAUAUUCUAUCAGUUGUUAUACUGUUGAAGGCUAAGGAUAAUUUAUUCUGCAUUAACUUAGUCAUAAUAUUUCUUACUGGGCUUGUUGAGCUCACCCUUUUCUUUCAUGGUUCUCUUCAGGAAAUGAGAACGUAGCUGAGACUAGUCAGGGAACAGAGUGACGGCCCAGAUGUUUGCAUUAAUUGUCCUCACUAUUCUGUGAAAUAGUGUGAUAAUAAAUGUAAUGAGGACUCCAUUGAGUGUGGAUAUUGUCUAGAUGACAAUAUUCUUCUUAAAACUCUUAGAUUAUGUUUUGUCGUAUUUUACACGACUGUUGUAUAAUUAAGUUGUAUUUGAAUUUUGUACCAUAUAUCCGGCGACUCAAGAUGGGUGAUGUAUACCUAUUUUGAGGGCAUCAUAGUUGGUAUCAAAGCUUAGGGAUAUGAUCCCUGGUUGAGAUGUGAGAUAAGAACUAGGAGGGGAGAGACGGGGAAUUCCUUUGUUAGUAUAACCUACCUAAGUUUAUUUGGUAUUUAAUUGGUCGGUCACAAUAUAUGGAUAAUAUGUGACAUGUCAAUUAACCCUUGUUUUGUGACAGUAUUUGAAAAUGGCAUCCGAAAAUGUUGAGAAUAGCAAUGGAGCACAGGAGACCGUUGAGUCACCAUAGAUUAAUACCCAGGAUAAUGUGUAACAGGAAGAAAAUAAUCCUCAGGUAAACAAUAACACCGAUGAAAUGGGGAACGAUGGGAUGUUCAGAGGCUUUAUGCAAUUCAUGCAACAUCAGGCGAGGGCGGCUCCUGUCCAAAAUGCAGGUGGAAACACUGACAACUCUCGGACGGUCACCGCUAAGCAGUUCAAGGAGCUGGGACCACCGGAGUUUUUUGGAGAGCCAAAACCACUUAAGACAGAGACGUGGAUAAAGAAGAUCAACAGGAUAUUUGAUGUCUUGGGAUGCUCCGAGGAACAAAAGGUUCCUUUUGUCACCUUCAUGUUGCGAGCAGAGGCAGAUUACUGGUGGGAAUCCGUAAAGCGUACUCAACUUGCCGCACUGAAAAUGUCUUGGGAGAAGUUCCAAGAACUGUUCAACGAAAAGUACUUUCCCGAAAGUAUUCGUCAAAUGAAAGAGGUAGAGUUCAUCAAGCUUGAGCAAAAAAAUAUGACUGUGGCGCAGUACAAAGCUAAGUUUGUCGAGUUAUCUCGGUUUGCGUCCCACUUGAUUGAUAAUAAGGAGAGAAUGACGCGGAUGUUUUCAAAGAGGUUUGAAACCCGAGAUACGUCAAUACCUAAUUUCUCACAAACCGUGUUUGUAUUCAGAUGUUGUGAAUAGGGCUCAGUUAUUGGAGCGCGAUAAUGAAUCAACCCAACCAAGAGAGAGCAGCCGACAAGUCGAUAAUACCAGUGGUAGCAGUCAUCGAAGCGGUGACAACAAGCGUGGAGGGAAUCAACAUGCCAAAAAUGGUAAUCACUUCGGUGGUAAUCAUGGCCAUGACAAUAAGAGUGGACAUUUCAAGAAGACGAGAUUCAACAAUGAUGGAAAGACGUCAGCACCAGCACCUGUUGUUAAGGAAGGAGAACAAUCGCCGGUCGUAUAUUAUAAAUGCGGAGGGGAGGGACAUAUCAGUCCAAACUGCGUGAUGCAGUCCAAAGCAUGUUACAAUUGUGGAAGAGAAGGUCACCUAGGCUGAUUUUUUCGUGCACCAAAGUCAAGUCCAGCUGGGAUGGAGGCAUCAAAGGCCGUCCCAGACAAGACAAAACCGGUAGUUCAACGGAGAGCGUUUGUCGUAACCUCCCAAAAAGUGAGGAAUCCGAAUGAGGUGAUCACGGGUAAGCUAAUCAUAAACUCUAGCAAAGUCUAUACCUUAUUUGAUACCGGCUCUACCCAUUCUUUUAUUUCUCCUAUUUGCGCUCAACGUUUAAAUUUGACUCCGAAGAAGUUAGACUUUGACUUAUCGGUUAAAACUCCAUUGGGAGAAACCUUCAUUACAUCCACUAUUUAUAAGUCUUGUUUGAUUCAAAUCGGUAACCGUACAUUACCUGUCGAUCUUUUUUCUUUGAAAAUACUUGCAUUUGAUGUGAUUUUAGAGAUUAAUUGGUUAACUACUCAUCAUGCUAAAAUCGAUUGUUUUCGUAAGGUUGUUAGCUUUCAUAUUCCUAACCAACCUAUUAUGCGAAUUCAAGCAACCAAACAACUAAAAUCAAUCACUAUCAUAUCAAGCCAUAAAGCUAUUCAUUUAUUAAAAAAUGGAUGUCAAGCUUUCUUAGCCCAUGUCACGGAUUUAAAUAAAAAUACGUCAGAUUUGAAUGAUAUUUCUAUUGUUCAUAAAUUUCCUGACGUAUUCCUUGAAGAAAUUCCUGGCCUACCCCUAGAGUGUGAAAUUGAAUUUUGUAUCGACCUUGAAUGUGGUACAAAACCCAUUUCCAAAGCCCCAUAUCGAAUGGCUCCUAUUGAACUUCAGGAGUUAAAAACCUAACUACAGGAAUUAUUAGACAUCAGUUUCAUUCGUCCUAGUACAUCUCCUUGGGGUGCUCCUGUUCUAUUCGUGAAGAAGAAAGAUGGAAGUAUGCAACUUUGUAUUGAUUAUCGGGAGUUGAAUCAUGUCACCAUCAAAAAUAGGUACCCGUUGCCUCGCAUUAAUGACCUGUUUGACCAGUUGCAAGGAGCUAAAUUCUUUUCAAAGAUUGAUCUUCGUUCCGGAUAUCAUCAGUUGAAGAUUAAAACUGAUGACAUUCCAAAGACUGAUUUCAGAACUCGGUAAGGGCAUUAUGAAUUUCUAGUCAUGUCUUUUGGAUUGACUAAUGCUCCUGCUGCCUUCAUGGACAUGAUGAACCGAGUAUUCAAGGAAUAUUUGGAUCACUUUGUGGUCGUCUUUAUUGAUGACAUCCUCAUAUACUCCAAAAGCCGUGAAGACCAUGAUCAACACUUGAGGCUGAUACUUCAAAAACUUCGUGAGAACAAGCUUUAUGCCUAGUUAAAGAAAUGUGAGUUCUGGCUUGAGGAAGUUGCAUUCCUUGGGCACGUGAUAUCAAAUCAUGGAAUAUCUGUUGAACCAGCAAAGAUUGAAGGAAUCCAAAGCUAGGAGCAACCAAAGUCAGUGACUGAAAUACGUAGCUUUCUUGGCUUAGUUGGUUAUUAUCGGAGAUUCGUGGAAGGAUUUUCUCGAAUCGCUACUCCAUUAACUCAGCUGACUCGAAAAGAUACAAAGUUCAGUUGGAGCGAGAAAUGUGAGAAGAGUUUUCAAGAACUCAAGAGAAGACUCAUUUCAGCACAUGUUCUGACAAUACCAUCUGGCUCGGAGGGAUUUGUCAUCUACAGUGAUGCUUCAGGCAAAGGGGUUAGGAUGUGUUCUCAUGCAACAUGGAAAAGUCAUAGCCUAUGCCUCACGACAACUCAAAGAAUAUGAGAGGAAUUAUCCUACUCAUGAUCUAAAGUUGGCAGCAGUCGUUUUUGCGCUUAAGAUUUGGAGGCAUUACCUGUAUGGAGAGAAGGUGGAGAUCUAUACGGAUCAUAAAAGCCUCAAAUAUUUCUUCACUCAAAAGGAACUCAACAUGCGGCAAUGACGAUGGCUUGAGCUGUUAAAAGAUUAUGAUCAUACCAUCCAAUACCAUCCUGGAAAAGCGAACGUAGUAGCUGACGCAUUGAGUAGAAGAUCAUAUGCGGGUACGAGUGCAAUAUUGUCAACGCUAAGACCCAUUUUGUAUGACUAACGAAGGAUGGAGAUAGAGUUAAAAACUCCAGGGACCCAUGUGAUAAUGACGGAUAUACGAGUAGAACCGACUUUAAUCAAUAAAGUUAAAGCUGCUCAAGCUACAGACCUGGAGCUGAUGCAUAUGAGGAAGAAAGUGCAAGAAGGUGCUAUUCCAGAAGCAAGAAUCGAUGAAGAAAGAAUACUUCGAGUCAACUCCAGACUUUGUGUUCCUAACGAUUUUGACUUGAAGUAUAAAAUCAUGAUGGAGGCAAACAACACACCGUUUGCAAUCCAUCACGGGAGUACCAAAAUGUAUCGUGAUCUUCGACAUACAUUUUGGUGGAGCAAUAUGAAGAGAGAGAUAGCGGGGUUUAUCUCAAGGUGUCUAACUUUUCAACGAGUCAAGGCGGAGCAUCAAGUGCCAAAAGGUCCAUUGCAACCACUUGAAAUUCCAGAAUGGAAGUGGGAGCACAUUACCAUGGAUUUCGUUACUGGUCUUCCCAAGGUUUCCCAAGGCGUAGAUGCGAUUUCGGUCAUUGUUGAUAGAUUGACCAAGUCUACUCAUUUCUUACCGAUACGAGAAACUUAUACACUUGAACGUCUUGCUAGUAUGUACAUAAAUGAGAUUGUAAGAUUGCAUGGCAUGCCAGUAUCCAUAGUUUCUGAUCGAGACCCAAGAUUCACUUCAAGAUUUUGGGUUAGUGUGACGCCCCCAAAAUAGGUCCACACGAACCAUUCUGAGUCGCCAGAUAUCACACUAUAAAAAUCAAAUACAAACUUUAUUUAUACAACUGUUGAACUGUCGUGCAGAGUACGACAACAGUUAACUGUGAGUUUUAAUACAAAUAUUGUCAUCGUAGACAGUAUCCAAACUCAAAUUGUUACAAUGCCAUAUAAAAUACAGCAGCAAAUAUUUUAAGACCCCAAAGAAGAACGAGAAGAUUACUAUCAUAUUCAUUCUAAUGAGGUGCACUUUUGACGCUUUCAAAGUCGGGUUCUCAUCACCCUUAUUGUUGUUCACCAACAUCAAUUAUUAAGUGACGUAUAAAAUACAACACACACAUCUUAGGUCUUUAAUACAAUUAUCGGUUGCAUAUCAUGCCGUUUUAUAAUGUAUUGAGAAAUUUCGACAGUCUCGGACCAUCACACUAUUUUCCUGUUAUCCCCGCUCGACCCAGCUACACUCUUAUUACCUAAAAGGAAUUGUGAAGCAAAAGGGUGAGCACAAUUAGCCCAGUAAGGAAUAUCAUGGCUAAGAUAAUUAAUUUAUCAACAGCCUUUAUCAGAAUAAAUCAGAGAUUUAGAACAUAUGGUAGAUAAUAAAACGUUUCAACCAUAGUUGCAGCGGAACGAGUAAUCCAUUAGAUGAGUCAAGUAGAACAUAAUGUCUACUAUCUCCUCUAGAUUAAAAGUCCAUCGUUGAUAUUUUAUUCCUGUAAUACUCAUCAACAGUUCUUUGUUAUACUUAAGACAAAUAAAACUUUCAACACUUGUCUUCACCUGAACCACCAAAGAUGUUAGUUAAAUUCACAAUUCAUAUUUAUAAUAAUGUGAAUUAACAGUUCCUUCUUUCCACCAAGACUUAAUAGAAUGUUUACUCAAUAUCUUUACCCCAAAGGCUGAAGGUAUUCAAAUGUAAUAACAAUGAUCAUACCAAUCAGUUGUCUAUCUUUGCAUUACGGGCCAAAGAUAUUCAACUAUAGAACCAAUGGUCAUGAUCAUACCAAUCACAUCAUUGAAUUAUCCAUGCACUACGGCCAAGGAUAUUCGUUAGUAUCACUAGUGGUCAUGAUCAUGUCAUACACCUGUCCAUCUUCACACUACGGGUCAAAGCUAUCAAAUAACAGAUCAUCUUUGCACUACAGGCCAAAAAUAUUCAACAACAUAUCGUCUUUGCACUACAGGUCAAAGACAUACUACUGUAAAACCAAUAACCAACAAUAUAAUAAAGAAUGGAAUAAUAAAAGAAUUUCACCAUGCGUGCGUAAUCCGCACAGAAAGGUUAUUCCAACAUAAUAAUAAAGAAUGGAACCAGGUCAUGCGUAAAUGCACAGACAGGAUAUUCCAACAGAAUAAUAAAGAAUUGAAUAACAACAGACUUCACCAAGUAUACGGUAAUCCGCGUAUACAGGUUAUUCCAACAGAAUAAUAAAGAAUUGAAUAACAACAGACUUCACCAGGUAUACGGUAAUCCACGUAUACAGGUUAUUCCAACAGAAUAAUAAAGAAUUGAAUAACAACAGACUUCACCAGGUAUAUGGUAAUCCGCGUAUACAGGUUAUUCCAACAGAAUAAUCAAGAAUGGAAUAACAACAGACAUCACCAGGUAUACGGUAAUUCGCGUAUACAGGUUAUUCCAACAGAAUAAUAAAUGGAACCAGGUCAGGAGAAAUUCGCACCGACAGGAUAUUCCGACAGAAUAAUAAAGAAUAAAAUAAUAGAAGAAUUUCACCAUGUAUGCGGUACUUCGCAUAAACAGGUUAUUCCAACAUAAUAAUAAAUAAUGUAAUACAUAAGGAUUUCACCAAGUAAAGGGUAUGACGCUUAUACAGUUUAUGUAUAGGGUAUGCCUCAUAUACAGGUUAUUCCAACAGAAUAAUAAAGAAUGGAAUAACAGAAGUUCUCUUCAUGAAUAAGAAAGAAUAACACCCCUUACUAUAAUAAUAUUAUCCCUUACCGUAAAAAAACUGAAAAUAGAGGUAGUGAAGUAGCAGAAUAGUCUUCUUCUUUCUUUCUAUAAUUUCUCUCUCUAGAGUUUCAGUGAAUUCGUAAGAAAAUAAUGAAGGAAUGAGCUUCUAUUUAUAGAAGAAUGGAUUGCAUAGUAACUAACUCAUGAACGGUCCAAAUUGAUUUACUUUAAUCUGACGGUCCAUAUUUAAAGCAAAAUCUUUUAAAUAAAAUAUAAUAUAUUCUAUUUAUAAUCUAAUAAAAUAAAUAACUUUAUGUAAAUACUAUGCAGGCACUAUGCAAAUACUAUGCAUAAUAAAAUAUAAUAUAAUCUAAUUAUUGUCUAAUAAAACGAAUAACUUUAGAAAAGUAUUAUGUUUUAUAUAAAAAGAUUUUACUAUUAGUCUAAUAAAAUGAAUAACUUUAUAAAAGUAUUCUGUUUUAUAUAAAAAGUUUUUCUGUUUUAUUACGUUAAUAAUACGAAUAAAACAAAACUUCAUCAUCGCUUACUUUGAAAAUUUUUCAAAUGUCACCCUUAACUUUAAACUUUUAUCAAUUUAAUCAUUUACCAAAAUAGAAAAAUUGAAUACUUUUAUUUCAUAAAAUUCGGGGUCUCACAGUUAGUUUGCAAAAAGCUAUGGGCACGGAUUUACGAUUUAGUUCGGCAUAUCAUCCUCAAACGGAUGGGCAGUCGGAAAGGACUAUUCAAACUCUUGAGGAUUUAUUAAGAUUAUGUGUCCUUGACUUCAAGGGAAGUUGGGACAAGUUCUUACCAUUGGUGGAGUUUUCCUACAACAAUAGUUAUCAAGCAAGUAUUGGCAUGACUCCAUUUGAAGCGUUGUAUGGAAGAAAGUGUCGUUCUCCAGUAUGCUGGGAUGAGGUGGGUGAAGCAACGUUGUUGGGACUGGAGUUGGUACGUAUGACUACGAAAAAGAUUCAAACGAUCCGACAACGUAUAAAAACCUCACAAGAUNNNNNNNNNNNNNNNNNNNNNNNNNNNNNNNNNNNNNNNNNNNNNNNNNNNNNNNNNNNNNNNNNNNNNNNNNNNNNNNNNNNNNNNNNNNNNNNNNNNNUAUAUAUAUAUAUAUAUAUAUAUAUAUAUAUAUAUAUAUAUAUAUAUAUAUAUUGUCCAAAAUUAAUUUUUAGUUUUUGAGAUGGCAUGUAACCAUCACAUAUAUAUUUCUCCUUAAUGUGAUUGCAUUUAAGCCAUAACAAAGAAAAAAGUUUAAAAUAAUCUUUGGUGACAGCCAAGACCAUCACGAAAAGAAAACCACAUGUGAUGGACCUUUAUGAUUACAUUUAAAGUAAUCUCAACAAAUGGUAUUAUAUGAUGGACUUUUUCAACAAUCACAAAAUAAUAAUAUACAUGACGGCUCCUAGUAGUGGUUAUUUUUUCCAUCACCAUAAACUAUUUGUGACGGACAAGACAAUCACUAAAAAACAAGCAUAUAUGAACAACAAAUAUAUUAGGCGAGGAAUUUACUAGCAAUCACAAAAUAGUAGUAUAUAUGGUAGAUGUUACUCAAUGUCUAAUUGUGCCAUUAUUAUUAAAUAUUUAAGACAAUCAUUACAAUCACUAAAUUUUUCGCGUAAAUUGUACAUCUCUUUUUUAAGUCCCCAUUAAUCUUUAUUUUGCUUUGUUCUCUUUGUAAACUCAUUGUUUUUAUUGUGAAUUCAAAGGAUUUAGAGUUUAUCUCGUUUUUAUAUAACUAACUAUUUACGUUUGUUCUCUUUGUCUCGGUUGGUAUAUAUCUACUUCUUUCUAUGCAAGAAGUCUAGAGUCCAAAUCUCCACCCAAAAAAGAAACAGUGCAAAUGAUGGAGCAAAAUUCUUGCUGUUGGGGAAGAGCAGAUGGACUAAUUGAUGUAACCUUCAAAUUGGUGGGAAGAAAUCUGAAAUGGAAGGAGCAGUAAGCAGGAUUUUUUUUUUUACUAAAUUUAAAUUGUAUUAAAGGAGAAAGAAUGUACAAAAAUCAUGGGAAAACCCAAUCAGAAUAUAGUAUAUACAUCACCUCAAUCAGAAUAUAACAUAGACAUCAUAGGACAUGCCAUAUGAUGUCAUGACUAAAAAAGAAAAUAAGGCCAGAUGCCCAAACAAAAGAGAAACAAUCUCAACAUUCAUGAGAAUACAAUGCAUAGAAAUCAGACACAAAACCAAGAAAAACCUCAUCCAAAGUAGCAGCAGCCCACAAUAGCAGCAAAAGAAAAAUCAGUCCAAAGACCAAAAGGCAUCAUCCAUAACAGAACCGAAAGAGCCUACUGCAGACUAGCAGCACAAUAGAGCACAAGGCCCAACAAGAGAAGCCAACAACAGUUUAGCAAAGCAAAACAGCAGACAGGACAUGGAAAGCAAGAGCAACAAACCCCAAGAGCCCAAUGGCAGCCAUAGAAGUGCAGCAGCUGCAGCCGACAUCAAAUAAAACAGCAGUAAACGAUAGCAGCCAUAAGUACAGCACCACCCCCCAAAUCUGCAGCAUCAAGACAUAGAAAUAGUCACAAUACUGCAGACCAAAACACGCAAACAAUGCAGCAUAAGCAACAAACAGAGCAGCAAAUAGGUCUAUUUUCCUGCUUGUUUUCAAGGUUGUGUAGUAUUUAUUGUCAUUUUAGUAUUUUACAUAUAUGUCCAUUAUGGGUAAAAUAAGUUGUUUGGCAUGGGCAAUGAUGCCAGUGAAGGUUUUCUUUCUUCAGUGCUUGAUGGAAGCUCUCGAGCUGUAGUCACUACAAAGAUGAGGAGAUGCUGAAACCAUUUUCGAGCACAGUGAGAUAUAAUAGUUACAUAUAUGAAUAUGCCAUCUCAGAUGAUCAUGUUGGUGUAACACAGAAGCAUGUCUUCCAUGUGCUGGUACCAUUUCUCCUUCCUUUUCUGACAGUAGGCCUAUGAUUUCUUCUGGGAGUGCUGAGAAAGAGACUGCUAGACUAGAAUAUUGUAUACGGCACUAGAAAUAGGGCAGUCUUUCUGUAAACUGCAGAGCUAUGGUUCCUUGGAAUGAUCAUUGCUUUACAACGCAUUGAGUUUUUUUUUUCUACAUUUCUUUUUCCUGGAAAAGCCUAUUUGAGGGAGGAAAUAGGAGAAGUAGAAAUUUGUUGUGGGUAGAGAUGUUUUGGAUUUGUCCUUGGUUUCAGUAAUUAAACAUCUGCCAUUUUUAUUUGCGAUUAUAUCCGGAGGAAGCUUUUAUAUACUAGAUUCAUAAAUCAAGAAGUUCAAUAUAGGGAGCACCAGCUGCAACAGCAGCAGAGCAUGAGCAGCAACAUUAAUGUAGGUGGAAGCAUUGAAAGGACGUUCUAUUUGUUCAUGCCAUUUAAUCAUGGCAAUCAUUCUAUUUAUUCAUGGUAAUCAUUUUAUUUGUAUAUGCUUGUUCUUAUAUAGCUUAUAUUGACAGAAAAUUUAAAUGGAAGCUAUGAGAACCACAUUUUAUCAAGUCUUUCAGGUGGGUUAGCCUCUGCAUAGCUCUUACUAUUUCUUGCAGCUCGAGGAGCUAAAGCUUCCUAAAGUAUAGAAAUCACAAAACCAAGCAAAUAAGUUUAAAAAAAAAAAAGAACUAAAGAUAGAGUCGCAUGUCUUUCAAAUAUGUUUCAAAAAAAAAACACAUUCUCUAAAACACUGGUAACAGAGCUUCUCUAAAACUGAAUUUCAUGUCCAAGUUCAUGUUAUCAACUUAUAGUCUUAUAUGUAAUCAACAUAACUCAAACGACUUCCUCUUUUUCUAAUAAUUAAUAACAGGGAAAAAAUUUAAAAAUAUGGGUGAAUUGGAGAAAUAUAUCUUACAAUAACAAAGAAAAAGGGAAUCCUAGUCCAGAAACUUGUGCGCGCUCUCACGAAAGAUGUCUCAUGAGUAAGCCUGAAUCUUGACGGAUCUGCAUGUUCAUUGUAGGAGAAAUUUAACAUAAAGAGAUAGCCUCAUGUACACAAAUAUUAAAAUGAAUACUAAAUUCAAACUACAGAAUGAUAAAUAGUCAUUUCUUGAUCGUGCAGCGACAUAACAAUGGAAAACUCGGUCCUGAGAGGCAGUUUCCUGCUCCCAGACCUUCCAGCCACGAAUCUGUACAAGUUAAAAACUUAUUAGCAUUAUAUGUAGAAUCAAUCAGGUGAUAAUAUGAAGAGUGAUAGUGUUUUAUAGAAAAUGAAAAUAUUCGAAAAUUGUUUCGAACAUAUAUUAAAAUAAAUUAUUGUCCUUUUAUUUUAUUAAAUAAAAUAUUAAAAAAAUCAUUGUCUUCUUUAAUGCAGUUUAUAAAGAAACACGGGAAAAUGAAUAUAGGCCAAGUUAGUGAUAAAAGAAAGUGAAUGACAGACUUGGCAGGAACUCUAUUACUGUAGAAAAAUAAAGCAACAAUUGAAAGGAUUCUUAUUUCGAUAAUGAAAGGAAAUAAUAAUCGACUGAUAAUUAUCUGGAACAUGCCAACUACUAUAUAUAUAGGAAAACAUAACUAAAAAACUCAGCUACGUAGGCCUAAAUAUCAUCAUCUUCUUCUUCUUCUUCGAAAUAUUCAUCAUCAUUAAAAUAUUCAUUAUCAUCUUCAUCUUCAUCACUACAUUCUCUAUCUUCAUUUUCUGCUUCCGCUAAUGAUGGAUCCACUUCCGCCCACAUUAGGAUUACUCGUCAAUGGUUGAUCAAAUUUGAUAGAUUCGCCUUCUGAAACAAGAAGUUCUGGCCCUGGAGGGAUAAUAUCAACCACUUGACGUCCAUCCGAUGCAUCCGUUAUGGUUAUUUCGUAACCCCCCUUUUCUUUUCGUAUUAUUUUGCCUACUAUACCUGCUGCUGUAGCAUUAUAAACCGUAUUGUUACUCUUGCUCCCGUCGGGAUAAAUCUGACCCCUUCCCCUGUUUCCGCCUACGUAUAUAGGAUAUUUUAAGAAGUGAACAUCUUUCUUAGUAGCGGGGUCCGGGGAAAGAAUAGGAAAGGUGAUUUCACUAUAUUUUUGACCAGGAACAGGGCCUAUCACAAGAAUAUUUUUUUUAGUGGGGCGAUAGCUCUGAAAAGAAAGAUUGCCUAUCCUUUCUUUCAUCUCGGGAGAAAUCCGAUCAACAGGAGCUAAUUCAAAACCCUCCGGUAAAAUAAGAACAGCCCCUACAUUCAAAGCCCCCUUUUUACCAUUAGCAAGAACUUGUUUUAGUUGCAUAUCAUAAGGGAUUCGAACAACUGCUUCAAAUACAGUAUCAGGAAGUACGGCUUGUGGAACUUCAAUAUCCACGGGCUUAUUAGCUAAAUGGCAAUUGGCACAUACAAUACGCCCAGUCGCUUCUCGUGGAUUUUCAUAACCCUGCUGUGCAAAAAUGGGAUAUGCACUUGAAAUGGAUGUCCGAGUUAUGAUAUAUAUCAUGAGCGAUGCGGAAAUGGAUCGAGUAAUCUGUUCCUUUAUCCAAGAAAAAGUCUUUCUAGUUUGCAUGGUCCAACCAUUGAUCCCGAAAAUUUCUACAAUAAAUUGGGUAGGUCGCUAAUAUAGUUCCCUAUCCGCGAUUCUGCUAUUUACUGGAAUAAUAUAUNNNNNNNNNNNNNNNNNNNNNNNNNNNNNNNNNNNNNNNNNNNNNNNNNNNNNNNNNNNNNNNNNNNNNNNNNNNNNNNNNNNNNNNNNNNNNNNNNNNNGAGAAUCAUCAAGCAAUAUCAAAUUCUGAGUUUGCUCCUCAAUAUUAUAUAAGUCAAAAUCAUGAAACUCUUCCUCUUGAUAUGUCUCUUCAUUACUAUUUUCGGCAACAUCAUAUGUGUUUCUUGCUUUUGUUGUGAUUACAGUAGACCAACCUUUAGCUUUAGUCGACACUGGAUUAGCAUAGAACACUUGUACAACUUGUGAUGCAAUAACAAAUGGCUCAUACGGCUUGUGCCUUGAAUUUGUAUCAAUUGUAGUUAUCCCGUACUUGUUAAUAACUACCCUUUUUUCAGAAUCAUACCAUUCACAUUGGAACAAAAAUACUGAAUUCUCUUCUCCAUAGUAUUCUAGUUCAACUACUUUAAUUAAUUGUCCAUAAUAGUCUCGUUCUUGGCCUUCAAAAGUACAUCCCUAGACUAAAACACCACUAUUUUGAGUUACCUUUCUUGACUCCAAUUCUUUUGUAUGGAACCUAAAGCCAUUGACAAUGAAUCCAUCAUAACAUGUUACCUCUCUAGACGGACCCAUAGCGAGCGCUUUUAGACGCGUAUCAACGACAUCAUCAUUCUUGACUCUCUUUUCAAACCAUUUUAUAAAUGUCGAAUUAUGUUCCUUUUAUAGCACUUUAUCCGACAUGUUUGGACGUAAUUCUUUCAAUAAAUGCUUGUGCUCCCUAGAAGUAAUGAAAUAAAUUAGUAGAUAUAGAGUAAUGAUUUACAUAUCUAAAAGUAAUAAACUUUAUAAGAAUUAAAAUGUCAUACUCGAUGAAAUCAAAGACUUCCUCAUAAUUAGACAAGAUGUAUAAGGUUGCUGCCUCGAGUUCUUUAUCAGAUAGAUCUUCACGUUUUCGUUUUCCUCCAAUUGGACGACCAGGCCUAGGGUGGCUAAAUAUUGAUAACUUUCCAUUAGUUUCAGCUUGACCGCCAUCGUCAUUUCGAUCAGCUCGGUUGAACUUGGUUUGCACCCUAAGAUCAAAAUAUCGAGAAGAAAAGUAAACUAGUUCGUCUAUUAUGUAUGCCUCAGCUAUUGAACCCUCGGGGCAAGCCUUGUUACGCACCCUUUUCUUCAAAGAACACAUGCACCUAUAAUUAUAUUGAAGUUAGGUAAUCACUUUAACUAUAAAAAAGCCUUGGCAAGAAAAGAGAUAUAAUUUAUUAAAACAUCACCUCUCGAAAGGGUACAUCCAACGAUAUUGUACUGGCCCUCCGACCUUGGCUUUAUAUGCCAAAUGAACAAGUAGAUGCUCCAUUGAAUCAAAGAAAGAUGGUGGAAAAAUCAUCUCAAGAUUGCAUAAUAUUUCAGCAAUAAAUAGCUCAAGCUUCUCUAACUCAGCUAACUUAUACACCUUAGAGCAUAUGUCUCGAAAGAAUUUGCACAAAGCAUUUAUUGGUUCCCAUAUAGAGUUUGGUAAGAAAUCACGAAAGGCCAAUGGCAAGAAUCUCUGCAUGAGAACAUGGCAAUCAUGGCUCUUUAGCCCAAUUAUUUUGCAAUUGUCAAGGUUAAUACAAUGAGAGAUAUUUGAAGCAUAACCGUCUGGAACUUUCAACGAUUUAAGCCACUUGCAAACUUGCUUGACUUCUUCGCUUUUUAAAGAAUAUUUAGCUUUUGGCAAUUUAAAUUUCCCAUUACCACUCUCUUCAGGAUGUAAUUCAAAUCUUAUACCAAGCUCUUGCAAAUCUAAACGAGCUUUAAGGUGGUCUUUUGAUUUUCUAGUAAUGUUCAUCACAGUGUAAAAUAAAUUAUCAAAAAUAUUUUUCUCAAUAUGCAUCACGUCUAAGAAAUGUCUUAUUAGAAGCAAACUCCAAUAAGGCAAUUCAAAGAAGAUACUUUUCUUUGUCUAGUUAUGCUCGAUUCCAAACCCAGGAGUCUUAUCGGUACUAUUGUUUUUAUCCUUUCCAAAGAUGACCGAACUAAAUUGAGAUACAAAAUUUAACUCCUCAACACCUGUUAGUCGAGGCGGGGGAUUUCUCCGUUCGGUUUUAUUAUUGAACUUACUCUUCUCAGCUCGAUAUUUAUGAUUACGCUUCAACCAACGACGAUGGCAUCCAAAAUAACUCGGCUUCCUCCCAUGUUUAAGGUUAAAAGCUACACUUGGAUCCAUACAAGGACAUGACAAGGCCCCAUGUGUACUCCAACCCUUCAAUAUGCCUAGCGCAGGAAAGUCACUGAUUGUCCAUAUUACAGCUGCUUUCAUAUAAAAAUUUUGCUUUGAGAAAGCAUCAUAUGUAUCAACUCCAACAUCCCACAAAGUCUUUAGUUCUUCUAUAAGAGGUCGCAAAUACACAUCAAUCUCUCUUCCAGGUCCAUGUGGACCUGGAAUAAGCAGUGACAUAAACAUGUACUCCUCUUUCAUACACAUCCAAGGGGGGAGAUUGUAUGGAACAAGGAAAACUGGCCAUGUCGAAUGAGGUUUGCUAGAAUGCCCAAAAGGAUUAAAUCCAUCAGUAGCUAAGCCAAGUCUUAUACUACGAGCAUCUUCAGCAAAAGAUGGGUAAUUGAGGUCAAAAUAUUUCCAAGCCUCACUAUCAGCAGGGUGCCUUAGCUCACCUGGAAUAUCACAUCAUUUUUCUUUGUGCCACCUCAUAGGCUCGGCCGUUUUUGAUGACAAAUAAAGCCUUUGAAGCCUUGGUAUAAUUGGUAAAAAAACUUAAGACCUUCCUUGCUAUUGGUUUAUUCUUUUUCCCUUUAACACUGCCAUGGUUUUUAUACCUAGAUUCGUUACAAAUUGGGCAAGCAUCUAAAUCUGCAUAUUCUCCUCGAAACAAGAUACAAUCAUUAUUACAUGCAUGUAUUUUUUGUAGAGGUUGCCCAAGGUCCUUCAUUAAGGCCUUGCAGUGAUAAAAUGACUCGGGUAAUUUAUUCUUUUUAGGCAACAUUUCCUUGAAAGCUGAAAGAAAAGCAUCAAAUCCAGCAUUAGACAAACAAUACUUGGAUUUUAGGUGCAACAACAAAGUUACGGCUAAUAACUUGGUGUGAUUUUGACAACCAUCCCACAAGGGCUCGUCUGCAGCCUUUAGAAGGUCAUAGAACUUCUUUGAUUCGCUAUUAGGAUCCUCAUCAAAUUUAGGGCUAAUGCAGCUUGUAAUAUCCCUUAACAUGUCUUUAGGCCAAUUUGCAAUUCCCUCAUCAAUAUCGUCAUCUUAAUUCCCUACUUUCUUAAGUGACUCCCCAUGCUCCGUCCAUGUAGUGUAGUUUGGUACAAAUCCAUGCUUAUAAAGACACAUUUCUACAUCUUCACGUGAUUUAUAGUUUAUGAAAUCACACUUGGCACAAGGACACCGAAUCAUGCCAUCAUCUACGCACUCAGGAUUAGAAAAUGCAAAAUCAAGAAAUGUAUUGACCCCACUCAUAAAUUCAUGUAUAUGUUUAGACUUUUUCCCAACAUGCCUAUACAUCCAACUUCGAUCAUCCAUCUACCAUUUGUAAUUCAAAUAAUUGAAAAAUGUUCAUUUAUGGUGAUAAUUAACCCUUUUAUGAAAUAGAAAAGAAAAAAAAAACUGUACUGACUUUACAACUUAUUUUCUAGCACACUGUUCUUAACAUGGUCACAACUUAUAAUUAAAGAAAACAACAUAUACUACCUGAAUUCAAGAUAAUAUUGGUUAUGAGGUAGUAAAUCAAACAGAGAAAGCGUAAUCAGAGAAAGCAUAUUAGAUUUUCUAAUUAAUGUUCCUAAUUAGUUUUAUAUUAGAUUUUUUACAUGCUACACAGGAAUUGGGGCCAAAUUCGAACAGAGAAAGCAUAAUCAAAAUUCUAAAAUAAUUGGGGCCAAAUUGGAACAGAGAAAGUAAAGAGGGAGACAAUAAACACCCAAGGAAGAGAGGAUUUACCUUCAAAAUCACAAAGCUUAACUUGGAUCACAACUUUGGUACGUAGAAGAAAGGGAGAUGGUUUUAGUUACCGUCUAUGGAGAAGAUGGGAAGAGUUGUUUAGAGCCGCAGAGAGCACUGGGCAGAGGCCGUCGACUGAGAGGGAGUAGUCGACUGUCGACUUUGUCAAGAAAGAGGCAAGCAAGUAGCAACUGAAGCAAUCAAACAAAGAGUGAAGAAGGAGAACUGAAGAUAAGGGCUAGGGCAAAUGUCAAAUGUGAAAGUGAAAUCAGAAAUGGACCGCCGACUCGGUCACUUAGGAUUAUAGAUAGGAGUGAGAUAUAAUAAUAUUAUAAAAUUGUUUUUUUUAAGAAUUACGGUUCGGUUAUUCGGGUAUCCAAAUAACCAGUUUUUGAACACCGAAUCUGUAAUCGAAUACUAAAUAAUAAUUCGGAUAUAACUGAAAUUGUAAAAAAACCGAAAAACCGAAAUAAUUCGGUUAAAAAAUUUCGAUUCGGUUCGGUAAUUCGGUUUUAUUCGUUUUUUGCUCACUCCUAGUCACUGGACAUUUAAUUUUUGUUGGCUUGUUGUUGCUGACUUGCUGUAUUUUGGACAGUUAAUUAGGCUUGCAUUAUUAAGUCAUAAAUUUCAUGUUGGCUUGUUGUUGCUGCUGGACAAGUAAGUUAACAGUUGCUGCCUGCUGGGCAGUUAAUUUGCUAAAUAGUUAACAGGGAAUUUAUGUUGUAUGAUAUUUCGGUUAUUACCCGAAUAUCCGAAAUUACAAUUCGGUAUUCGGUAAUUCGGUUAUUUUCACAUUUCGAUUAGAAUUUUGGAUAGUGGAAUUGUCAUUAAUUCGGUUUUCGGUUAUAACCGAAUAGCUUAUUCGGUUCGGUUAUAACCGAAUGAUCACUCCUACUAAUAACUUGGUAUUUUGAAUCAAAUAUCGGCAUCGACACAUAAGGCUGUAAAAUGAGCAAACAGUUCGGGGUCGAUUCGUACUCGCUCGACUAAAAGUUCAAUUCGAGCUCGACUCUAAAUAUAAAUGAGUCAAAUAUGAGCAAAUUUUAAAGUUCUAUAAAUUACUCGAACCUCCUCAAAUUAUAAUUUUCUAUUGAUACUCGGAUCAUAUUCGUUCGAAAAGUUCAAACUGUUCAGGCUCGAUUCGGAAUCGUACUCGACUCGAUAGCUAAAUGAUCCUCAAUCAAACCUUAUAAUAUACUUGAUAAAAUUUGUGAACCAAAUCUGAUAGAAAUACAUUACGAAAAUUUAAAAAGAUUAUAAAAUGAGUUUUAGUUUUAGUUGGACCAGAUUAAGUAAUCUCAAGUACAUGAAAUUAAAAAUAAAAUAAAAUUAACAAAUUGAAAAAAACAACAACUAGUAGACUCGGGCGUAAAUUAACUUUUAAGGGUUUAAUACACUAUUUGUACGUUCCAAAUUUUAUAUUUGACUUUGUACCAUUGACAUUUAUUUUUUCGUGGGCAUAUAUUUUUAUUAUUAUUAGUUAUUGUCAAUUUUGGUGGAUAAAUUAUUUAAUGUUUGAAGACUAUUUGGGGGAUAUUAAAUAUAUCAUUACUCAUAAUGAUAUUAAAUAUAGUGGGUGCAGAUGAUAGUAAUGUUAUAAAAAAAUUUCAGGCUUCACAAAGAAGAAUAUAAGUUAUUGUAUUAAGCUUCAAUACUUUUUGUAAGAGUAAUAAUUGAUAUUAAAACAUCAUUUUUAUUAAUAAUAUUAUUUUAAAAUAAUAAAAGAGAGGAGACUUAAUUUGUAGCUUAAUCUAAAGAAAGUAUAUAAAUUUUUAAUAUUAUUUUAAUUUAUUUUACUUUUUUGAAUAACAAAUUUGUACUUAAUUACUAGUGGAUCAAUUAAUUCAUAUCUCACAAAUUUACUAAAAAUAAUAAUUAAAUGAUACUCUUUUUUUUGUAGAACAAAGGGUAUAUCAAAAGAUAAUUAAAUCAAAAGAAAUUUAAGCUAAUUAAAUUUAAUUAAAAGAUAAUUAAAAUUUAAACAAACAAAAAUAGACUAAUUUAGUGGCAUAUUCCACUCAUUUUGAAGAAAUGGCGGGAUCUCUGUUUCUAUCUUUAAUUUCAAGUACCAUUGUAUAAACUUCCCCAUCUUUUCCAUAGGCAGCAAACUGAAACCCUACAUCCAUCUUCUACCAAAAUUGUGAUCCCAGUUAAGGUUGUGAUUUCAAAGGUAAGUCCUCUCUUUGGGUGUUUAUUCUCUCCAUCUUUCCUUUCUCUGUUCUAAUUUGUCCCCAAUUCUUAUUUUAGAAUUGUGAUUAUGCUUUCUCUUUUCGAAUUUGGCCCCAAUUCCUGUUUUUAUAGAGAUGUUUUACGAACUGUUAUUGACAAUUUGAUUGUUCAUGUGUUUGUGGAGAUUUAAUAUAUAUAUAUAUAUAUAUAUAUAUAUAUAUGAUUUUGAUAGCGUAUUUACUAAUUUUAANNNNNNNNNNNNNNNNNNNNNNNNNNNNNNNNNNNNNNNNNNNNNNNNNNNNNNNNNNNNNNNNNNNNNNNNNNNNNNNNNNNNNNNNNNNNNNNNNNNNNNNNNNNNNNNNNNNNNNNNNNNNNNNNNNNNNNNNNNNNNNNNNNNNNNNNNNNNNNNNNNNNNNNNNNNNNNNNNNNNNNNNNNNNNNNNNNNNNNNNNNNNNNNNNNNNNNNNNNNNNNNNNNNNNNNNNNNNNNNNNNNNNNNNNNNNNNNNNNNNNNNNNNNNNNNNNNNNNNNNNNNNNNNNNNNNNNNNNNNNNNNNNNNNNNNNNNNNNNNNNNNNNNNNNNNNNNNNNNNNNNNNNNNNNNNNNNNNNNNNNNNNNNNNNNNNNNNNNNNNNNNNNNNNNNNNNNNNNNNNNNNNNNNNNNNNNNAUAUAUAUAUAUAUAUAUCCCUCGAUUUAUAUAUGUAUGUUAAUUAGGUACGUAUAUGUAUGCAUGAAUAUAUAUGAAACUUUGUUAGUUAAUUACUUUGGUUGAGAAUGGAUUGUAGUUUGUAAACAAAUCUAAUAUGAAACUGAUUAGGAAAAGACUUAAAUUGGAAUUCUUCUUUUGGUUGAAUGGAAGGGUUACUCAUUACUUCAUUAAUUUGACAUUAAUUUUGUAUUAUUUUGUUUAAUUAUGUUUUGGUUGGUUAUGUUUUUCAUUUAUUUUAUUCUAUUCCAAGUCAUUAAGAGCACAUGAUGUUUUAGGUAAAACACUGAUUCUACUGGACAGAUGAUUCAUGUACAAAACCAAAGUUAGUGCACACACCCUAUUAUUUAAUAUUCAAAACAUUGGGUUGCUGUUGGGGUGGGUCUGUAGGAGGGCAGGGGUGGAGUUGCAGGGGAGGCGAAUGGAAGAGGGCAAAAGUGCUGGAUGAAGGAGGGACGUUGGCAUGUUCUUGAAUGAUGGUAACCCAUUCUUUAUACAUUUUGAAUGAGAGUGGUUAAUUGCAAAAAAGCACUUGCAAUAGCUACAUUGAAAUUGGUUCCAUUUAUGAGGGACAAGAAAAGCAGCAGUGGGCAGUAAGGAACUGCUAUAACAGUUUUGGGUAUAUCAUUCUAGCUCUAGAAUCUAGUUUGAAGACUUAACCAUAGAGUUUUAGUUUUAGUUGGAGCUGUACAUUCUUUACCAUUAAUGAUUAGUGAUUCUAUUCAAAGUUACCAUGCUUUUUUAAGUUCUCACUUGGGUUUUUGUAAAUGGGUCAAGCUUUGCUUAUUGUGUGCAAGAAAAUCUGAUAUCGCUGUGAAAUCUAUAGUAAGAAAAUUAAAAAUGGUCACUUUGAUAUACUUGCACUUAAUUGAUGCCCACAAUUGUCGUCUUUAAUUGUACUAAUCCAUCAAAGGAGCAUGUCAAUAUUGUUCUAUUCAGCAGUACUAUGAUUUAAUUGAUGCCCUCAUAGUAUCCAUCAAAAGAACAUUUAAUCUUGAUGUAACCAGCAUGCCACGGAACCUGACAUGUGUAGCAAAAAAGCUUUUUACAGUUCAGACAUAUUAGAAAUGAUUGUUCCAUUGAAAUGAUUGUUUGGCAUAUUAGAGGAUCUAACAAGUGAUUACAGUCCAAAGUGGACGACAUUUAAUGCUGGCUACAUUGUCUUCAACUUUUACUUCGAUGUACUUGGUGAAGCAAUCCACACAAAAAGGAUGAAAACAUUCAUCAUUCUUCUUGAAAACAUUCAAUGCAUAUCUCACAAGUGAAAGUUGAACUCUCUUCUUCACCUGAUUUAUCCUCUUCUGUUUUCGCCAAACUCACCUCUUGUUUUUAGCUGUGUGUUCCCCAUUGUUUGUUCUGUUUCUGUUGCAAAAAAAUCAUCAGCUCAUGUGAGAAACAAUUAGAGAAAGUGGAAUUGUACAACAGAAACAUGCAUGAAGUUGUAUAUUAUUGCAAAAUAAAUGGCAACUCUUUCUACAAUUACAAAGAAAAUGCCAAACACAUUUUGAAUUUGCAGCUACAACUAUUACAUGUGUUAUACAAGAGAUGAGAAUACAUUUUGAACAUGCAUGUGUCAAUUUGUGAUCUACAACACAUUUUGAAAAUGCCUAACACAUUUUGAACAUGCAUGUGUUCUACAAUUACAUGAAUUAAUUUGCAUGUGUUGUACUUUGUGUUGUGCAUAUAGUAAUAGGUUCAAUUAAAUGUUGUGUCAAGUGAUAGUGCUAAUUUAUUUAUUUUUUGAUAAAAAAAUGUACAUGCUUGUGGUAUAAUUUCAAACUAGUUUUCCAAUGAGUCAUGAUUAAUUAUUGCUGAUUAAUAUGUUGGGUAUAUAAAUUGUUCUUUGUACGGUUGAAUGUUAUUGUCUUGACAGGUAAGAUGCUAAUUGAUUUUGGAGCUAGUAGAGUAGUGAAUAAUUUUGAAAUUGUAUUACAACAUCAUCUUGAAUAAUUUCUUUUAUUUAUCCUAUAUUUAAUUAUAAGUUUUUUUUCUUCUCCAGCUAUGGUGAGAACUAGAGGUGGGAGUAGUCUUUCCGGUAGGAGAUCAACUCUUCCUCAUAAUAGUGGCGAGACUGUUAACAUGAACAGAAUGAGAGAUGAGCCUAUUGUAUCUCAUGAUAGUGGUGAGAGUAUUGAUAGGGCUACACCGAAUACUACACAAGCCGAAAGGUUAUCUCGUAAGAAAAGGGGGCCAACUCUAGGGAUAAUAAAGCCUAAAACAGGCCAAACAAAGAUGCUUGUUAAUAUCAUUGGACAAAAGUAAGUUUUUACUAAUCUACUCGUGCUUGUCAAUAUGCAAGUUACAUACAAUCAAUUCUGGAUACGUUAAAGAUUCAUUUUCUGACACAUAAUAUAACGUCCGUUUUAACUAUAACAGGGUAAUCUAUGUAGCACAAUGUAAUCCAAAGAACAUAAAAGCAACUAAUCAUAUCAUGUUACUAUAAAAAGCAAUUAAUAGGGGUUCCAUUUAACAAGAUUUGAUUAAUCCUAUUGUGACAACUUUGUUUCUACUUUUCAUUAUUGUUGUACUAAUCAUAUCAUGCUAUGUUACCAUAUCUUGUAAUUAGCUUCCUUGAACCUGAAGCUCGAAGCAAGACUCACAUAUUAUUUCAAAAACGUUUUAAAGAAGCUCGAACCAAAUUCGAGCAAUGGCCAAAACAUGAAAUUGAACUUCUUUGGGGAGAAUAUUUGGUAUGUUUUAAUGAACACACAUUUUAAUUGUAGAAAAAAGUUUAUCAAAAAGUGUAUUAUUCAUUAUAUAUUAAUUAUUAUUUUUACUUGUGGAUGGUGUUAUAGAAAUAUUUUCGUUUCUCUUCAUCGAAGGAGGAGGGAAGGGGUCGAAUCAUAUGGGAGGAAAAUGCACGAAAAAGCUACCCAAACUAUUUAUGGAGAUGGAAAGAUGAUGCCAUUAAGAAGUUUGGCUCCAUUGAGGAAGCAAGGGAUAAAAAGCCUAAUUGGACAACUCUUGAUGUGUGGCAGGAGAUGUGUGAUUAUUGACUGAGUAAAGACUUUUUAGACUCUAGUGAGCUACAAAAAAAGAACAGAAACAUAACUACGUAUGUUCCUCACACAUCAGGCUCCAUAUCGUACGCCGUUAGGAGGGAACAAGAGGUAAAUUAUAAGUUGAUAAAAUCAAAUUAAUAAUAUGCGUAGUCGAUAAAUGCACAUGAUAAUGGUAAAAGAUUCAUAUCAUGAUGCUCUGUUUGGAGUUUUUAAGUGUUCAUGUGGUAUGUAUUGCUUAUUUUUAAUAUUAAUGUUUAUAAUUAAAAUAAUUAUUAUUUUGCUUGUUUUGUCUUAGAAACAAAGACUGCAUCGUCCGCCAACGCAAUAUGAGUUAUAUAAACAAACUCAUAUGAGGAAGGAGAAGGGUAGCGAGGAAAAAACGUGGGUUUGUGAUGAAGCAAAGAGGAAUUUGGUAUGAUUUUCUCUUGUAAAAUUAUAAACUUUGUUUACUCAUGCGAAAGUGAAGAUUGUUGUUCGUUCUUUUCAUAAUUAGUUAUGAGUAUUGUUAAUUAUAUAUACAUAUUUUAUGCAUUGUAUAGGAUGAUUAUGAGAGAAGACUCUUAGCCAAACAUGGUGAUACAGAUAAGCCCGUGAAUGAGUUAGAUGAUCCAAAUUUGGAGACAUGGCAGAAAACUGUUGGAGGCGUCAAAAAGGGUAGACUUGUUGGUCGACCAGGGGAAAAAUGGAGUUCUCGUCGUGGUUCGUAUUGUCCAUCUUUGGUUGCAGAUGAGAACUAUAUUAAAUUAAAGAAAAUGGAAAGCUACAUGACUUAUAUUCAUCAAUACACAAAAAAUAUGGCCGAAACACUUGCACUUGAUCCUCCUAUAGACUUUUGUGAUUUGUUUGCUUCAUCAAAUGCAUCAGCUGAUAUUCCAACGAAUAACUCAACCACGCAUGCUGAGAAUGACAACGGAGAUGAUGACGACUCUCAAGAAAACUUCAUGGAGAAUUCAGGAUGAUUUAGCUCUGCUUUACUUAUCAAUUUUAUUAGUUUAGGGUUCUUUGAUAGAUGUUGGGUUUGUUAAUUGUUUGAUGAACCUAUGACAUGUAGUUACCUAUUUAAGUAGUUGGUAAUGAAUUUAUUUUUAAUUAAAUGGAUCAGAUUUCUUCAUUUUAAUAAAUUUGUAUGAUUUUACGUUUCAAAUUUAUUGUAAUUUAUGUCAUUUAUAAAUUUGAAAUAUAAAAUUGGCAAUUAAAUAUAUUUUAAUAUAGGAAUUUGGUGAUGGCUUUACUAUCACCAAAACGUAUAAAAAGGUUACAAAAAUAGGAAUAAUUGUGAUUGCUUUAGCCAUCACAAGAGACUUAUGCCAUCACAAAAGAAUGUGAUUGUUUUGGCCAUCACAAAUAAUUGGUGAUUGUUUUGGCCAUCACAAAAAGAUGUGAUUGCUUUGGCCAUCACAAAUAAUUGGUGAUUGUUUUGACCAUCACACAAAGAUGUGAUUGCUUUAGCCAUCACAAAUAAUUGGUGAUUGUUUUUACCAUCACAAAAAGAUGUGAUUGCUUCGGCCAUCACAAAUAAUUGGUGAUUGUUUUGACCAUCACAAAAGAUGUGAUUGCUUUGACCAUCACAAAUAACUACUAUGCUAUCGAGAUUACUUUCGCCAUCACAAAUAACUUGUGUGAUUUCGUGAUGGUCAAACUAAUCACAAAAUACAUGUGCGCUAAUGUGACUGAUUUAGUCAUCACAAAAGGAUCGAAUGUUUUGGUGAUUGCCAAAACCAUCACGUAAAACCUUUCAUGAUGGACGUAUACAAAACGGCCAUCGUGAUGCUUAAAAUCAUCACGUAAACCUUUCGUGAUGGUUUUUUUAGUUUUUGUGAUGGAUUUUUGCCAUCACAAAUGACCAUUUUUUUAGUAGUGAUCGAAAGGACGUGGAAUUUAAUAUUGGAGAUCACGUGUUGUUACGUGUUGCUCCAUGGAAAGGAGUUACGAGAUUUGGAAAGAGAGAAGCUCAAUCCUCGAUUCAUUGACCCAUUUUUAAUCCUCGAGCGAGUAGGAACUAUGGCCUAUAGACUCGCCUUACCGCAAAGUAUGUCUCGUGUUCAUAACGUUUUUCACAUAUCUAUGUUACAUAAAUAUGUGAAAGACCCGAACCACAUUAUUGAAUUAGAACCAGACAAGAUAGAGGAAGAUUUAACAUAUGAAGAGUUACCUAUUAAAAUCUUGGAUAAGAAGGAUCAUAUUCUACGCUCCAAGGUUAUACCUCAAGUCAAAGUUUUAUAAGAGAAACCACGAUGUGGAGGAAAUGACCUGGGAGUUAGAAUCUGAGAUGAAGUCAAGAUAUCCUCGUCUCUUCGAUAUACCAGGUACGUACCCUAGUUUCGAGGAUGAAAUUUCAUAAGAAGGGGAGGUAGUAAGACCCCAACUUUUAUGAAUAAAGAAUAAUUUUCUCAAAAUAUAUUUUUGAAUAUUAUGGUGUGGAUUUGAUAUAAUGUUAUAGUUGUGGGUAUUAUUUACAAAUUUUGCAAAGUAAGCAAGUGGUUAUAUAAUAUUCGAUUGGUCGGGGAAUAUUCGUUUUAACAGGGAAUAUUCGUACGACGGUACAAUCAUUGGUGGACCCCACAAAGAAAGUAUUGUUGUAGUUAAAAAACGACAGAAUUAUCUUUUUAUAAAAAUAAUGGCGAAAGUGUUGCCGUUAAAACUGUUGAACUAACCGGUAAUAAAAGUACAGUAAUACGCGUGGUUGCAUAGUAGUACACAGUAUUGAUUAUUGAUGUUUACGUGAGAAGUCACUCAGUUAUACUCAAUUAUUACUAUAGUAAUUGUUGCAUCAUAUCUCUCAUAUUAUUGAUUCAAUUAUUGUCACAGUAUCAUCUGCAUAAUAUGUUAUAUUAUCAAAUCAAUAAUUGAGACGACAAAGUUAUUAAUAUUAUUAAAUUACAAUAUUGACAAUGUCUUGAAGUUCUGUCAAGGAGAGGUUAGAUAAUCUAAUUGCGCGCCAAUAGGGAGAAAUCCUCAUCGGAAAGCCCCCUCUUUCCUGGAAACUACCUGGUUGUUAAAUAUUAUGAGUUAUAAUAUUAAUGAUGAAUAAGUUUGUGUUGAUCAAAGAUGAAAUUAAUAGUUCCAUUGUAUGGAAAUUAUUAGUGUUAGUUGAAAAUCGACAUUUAUUUCGAUAAUAAUUGAUGUCUGGAGGUUUUAUUGACCAAUCGGGUAAUUAACCGGAUAAAUGAGCAAUUAAUUGCUAUUUAUUCACAUGCUUAUAACUAUGUGUUCACAUGUGUGUACUAUUGAUUCACAUGCAUGUACUGUUAGGGGAGUUGGUGCAAGAUUGAUAAUACUUGCAUGACUAAAUUAAAAAUUGAGGUAUAGAUGAAGGUACUAUACUAUACUUAAUUUUUUCACAUGUUUAGAACUAUUGAGUCACAAGAUUUACUAUUGAUUCACAUGAAUUACUAUUAGGGGAGGUGGUGCAAGUUUGAUAAUACUUGCAGGACUAAAUUAAAAAUAAAAAAAAAGAGGAAGGUAUUAUACUGUAAUAUUUUGAGCCCCAAAAUGUGCAAUUAUUGAAACUAUAUUUUCCUAUAAAUAGAAGCUCAUUCUUCCUUCAUUUCUUACCAAUUCACUAAAGCUAUAGAACAAUUAUUAUAGAGAGAAAUUAUAGAGAGAAAGAAGAAGAGAAGUAUGCUACCUCACUACUCCAGUAUCCAGUUUUCUUCUAAGGUAAGGGGUAUUAUUUCUUUCGUAUUCAUGAAGAGAGUUAUUUCUUUCAAUACUCGUAAGGGUUGUUAUUCCAUUCUUUAUUAUUCUGUUGGAAUAACCUGUAUAGGUGGAUUACCGAAUGCGGUGUGAAAUUCUUCUGUUAUUCCAUUCUUUAUUAUUAUGUUAGAAUAACCUGUCUGUGCAGAUUAUGCACGCCUGGUGAAUUCUUUUGUUAUUCCAUUCUUUAUUAUUUUGUCGGAAUAACCUGUCUGUGCGGACUACGCACGCCUGGUGAAUUCUUCUGUUAUUCCAUUUUUUAUUAUUCUGUUGGAAUAACCUGUCUGUGCGGUCUAUCGCAUGCCUAGUGAAUUCUUUUGUUAUUCCAUUCUUUAUUAUUUUGUUGGAAUAACCUGUCUGUGCGGUCUAUCGCAUGCAUGGUGAAUUCUUCUGUUAUUCCAUUCUUUAUUAUUCUGUUGGAAUAACCUGUCUAUGUGGAUUACCGCAUGCAUGGUGAAUGAUCCUUUGUAUUCAUUCCUUAUUAAAUUGUGGAAAUGAUAUGUCUACGUGGAUUACCGCAUGGCGGGCAAAAAUCCAUUUGCAAUUUUAUAUAUUCUAUUAUACUCAGUUGCUUAAAGUUUUGGCUUCUAUACUCCAUGAAAUUAGUAGAAUAUCCUGGAUAUUUGCGCUUCAUCCAAUAUCUUUUCAUGGACAUAUUCUUCUGAGCAUUCUUGAAUUUUACUCCACAAAGCAGUAUUAUGUUGACAAAUUGGAUGUUAUUAAUUUCUGGAUAAAUUAAAUUAUAAAUCUUUAAUAUUUAUCCUUGAACUUGUUUUAUUGAAUUAUUAUGUCAUUGUCAUCAUCCUCAUGCUUAUAUUGUGAUGAAAGUCAUCUUUGGCUUACGUGCAUAGAUGGAUUUGGUAUAAUUAUGACCAGGAAUUAUUCGGUAUAAUCAUGACUGUAAUGUGACGAAUGAUGUGGUGAAAGUCCUCAUUGGCCUGUAGUUCAUUGAUGGACAGUUGUUGGUAUGAUUAUGACCAGGGAUUAUUCGGUAUAAUUAUGACCAUUGAUGAUUACACGAGUAUCCUUGGCCAUAAUGCAUGGAUGAUUCGAUUUUAUUUAUUAAGCUGAGUCUCAGCGAUAAAGUUGAUGAAAAACUUUUUAAGUCAUAGAAGAUAGUAGAUUUUAUACUCUAUAAUUGACUCUUCUAAUGGAUUGCUUAUUCCGCUGUAGUUUUUUAUCUAAAACUUAUUGUCUAUUAUAUUCUUUCAGUUGUUAUACUGUUGAAGGCUAAGGAUAAUUUAUUUUGCAUUAUCUUAGUAAUAAUAUUUCUUACUGGGCUUGUUGAGCUCACCCUUUUCUUUCAUGGUUCUCUUCAAGAAAUGAGAACGUAGCUGGGACUAGUCGGGGAACAGAGUGACGGUCCAGAUGUUUGGAUUAGUAGUCCUCACUAUUCUGUGAAAUAGUGUGAUAAUAAAUGUAAUGAGGACUCCAUUGAGUGUGGAUAUUGUCUAGAUGACAAUAUUCUUAUUAAAACUCUUAGAUUAUGUUUUGUCGUAUUUUACACGACUGUUGUACAAUUAAGUUGUAUUUGAAUUUUGUACCAUGUAUCUGGCGACUCAAGAUGGCUGAUGUAUACCUAUUUUGGUGGCGUCACAUUAACCCUAUUGUUAUAUAUAUUAUAUCCGAUUAUUGUUUAUCAACAUAAUAUUAUACUAUAUAAUUCAGAUAUAUAUUCUGUUCAUUAAUUUCUAAAAAUGAUUAUACAAGUGUCUCCACCUGGAUAAUCAUUGUAUUUAAUCACAUGUUGAUAUAUAUAUAUAUAUAUAUAUAUAUAUAUAUAUAUAUAUAUAUAUACCUAUUGAACCCCAGUAUGUAUACAUUAAGUAAAAGUCGUCUAAGCUAUUCGACCAGCUAGACACAAAUUUAGUUAUAUCGUUUAAUAUGACAAAACUUUUUUGUAUCCAAUCAAAUUAUUUUGGUUCGGAUUCCAGACUAAGUAUGAACAUCCCGAACAUGAGAAAACUUUUAUGCGCCCAAGGCGGACAGAGUAAACGAUAAUAUCUUUCUUUCAUGCAGUAUUGAUCAAUACAGGGUCCAUGGGAUGUAUACCCUCGUGCCCGUAAGUUAUGACGGUUUGCAGAUGAAGUUCUGUUUAACCUUUUUGAAAAUAGAAAACAAUGUGUAUGUCACCCUAACCCUAUAUAUAGUCAAUACAUAGUUUCAAAAAUGUGAGAUAGAGUUGAUAUGUUAUUAUUAUCAGUUUAGUUUACUUCACAACUAUUGAAUCGUUGUAGAAGUAAUGUACAAAGAAAACAUUUAAUUCUUUCAGAUAAUUAUAUUUAUAAUUGUUAUUACUUGCUGGGCACUCAAAUGCUCAUCCUUGCUUAAUUUAAAUGUUUUCAGCUAAGCGUGAUCAACCUGAAGGUUUAGACAAUAAUAAGUGAAAAGGAAAGCAAACAGAAUAUGUUUAACGGUAUCUUUUGUAAUAGUUAAACUGUAUUAAGAUAAUGAUAUGUAUUAUCUAUCAUGUAAAGAAUUAUAGUAAAUGUUGCGUACUUGGGAUUAGACUAUGAUAUUUGUAAAUUAAGUUUGAUUUUUAUAUUAUUGUUAUUAUUAUUAUUAUUAUUAUUCUGCUCAUAAAAAUGGUAUCGUGAAGCACCGAGUUCGGGUUUCAAGUACCUAAAUUUGGGGGCGUCACAGUAUGGUAUUAGAGCUAUAGGUUAGAAACCUUAGGUGGGUUAAACCUUAGGCUAUAACCUUAGAACAGAGGGGAACGUUGAAAAUACAAAUAACUCAUAUAGAGUUUAUAAGGAGAUGAAUUUAAUAAAUUCAUCGUGAAACAAAAUAAAAGAUAACUAAUAAAACUAUUAUUUGCUAUGUGUUUAUACUUAGUGUUAAUCCGGAUAAUUUAUUUGUAUAGAUGUCAGAUAGAAAAAGAAUUAGAAUACCCUCAGAUCAUAAAGAAAGAGCAAAUCUCCAUGACCGAGCCAAUAUUAAAGCUAAUAGCUGAAAUAGAGGCACACAUUGAAAACUACCUCAAAGAGGAGGUUAUUUUGGAAAGUAUAAUACCAGAUCCAGAGACGAUAGUAUAACAGAUAGGUUGAGUGUAGUUAAAGAAUAUAUGGUGAAGCUUGAGUUCUUAAACUCAUUUAUUUGUGGUAAGUUCUUAAACUCAUAAUGUGUAGUAAGAAAAAGGGAAGUAUUUUAGAAUACCUCAUAUCAUUCUCGAAUUACUACUUCAUCUCCUCACCAGCUCUUGAACCCUUGACCUCUAGAAACUCAAUAAUCAAACGAGUACCAAAUGUCUACAAGGAGGACUAGUAUAGUUAUGUGUUAAUGGAUUAUUGAGGAUAAUAGAAUAUAUAGAAUGCUAAGCAAUUGAUCAUUAGUAAAGACGUAAGAAAUAGAUAGUGUUAGUAUUACUUGAAUAGGUAUGAUUCUAUGUGGUGUAAAUGAUAAGUAUGUCUGUGUAAGGAAAUAUUCUCAACUUUUGUAUAAGUUAUGGCUGCGAUUCCUGACUUGUGUGUUAUAAAGGAAUAGCGGAUGUUUAAAGCAGUAUGUGCUAUGGUAUGUCAAGUGAUAUGAAUAUGAGUCUAUGUUGGAUUAACGAAAUAAGUUGAUAUAAAGAUAGUAAUUAUUUAUCUGAACACUGGUUAAUACAGUAAACCGAAUUUUCAAAAUCUAAAAUUUUGAGUACAUGAUUAUUUGAAUAGAAAGUUUUGCGUUAUUUGAGAUGCAUGUACGAUAAGGCUUAGAAUGUAAGUUAAUAAGAAUAAUUUAUGAUAAUGCCAUCGAGAAGAAGAACCUGUCAAUAAAGCUAGAAGAUAACCAGACCCGCCAUAUAAUUUUGCGAAUGUGGACGCUCAAGCUAUGCAGAACGGAAUCCCAGCCGCGGGAAAUCGGCCAGAUAAUCGAUCGACAAACUUUAGAGACUUCAAGGCAAUCGUACUGCCAAGAUUUAGAAGAUCAACUGAUCCUGUUGACGCGUUUGUGAUAGUUAGGGUAACAUAGGGGCAAAAAGACAGCUUUUGCCACCUAUACGAUGAAAGGAGAUAGUUUUGAUAAUACCUGAAAUAAGCCAAGAGUGUGAUGGAAAGGAAAGUUUGUGUGUUGCAAAUGUGGACAGGAGGGAUAUAUCUCUCCUAACUCUCCCAAUCCAAAAGUGUAUAGUGGGUGUUUUAUUUGUGAGUUAAGGGAGCAUAAGGUGAAAGACUGUUUAAGAAAGAGAAGGGAGGCAAGGAAUGCGAAUACGAGGAGAGGCAGCAGGACAUUGACGACAACGAGACCAACUUCAACAAACAAACUGACGGAAUCAACCGCAAGAGUCAUCAACAUGACUGUUUAGGAUUCGGUAGCAGCCGGGGAUGCAACUCCAAGUAUUACUCGAACCAAUUUUAUUUUCUUAUAUAUGAUUUUCUUAUAUAUAUAGUAAAUUAUUUUAUAAAUUAUUUUGAAGGAGGAAUUUGAGUUCUUUUAGAAAUCAAAUUUCUGUUUAUGAAGAUAGAUAAGCUUUUUGCUGAAUAGUUAAAGAUCAGUUAGAUCAAUUAUGAUCGAGAUCUACUUGCAAUGAUUGUAUAGGUUAUGUACCCUUAUAUGUAUAGGUUUUAAAACGGUGAUUCCGGGGACGAAAUCUUUAUAAGGGAGGGUGAAUGUAAUAACCCGAUAUUUUCUAUAUAAUUAAAUCAGAAAUUUUGUGUAUGAAUUUAUUUAUUUAUUUAUUUAUUAAAGUUGGAAAUAUGUGCCAGGUAAUGUGUAUAUGUAUAUAUGUGAUAAAUAAAAUAUAUUUAUUGCAUGAAUAAUUACCAAUAGUUUUAUUUUAGAAUUAUUGCUCAUUAUAAAUUAUAUUAUAAUAAUAAUUAGUUUUAUAGUAGAAAUGUUUUUAUUAAUUCUAUUCUAUGAAAAUGUGUUUAUAUAUUAUUUAAAAAUUAUAUGAAAUGAUUAAAGACUUAUUAUAAUGAUUAUUCUGUUUUAUUAUAUGAAUUUUAGUUCAGAUUAUUUAAGUUAAUUAUUUUAACUUAAUUAUUAUUGUUAUGUAUGCAAGAUAAAUCAGAUAUGGAAUCCAAAUCCUAAUUUUGGAUUUUGAACAACGAAUGAGAAUAAUAAUAUAAUAUUAAUUAUAUUUUUAUUCUUCAGUGCUAUAAAUAUGUAUGUUAUGUUUGUAAGGUUAAUCUGGGGAGCAAUUUCCUUAUGACCUGAUAAAACCCUAAUUUGAAAGUCAAUUACGACUGUAAAAUCUGUUAAGUCAUUGUGAUAUGUGGUAUAUGAUUUGUAUUAUAAGUAUUAAUGUUAAUUAUAUAAAACCCUAAUUAGUAAUUUAAAACUCUAUUUUUCUUAUAUUAGAAACCCUAAACAGUAAUUAGCUAUCCGCUAAGUGGAAACCCUAAUUUAAAACUCAACUAUGAGUUUGAGACUAUUAUGUAACUGUGUUAUUAUGUUUAAGGUUAAGUAUUAUAGAAUUUUAUAUUAAUUAGAGAAACCCGAAUUAACAUUUAGAAAUCCUAAUUUCCAGAAACCCUAAUUUCUAAAUUAGUAAACCUAAUUUCUAAAUUAGUAACCCUAAUUUACUAAAAUAAAAUCCUAAUUGUUAAUUUAGCACGCUUAAUGAUAAUUAGUAAAAUCUAAACCUAAUUUUCAAGUCUAUGUAAUGAGGAAACCAAAUUAAUUACGAAACCUUAAUUUGUAUUUUUAGAAACUAAAAAUUUCAAUUUUUGUUUAAAUUAGAAAUCCUACAACACUUUGUGCUAAACCUUAUGGUCAAACCCUAAGGGUCAAACCCUAAGUGUUUGAUAAGUUACUAGUUUGCCCUUAAAUUGGUUAGCCAAAUGACAAAAAUACCCCUCUUGCAUUAUUGGACAUAACUUGUAAGACUAACCAAUUUUGAGUUGCUCAACAACUCUUACCAGCCCCAUUUGACUAAAAUGCCAGCAAUUAGCCAACUUGAUUUCAUGUUAUAUAUAGAGAGAUCAGGAAAGAGAAAUUUCAUUUAUUAGCCACAUUUGUACAAAAAACUCCUUACCAACUCUCUCUCUCCCAAAACCCACGAAAUGUUGUAGUAGAUCAGUCCCAUAUUAAAGCCCCACUAACACACUUAACCAAAUCAGCAGCCAGAAUCAAGAAUUGAUGUUUAAAGGUAUAAAAUCCUAAGUUAAAGUUUUGAUCUUGUAUGCUAUAUUGGAUUUAUGGUUUUUAUGUUUAAUCAUGUAGAAUAAGGUGUUAAUAGGUGAUCUGGGUUGGCACAUGUUAGAUCCAUAACAUCAAAGUGCUCGAAAUCUAAGUUUUUCAAAAUCUGGAAUUUUUUGUUUUUGUUGUCUGACAGCGAAUGUCAGGCCUUGUAGAUCUGUGCUUGUUUAUUGUUUUGAUGAUUUAAAGGUUUGAAGUGGUAGUUUGGUAUGAGGUCUUUCAUAUGAAAGUGGAAUCACUGUUAUUGGAUGUCUAGAUCGAAAGUUAUUGAUGGUCAAAAGUCGUUGACCAACCAUGACCGAGUGUAAAUCUGGGCAACCCAGAAAGCUUUUUCAGCGUCUGACAAUGUUUUGGAAGGCUUAGAUCUGUCAGUGUGUAAAUGAUUUGAUGAUGUUAUAAUAUACAGUUUAUAGCCUGUCAUAUGUACUUUAUAUUUGUGGCUUUAGAUCCUUUAAACAAACAAUUGAUCAAACUUAGUGGAUGGUCAAACUUGGCCCCUCGGUCACGAUUUCAUUUCUGGGAAUUUCCAGAAAAUCGGAAGAACAGCCCUCUGACAGGGUUUGACCAAGUUAUAUCUUGUAGAUCUGUUGAUGUUAAACUGAUUUGUUGUUAUAUUAUUGUUCCUGGACAUAAGGACUACAUCUUUGAGGCAUUAGAUCACUUGAAUCAUGAACGGAACCUAGAUUAAAUCGAGGAUGAAAGUGACUGGUCGACCACCUGGGUUUCUGGAAAACCCAGGAAUGCUCUGACAACAUAUUUGCAAGCCUAGAUCUCCUUGUGUGUUUGUUGUAUGACCUAGAUAUUGAUUGCUAGUUAUAGUGUUGUAUAAUGACUUCAAUAUUGAUGCUUAAGUUUGCCCAGAAACGAAUUAGACAGAGAAUUAUUAGUGGUCAAAGUUGACCCCUCAAACACAAAGCUAUAAGUGUUCUUGAGCUCAAGAACACCAACAGCGACGCUUACUGUCGCUAAAAGCCAAUAACGACGGUUUCUAAUACUUUUAAUUUCUGAUUUUUCGAAAAAUACUUAAAAAUAGAAAAUAAAUUAUAAAAAUUACAAAAAUGGUUUUAAAAAUUAUUUUCAAUUAUGAAAAAUAACUUUUAAUUAUUUGGGAUAUUUUUCAUUAAUAUUUAUAUAUUUUUUAAUAUUAAUAAUAUUUAAUUUAUUUAAUUAGUGUAUUAAAUAAACUAGAGAAAAAUGAUUUUAAUGUUAUAAAAAUCAAUUGAAAUAAGAAUAAAGUGUUUAAAAAUAUUUUUGAGUUAUAUAUGUAACUUUUAAUAUUUUUGUGAUGAAUUUCAUUAAUUAAUUAAUAUUGGUGAUAAUUAAGUAAUUUAAUAAAUGUAUUAAAUAAAUUAUGAAAAAUAGAAUUUGUGAUUUAAAAAUCAUAUAAAAGUGAUUUAAAGAUUAUAAAAAAAUAUUUAAAGUUAUAAAAUAUAACUUUUGAUAUUUUGUCAUGAAAAAUAUUAAUAAUUUAAUAUUAAUAAUAUUAGAUUUAUUUAAUGAUUAUAUUAAAUAAUUUAGUUUAAAAAUAAUUUUAUUAUUAUAAAAAUCAUUUUAAAUGAAAAUAAAGUGUUUAAAGAUAUUUUAAGUUAUAAAAUAUAACUUUUAAUAUUUAAAGGAUAAUUUCAUUAAUAAUUUAAUAUUAAUGAUAUUAAUUUAAGAUUUAUUGAUAUUAAAUUUAUUUAAUAAUUAUAUUAAAUAAAUAUUUUUAAAAUGGUUUUAUUAGUUUAAAAAUCAUUUAAAAGGAUAUAAUUGAAUUAAAAAUAUUUUAAGUUGGAAUUAAUGACGUUUAAUAUUUGGAUAAAUAGUAAAUUAAUAUUUUAAUAUUAAUGGUAAUUAUUUAAAAAUGAUUUUAAAUGUUUUAAAAAUCAUUUAAGGGUAGUAUUAGUACUUUAAAAAUAUUUUGAGUUAUUAUCAAUAACUUUAAUAUUUUGGUAAUGAUUAUAUUAAUAAUUUAAUAUUAAUUAAAUAUUAAUGAUAAUAUGAUUAUGUACUAUUUAAAUCAUUUAAUUAUGAUUCCAGUGUUUGAAAUUUCAUAAUAAAUUAUAAUAAAUGUUUAAAAAUUAUUAUAAGUCAUUUAAAAAUAAUAUGAUUGAUACUUGUAGAUAUUGAGAUACAAUAUAGAGUCUUAGACUCGAUAUUUACCCAAUAAAGCCGUCGGUAGACCGACAUAUUUUAAAAAUUGAUCUAGACUUAGAUAUUUGACUGUAUUAAUGUUUGUUUGUGAUUUAAUGAUUGUUGAAUAUGUGUGACAAUGUGAUUAGGUUAUGUCCUAACUGCAAUAAGAAGUGCUAUGUGUUAUAGUAUGUUAUUCUAAUCGAACAAAUGAUUUUAUUAAUGAUAGGUUUUGGUAUUAAAGAUAAAACUAAGUUGUGUAUUGUAAGUAGCAGACCAGACAAGUAUCCUAUCUUUGCAUUUUCAUUAUGCAAUGGACAUGAGUAAGAAGUUUAGAACUGUAUUACUACUGUAUCAGAUUAUUAACCCUAUUGUUAUAUAUGUUAUAUCCGAUUAUUGUUUAUCAACAUUGUGACGACCCCAAAAUAGUUAUACAACACCCAUUCUGAGUCGCCAUAAUACAUGGUACAGAAAGAAAACUACAACUUCACUAUUACAAUUGUCAUGCAAAAUACGACAACACAUACUGUGAGUUUAAAUACAAAUAUUGUCUUCUAGACAAUAUCCACAAUCAAAUAAGUCCUCAAUACAUUUAUUAAUACAUUAUUUUACAAAAAUAGUGAGGACUGCUAAAAUAACUAUCUUGAAUCAUCACUCCAUACCCCGGCUAGUCCCUGCUAUAUUCUCACCUCCUGAGAAGAAAAAUGGAACAACAAGAAAAAGGGUGAGUUCAACUAGCCCAGUAAAGAAUAUUAUGACUAAGAUAAUAUACAACAAAUUAUCAUUAGUCCUCAACAGGGAAAAAUCUGAUAGAAUAUAAUAGACAACAAGUUUUAGAUCAGCAAAUGCAGCGGAAACAACAAUCCAUUAGAAGAGUCACGUAGAGAAUGAGUUCUACUAUCUUCUAAGAUUUAAAAGUCCAUCAUCAAUAUUUUAUCCCUGUAACAACAAUCAAUAUACAUCUUUACACUACAGGCCAAAGAUAUUCAUUUAAAUCACCAGUCGGUCAUGUUCAUCUCAACACCUGUUCAUCUUUGCACUACGGGCCAAAGAUAUUCAUCAGUUUAUCAUUCAUCUUUGCACUACAGGCCAAAGAUAUUCAGUAAUAUCAUCAUUUAGGACUGAGGAUGAUGAAAAAUAUUUUUUUUUAAAGAAACGAAUCCAGUGAAACAAAAGGACAAGGAUUAAGAAUUCGUACUUUAGUUUGUCCAAAUUCAAAAAUACUCCAUAAUAAACAAUUAUGGGACAAAUUUUAAGAAUGAAGAUCAAAACAUGGAUAUAAUCAAAGCUAGUAUCAUAAUGGACAUUUUGGAUAAAAAGGAAAUUUUUUAUUUUUCGGUGAAUAAUGUCGUAUUCGUGAAUAGUGCUGUAUACGUGAAUAGUGCCGUAUACGUGAAUAGUAACCCCGACACAAAAAGUUCCAAAUUUGAUAAAAAGAUCAGAUCAAUAUUUCGACGUAAUGAUAUUGACGAAAAUAAUAUCAUUCAUGAAGAAAAUAAUAUUCCUUACCUCAAAGAAGCAGUACUUCGGAAUGAAAGGUCGGAAGUGAUGCUGAAUGAAACUUGUACUGAACAACAACUCUCAAAGUAUCUAAAUACUCACAAAAUACGCUCGAUAAUAUAGAGAGAAAGAGAGAAAGCUUAUGUUUCUUGUGUGAUUUUCAAUUCUAACUUAGCCAUCUAUUUAUAGAAAAAUGUUAACCCGCCGAAGCAGACUUGACCUGCUACCUGAUGGCUUUACCUGUUACUAUUGCCACCCACCACAUUUAAAAUUCAAUUUGAGCACAUUUCUCACCAACCACAAGUGGGGCCCAUUCAAUUCUAGAAUUUUCCACCAAAAUCAUUUAUAACCCUAAUUUCCGAAGCAGUCACCUCUUAAAAUUCAUAACAAAUCAUUCGUUCAUUUUUAACGGUUCAAAAUUUGUGGACAUAUACCCAACUUAUAUAUGUAUAACAUAACCAAAAAUCACAACAAUCCAACGGUCAGAGUAAAAAUUAUAACUCACGCAAUAUAUCGUAAAAAUACUGAUUUGAUUUUUAAUACCUCCAUUCCGACAAAAAUAUAGAUAAAACACCUCAACAUUAACUCCUUCAAUUAUAAUCACAUAAAAUAAACAAAUCCAUCAUUUAUAUAAAAUAAAUAUUUCCUUAUCAUAUAAAUCAAUAAUUAAUUAUUCACAAAUAAUAUUAUAGAAUCACAAUUAUGACAACCAAGCCGUUUCCAGGAAAGAGGGGGCUUUCCAAUAAGGAUUUCUCCUUACUGGCGCGCAAUUAGAUGACCUAACCUCUCCUUAACAGAACUUUCUAGACAUUGCCAAUAAUGCUAUCUAAUAAUAUUAUUAAAGCAAUAUGAAUUAUUGAUCUGAUAAUGGGAAAUACUGUGCAGUAACAAUAAUUGAAAUAAUAAUAAUAUAAAAUAUCAACGCAGCAAUUAUUGAAUCAAUAAAAUAAAAUAUUAAACAGUAACUACUGUAACAAUUAUUGAGUAGUGCCUUCUUACGUAAGAAUCAAUAAUUCAACUAUACUGUGUAAUACCGUGUGCUACUGUGCAACUACGCGUAUUACUGUAUUUUAACCACCAGGUAAUCCAACAGUGUUAACGGUAACAACUGCGCCGUUAUUUAUAAAAACACAUACUUGUCGUUUUCCUUCAUCCAACCAUUUUUCAUUAUGGGGCCCACAAAUGGCUGCGCCGUCGUACGAAUAUUCCCUGACAGCAAGAAUAUUCCACGACGAAACGAAUAUUCCCCGACAACAAUGAAUAUUUUAUAACCACUUGCUUAUUUUGCAAAAUUUGCUUAUCUCAUCCAUAACCAAAAUAUUAUAUCAAAUUAACACCUUAUUAUUCACAAUAAUAAUAAUUAGAGGAAAUUCAAUUUCAUUUAUAAAAAGUUGGGGUCUUACAAACAUGAUAUUAUAUUAUAUAAUUCAGAUAUAUAUUCUGUUCGUUAAUUUCUAAAAAUGAUUUAAUCACAUGUUGAUAUAUAUAUAUAUAUAUAUAUAUAUAUAUAUAUAUAUAUAUAUAUACCUAUUGAACCCCAGUAUGUAUACAUUAAGUAAAAGUCGUCUAAGCUAUUCAACUAGCUAGACACAGAUUUAGAUAUAUCAUUGAAUAUGAUAAAACUUUUUUGUAUCCAAUCAAAUUGUUUUGGUUCGGAUUCCAGACUAAGUAUGAACAUCCAGAACAUGGGAAAACUUUUAUGCACCUAAGACGGACAGAGUGAAUGAUAAUAUCGUUCUUGCAUGCAGUAUUGAUCAAUACAGGGUCCUUGGGAUGUACACCCUCGUGCCCAUAAGUUAUGACGGUUUGCAAAUGAAGUUCUACUUUACCUUUUUGAAAAUAGAAAAUAAUGUUCAUAAUAUGUCACCCUAACCCUAUAUAUAGUCAAUACGUAGUUUCAAAAAUGUGAGAUAGAGUUGUUAUGUUAUUAUUAUCGGUUUAGUUUACUUCACAACUAUUGAAUCGUUGUAGAAGUAAUGUACAAAGAAAACAUUUAAUUCUUUCAGAUAAUUAUAUUUAUAAUUGUUAUUACUUGCUGGGCACUCAAAUGCUCAUCCUUGCUUAAUUUAAAUGUUUUCAGCUAAGCGUGAUCAAUCUGAAGGUUUAGACAAUAAUAAGUGAAAAGGAAAGCAAACAGAAUAUGUUUAACGGUAUCUUUUGUAAUAGUUAAACUGUAUUAAGAUAAUGAUAUGUAUUAUCUAUCAUGUAAAGAAUUAUAGUAAAUGUUGCGUACUUGGGAUUAGACUAUGAUAUUUGUAAAUUAAGUUUGAUUUUUAUAUUAUUGUUAUUAUUAUUAUUAUUAUUAUUCUGCUCAUAAAAAUGGUAUCGUGAAGCACCGAGUUCGGGUUUCAAGUACCUAAAUUUGGGGGCGUCACAAAUAUGGCUCAGUUAUUGGAGCGCGAUAAUGAGUCAACCCAACCAAGAGAGAGUAGCCGACAAAAUGAUAAUACCAGUGGUAGCAGUCAUCGAAGCGGUGUCAACAAACGUGGAGGGAAUCAACAUGCUAGAAAUGGUAACCACUUCGGUAGUAAUCAUGGCGAAGAUAAUAAAAAUGGAAAUUUCAAGAAGAGGAGAAUCAACAAUGAUGGAAAGACGUCAGCACCAGAACCCGUUGGUAAGGAAGGAGAACGACCAGCGAUCGUAUGCUACAAAUGCGGAGGGGAGGGAUACAUCAGUCCAAACUGUGCGCAGCCGUCCAAAAUGUAUUAUAAUUAUGGAAGAGAAGGUCACCUAGCUCGAUUUUGUCUUGCAAGGAAGCCAAGUCAAGCUGGGAUGGAGGCACCAAAGGUCAUCCCAGAAAAGUCAAAACCAGUAGUUCAAGGGAGAGCGUUUUUCGUGACCUCCCAGAAAGCAAGGAACCUGAACGAGGUUAUCAUGGGUAAGCUAAUCAUAAACUCUAGCGAAGUAUAUACCUUAUUUGAUAACGGUUCUACCCAUUCUUUUAUUUUACUAUUGGCACUCAACGUUUAAAUUUAACUCUGGAGAAAUUAGACUUUGACUUAUCUGUUAAAACUCCGUUGGGAGAAACCUUCAUUACAUCCACUGUUUAUAAGUCUUGUUUAGUUCAAAUCGGUACCCUCACAUUACCUGUCGAUCUUAUUUCUUUAAAAAUACUUGCAUUUGAUGUGAUUUUAGGGAUUGAUUGGUUAACUACUCAUCAUGCAAAAAUUGAUUGUUUUCGUAAGGUUGUUAGCUUUCAUAUUCCUAACCAACCUAUUAUGCGAAUUCAAGCAACCAAACCACUAAAGUCAAUCACUGUCAUAUCAAGCCAUAAAGCUAUUCAUUUAUUGAAAAAUAGAUGUCAAGCUUUCUUAGCCCAUGUCACAAAUUUAAACAAAAAUACGUCAUAUUUGAAUGAUAUUUCUAUUGUUAAUAAAUUUCCAGAUGUAUUCCCUGAAGAACUUCCUGGCCUACCCCCAGAGCGUAAAAUUGAGUUUGUAUUGACCUCGAACUCGGUAAAAGACCCAUUUCCAAAGCCCCAUAUCGAAUGGCUCCUAUUGAACUUCAGGAGUUAAAAACCCAACUGCAGGAGUUGUUAGACAUCUGUUUCAUUUUUCCUAGUACGUCUCCUUGGGGUUCUCCUGUUCUAUUCGCAAAGAAGAAAGAUGGGAGUAUGCGACUUUGUAUUGACUAUCGGGAGUUAAAUCAUGUCACUAUCAAAAAUAGGUACUCGUUGCCUCGCAUUGAUUACCUGUUUGACCAGUUGUAAGGAGCCAAAUUCUUUUCAAAGAUCGAUCUUCGUUCUGGAUAUCACCAGUUAAAGAUUAAAACUGAUGACAUCCGAAAGACUGCUUUCAGAACUCGGUACAGGCAUUAUAUAUGAAUUCCUAGUCAUGCAUGUCCGUUGGAUUGACUAAUGCUCCUGCUGCUUUCAUGGAUAUGAUGAACCGAGUAUUCAAGGAAUAUUUGGAUCAUUUUGUGGUCAUUUUUAUUGAUGACAUCCUCAUAUACUCCAAAAUCCGUGAAGAUCAUGAGCAACACUUGAGGUUUAUACUUCAAAAGUUUCGUGAAAACAAGCUUUAUGCCAAGUUGAAGAAAUGCGAGUUCUGGCUUAAGGAAGUGGCAUUCCUUGGGAACGUGAUAUCAAUUCACGGAAUAUCUGUUGACCCAUUGAAGAUUAAAGCAAUUCAGAGCUGGGAGCAACCUAAGUCAGUGACCGAAGUACGUAGCUUUCUGGGCUUAGCUGGUUAUUAUCGGAGAUUCAUGGAUGGAUUUUCUCGAAUUGCUACUCUAUUAACUCAGCUGACUCGAAAAGAUACAAAAUUCGGUUGGAGCGAGGAAUGUGAGAAAAGUUUUCAAGAACUCAAGAGAAGACUCAUUUCAGCACCUGUUCUGAUAAUACCAUCUGGCUCGUAGGGAUUUAUCAUCUACAAUGAUGCUUCAGGCAAAGGGUUAGGAUGUGUUCUCAUGCAACAUGGGAAAGUCAUAGCCUAUGCAUCAUGACAACUCAAAGAAUAUGAGAGGAAUUAUCCUACUCAUGAUCUAGAGUUGGCAGCUGUCGUUUUUGCGCUUAAGAUUCGGAGGCAUUACCUGUAUGGAGAGAAUGUGGAGAUCUAUACGGAUCAUAAAAGCCUCAAAUAUUUCUUCACUCAAAAGGAGCUCAACAUGCGACAACGACGUUGGCUUGAGCUAUUGAAAGACUACGAUCAUACCAUUUAAUACCAUCUUGGAAAAGCGAACGUAGUAGCUGACGCAUUGAGUAGAAGAUCAUAUGCGGGUACGAGUGCGAUAUUGUUAACGCAAAGACCCAUUUUGUAUGACUUACAAAGGAUGGAAAUAGAGUUAAAGACUCUAGGGACCCAAGUGAUGAUGGCAAAUAUACGAUUAGAACCGACUUUAAUCGAUAAAGUUAAAGCUGCUCAACUUACGGACCUGGAGCUGAUGCGUAGUAGGAAGAAAGUACAAGGUGCUAUCCUGGAAGCAAGAAUCGAUGAAGAAGGAAUACUAUGAGUCAACUCUAGACUUUGUGUUCCUAACGACCCUAAUUUAAAGUAUAAAAUCAUGAUGGAGGCGCACAACACACCGUUUGCAAUCCAUCCUGGGAGUACCAAAAUGUAUCGUGAUCUUCGACAUAUAUUUUGGUGAAGUAAUAUAAAGAGAGAGAUAACAGAGUUUAUCUCAAGAUGUUUAACUUGUCAACGUGUCAAGGCGGAGCAUCAAGUGACAAAAGGUCCAUUGCAACCACUUGAAAUUCUAGAAUGGAAGAGGGAGCACAUUACCAUAGAUUUUGUUAUUGGUCUUCCCAAGGUUUCUCAAGGCAUAGUUGCAAUUUGGGUCAUUGUUGAUAGAUUGACCAAGUCUGCUCAUUACUUACCUAUACGAGAAACCUAUACACUUGAACGUCUUGCUCGUAUAUACAUAAACGAGAUUGUAAGACUGCAUGGUAUACCAGUAUCCAUAGUUUCUGAUCGAGACCUAAGAUUACUUCACGAUUUUGGGUCAGUUUGCAGAAAGCUAUGGGCACGGAUUUGCGAUUCAGUUCUUUGAUGCCCCCAAAAUAGGUAUACAUCACCCAUUUUGAGUCGCCAGAUACAUGGUACAAAAUUCAAAUACAACUUAAUUAUACAACAGUCGUGUAAAUACGACAAAACAUAAUCUAAGAGUUUUAAUAAGAAUAUUGUCCAUCUAACAAUAUCCACAAUCAAUGGAGUCCUCAUUACAUUUAUAAUCACACUAUUUCACAGAAUAGUGAGGACUACUAAUACAAACAUCUGGACCGUCACUCUGUUCCCCGACUAGACCCAGCUACGUUCUCAUUUCCUGAAGAGAACCAUGAAAGAAAAGGGUGAGCUCAACUAGCCCAGUAAGAAAUAUUAUGACUAAGAUAAUGCAAAAUAAAUUAUCCUUAGCCUUCAACAGUAUAACAACUGAUAGAAUAUAAUAGACAACAAGUUUUAGAUCAAAAACUGCAGCGAAAUAAGCAAUCCAUUAGAAGAGUCAAGUAGAGCAUAAAAUCUACUAUCUUCUAUGAUUUAAAAAGUUUUUCAAAAUUUUUAUCGCUGAGACUCAGCUUAAUAUAUAUAUAUAUAUAAAAGCAAUAAACGCACCGGAUGUAGACUUACAGUGGACUGCCAAAGUAGACUUCUUGGACUGCAAAUGGAUGAACACUCGUCUCUCGCCGGACUAAAAGUAGCUAUAUACGAGCUAACUAGUGUUUAAAGAAAAGGAAACACUCAAAAGAUGUGUAUGCAGAGCUAAACGGACAGGGCUUCCUCGCCUUUUUCCCUCUCUUCCUUCUCUCAAAUGGCUGACCCCCCCUCUAUAUUUAUAGACGGAUGGCCGCAGGUCUACCUGCGGCUGGUCGUGGUGGGCCCGGGCAUCGCGGGUCUCGUCGUCUUGUAGUACGUGCACUUGCGCACGGUAAUGUCCAAUCGAACUUUCAGAACUUCAAUCCUAGCAUCCAAACGAAGCGUGUCUGUACUUCUUCGGACCGCUGGUGUCGAGAGUUACGUAAUGACAUGGAUUAGAGGUUGUACGAAGUCAGGAAGCGGGGUAUAUGCCCAUGGUCUUCAGGCUUCAAAUUCUAUCCAAAGUAUUGUCACAGGUAAUAGUCACUCGGGAUUGUCAUUCCUCGGUUAUUUGGGACAUUGUUGUAUGUAUGUAUGUCUGAAAGGUUGAGACGACGUGCCAUUUGUUGGACGAACAAGAUGAUGUUUGACUCUUUGCCGGAGUUAUCGCCUGGUUGAGCUGAAAGUAACCGUUGCUCAGGUUACAUCUGAGAUUGGACUACUUGUUGGUAUGCUGCUAUAUCAUCUUGUUACGAGAUGACGUUGGUGACUCCUCACCGGGUUUAUCGCCGGUUUAAGCGGAAAGCAGACGUUGAUCAGGGUUACAGCUAAGAUUGGACCGCCUAUUUGUAUGCCUCACUGUCAUCUGUGAUUGAAGCUGAUUGCAUGUGUUUGCAACAAGCAAUUCUGGAGUUAUCGCCGGAACUGCGAUGGCAUCACUUGGGGUUAUCACCAAGGAUGGGACUACUACUCCCAAUGUUGUCUCUGGGACUGGAACUGAACGUCGCGGUGUCAUCACCGAGACAGGACUGUCCUCUCCGGUGUUGUUGCCGGUCUUUUGAUCUGCACAUCUCGGGGUUAUCUCCGAGAUUGGAAAUGACGUGCCCGGUGUGUGUUCCGGGUUUGGAACCGAUGCUCCCGGUUUGUGUUCCGGUUUGGAGCGAAACUUCCGGUAGUAUCUGGACUUGUUGUGAGCUGUCUUUCAGGGUUAUCUCCAAAAGACGAAUCUACCCUCCUGCAAUGUUAGUAAUAGGAGUGCAGAAAAUUUCGAGUGUCUACAACACCUAGCAACCCAGAUCAUCACUAUAGACUAAAAACAACAUAUUCUAACACCCAAACAUAACAUUUAACAACAUAUCAAAGGUCAGAUUUUUAGGUUUAGUGUUAUACCUUCUUGCUCAAUUUCUUGAUUUUAUGUUACUGAUUUGUUAUGGGAUUUCGUGGGGCUUGAAAAUGGGACAAAAAUGCUAUAGAUUUUCGUUGGUUCUAGUGAGAGAAGCUCUUGGUUGAGUGUUGUGCAAUUUUUAGUGAACAAAUGCAUUUUCUCUAUCCUUAAAUCUAUUUAUAGACAAAUUAGAUACAUGAAUGGCUGAGCUAGAACUUGUUGUUGUCAAUUUAGUGUCACAUGGCUACUCUAGGGUUAGCCAACCACUCCAUCUAGACCUAUUUCUACAAGCAAGCUUCAAUAAUACAAUAGGGCACAAAAGUCUUUUGGCUAGCAAUUUUAAGGGCAUUUUUAUAACUUGUCAAACCCUUAGGGUUUAACCCUUAGGGUUUAGCACAUAACACAAAUGAUUUUUAGCAACUUAGGGUUUGAAUAAAAUAAAAUUAUUUUAGCUUCUAAAAUUUGAAAAUCAAGAUUUGUUAAUUAGAUUAAGUUAGUAAUUAUAUUAUACAUGAACAUUAGGGUUUAGUACCACUAAUCAUAAUUAACCUUGCCAAAAUAGCAAUUAGGGUUUAAGAUUUUAAUAAUUAGGAUUUCUAAAACUCAAUUAGGAUUUUCUAAUUAUCCAAUUAGGGUUCUGAACAUUAGGGUUUUAAUUUAAUAAUUAUGUUUACCAUAAUUAGCAAUUAAAGUCUAUUGUACGUGUUAUUAAUCACAGUAACAUAAUUUUUGACAGAUAAAAUUCUUCAGUUUAAGUUUUGAUUUAGGGUUUCUAAUAUCAGAAAUUCAAAUCUAAUUAGGGUUUGACAUUUAUAAUUAGGGUUCCCUAAUUGGCAUAUCAUUAUGUAACACAACAUAUAACACAGUUAUAUAACAGUCUCAAAUUUCCCAUUUAAAUUGAAAAACAGGGUCAAACCAAUUAAUGCUAGGGUUUGGUCAAUAUACACCAUAAUUGACCAACCAUCAACAGUACGUACAUACAGUACAUAUUUAUGGCACUGAGAAAUUAAAAUAUUAUAAUAUUAUAUAUUAUUCUCAUGCCUUGAUCAAAACCCAAAAUUAGAGUUUGGAUUCCGUAUCUGAUUUAUCUGCCAUAAAUAACCUUAUUAAUUAAGUUAAAAUAAUUAACUUAAUAAUCUGAACAAAAUUCAUAUAAUAAAAUAAUUAUUAUAAUUAUUCUAACAUCAUUUCAUAUAUUACUUAUAUUUUCAAGGAAAAUAAUUAAUAAAACAUUUCUAAUAUAAAAUUAACUGUUAUAAGAAUAUAAUUUAUAAUAAUUAAUAUUUCUAAAAUAAAUCAAUUUGUAAUAAUUAAUGUAAUAAAUUUUAUUUAUCACACAUAUAAUUAUACACAUAUUACCUUGGCACAUAUCACCCAUAUUUAUUUUAAUAAAUAAUAAAAAAAAAAUUUAUACGCAAAAUUUAUGAUUUAUUUAUAUAGAAAAUAUCGGGUUGUCACAUUCUUCACAUUCAUCAGAUUCGGGUGUGUAGCUUGAGCGGCUUUAACUUUAUCGAUUAAAGUCGAUUCUGCUCGUAUAUUCGUUAUCUUCACGUGGGUCCUUAGAGUCUUUAACUCUAUCUUCAUCAUUUGUAAGUUAUACGAAAUGGGUAUUUGUGUUAACAACAUCGCACUUGUAAACACAUACGAUCUUCUACUCAAGGCGUCAGCUACUACGUUCGCUUUUCUACGAUGAUAUUGAAUGGUAUAGUCGUAAUCUUCAAUAGCCCGAGCCAACGUCUUUGGCGCAUGUUACGUUCGUUUUAAGUGAAGAAAUAUUUGAGGGUUUUAAAAAUGGGUUUUGUACUGGGGUCAAUACAAAAUUUGAUUUCACGCUCUAGGGGUAGGCUAAGAAGUCUUCAGGAAUACGUCAGGAAACUUAUUAACGAUAGAAAUAUCAUUCAAAACUGUGACUCUCAUCCCAAGACUUGGAUAGCCCGUCAUAUUGAUACCUAUCAACUUGCCACCGUUAUUCACGGCGUCCCCUACGGAUAGUCUGGCUUCGGUGUAUUCCAAGACUUGGAAGUCAUCAGCGAAAGGCUUAGGUCUCUUUACUUAUGGCUUGAUAUGACAAUGAUUGGCUUUAGUGGUUUGGUUGCUUGAAUUCGCAUAACAGGUUGGUUAGGAAUAUGAAAGCUAACAACCUUACGAAAAGCAUGAUGAGUAGUUAACCAAUCGACUCCUAAAAUCACAUCAAAGGCAAGUAAUUUCAAAGAGAUAAGAUCGACAGGUAACGUGAAAGUGUCGAUUUGAAUUAAACAAGAUUUAUAAACAGUGGAUGUAAUUAACGAAGGUUUCUCCUAACAUAGUUUCAACCGAUAAGUCAAAGUCUAAUUUCUCCGGAGUUAAGUUCAAACAUUGAACACAACUAGGUGAAAUAAAAGAGUGAGUAGAACCGGUAUCUAACAAGGUAUAGACUUCGCAAGAGUUUAUGAUUAACUUACCCGUGAUAACUUUAUUCAGGUUUCUCGUCACGAAAAACGCUCUCUCUUAAACUACUGAUUUUGACUUGUCUGGGACAUCCCAGUUGGACUUAACUUUGCUGUAGAGUACAUUCCACCCUUAAUUGCUUCAUCACAUUCCUGAUCCAUGAUUCGAAUCAUUACUCUCUGAUCCAUAUCGAAUUGGGGUUAACCGCUCUGCACAGGGUAAUUUCGAAUUCGAUGUUGGAUUCUCCCAAUUGUUGUCCAAAAAGCAAAAUCCAUUUCAUCUAUUUUAGCCUUAUUGGAUCUGACGUCUUUUUCUACAAUAUCUACACGUCGUGCGACUUUUACCCAUGCAUCAUCUAUUCUCAUUCGUUCAGUUGUUUUUUCUUUCAUCAGAACUUUGAUCAUAGCAUUCUUAAAUUCCAGCUCUAAUAUCUUAUACUCUGCCAAAGAGUGCUUCUGUUCGAGCAUCGUACAUCGGGUAACACAAUUUUGAAUUGCUACAUCUCUUUGCUCCACGACCGCCUGUCGUUCUUCAGCCUGCUCUUCUAGCUCAUGAAUACAAUUUUGUAAUUCUAAAUUUCGAUCAUAAAAUUCUUCUAAUAAAUUCACCUCAGGUUCCUCUUCUUCCUCACUCUCAGCUGCUACCUCUGCAACUAGCUCGAGUGCAACUAUUAGUUCUUCACUCACCAUGUAGAUAUCUCUAAUUUCUUCUUCGUUUGACAUCACAUUAACCUGGUUAGUGAUUAAAGGUGUCUCAACGAUCUCAUUCACUGCAUUGUUAAUAUUUUUAGCCGCCAUUUUUAAAUACUGUCAUAAAACAAGGGUGAAUUAACAUAUCACAUAUUAUCAAUAUAUUAUGACCGACCAAUUAAAUACCAAAUAAACUUAGGUAGGUCAUACUAGCAAAGGAAUUCCCCGUCUCUCCCCUCCUAGUUCUUGUCUCACAUCUCAGCCAGGGAUCAUAUCCCUAAGCUUUGAUACCAACUGUGACGCCCCCAAAACAGGUAUUCAUCACCCAUCUUGAGUCGCCAAAUACAUAGUACAAAAUUUAAAUACAACUUAAUUAUACAACAGUCGUGUAAAAUACGACAAAACAUAAUUUAAGAGUUUUAAUAAGAAUAUUGUCAUCUAGACAAUAUCCACACUCAAUGGAGUCCUCAUUACAUUUACUGUCACACUAUUUAACAGAAUAGUGAGGACUACUAAUGCUAACAUCUGGACCGUCACUCUGUUCCCCGACUCGUCCCAGCUAUAUUCUCAUUUUCUGAAGAGAACAGUGAAAGAAAGGGUGAGCUCAACUAGCCCAGUAAGAAAUAUUAUGACUAAGAUAAUGCAAAAUAAAUUAUCAUUAGCCUUCAAUAGUAUAACAACUGAUAGAAUAUAAUAGACAACAAGUUUUAGAUCAAAAACUGCAGCGGAAUAAGCAAUCCAUUAGAAGAGUCAAGUAGAGCAUAAAAUCUACUAUCUUCUAUGAUUUAAAAAGUUUUUCAUCAUUUUUAUCGCUAAGACUCAACUUAAUAAAUAAAAUUGAAUCAUCCCUGCACCACAGCGAAGUUUAUUCAUGUAAUCAUCAAUGGUCAUGACUAUACCGAAUAAUCCCUAGUCAUAAUCAUACCAACAACUGUCCACCAAUGAAUUACAUGCCAAUGAUGACUUUUACCACAUCAUUCGUCACAUUACAGUCAUGAUUAUACCGAAUAAUCCCUGGUCAUAAUCAUACCAAGUCCAUCUAUGCACGUAAGUCAAAGAUGACUAUCAUCACAAUAUAAGCAUGAAGAUGAUAACAAUGACAUAAUAAUUCAAUAAAACAAGUUCAAGGAUAAAUUUUAAAGAUUUAUAAUUUAAUUUAUCCAGGAAUCAAUAACGUCUAAUUUGUCAACAUGAUACUGCUUUGUGGAGUAAAAUUCAAGAAUGCUCAGAAGAAUAUUUCUAUGAAAAGAUACUGGAUGAAGUGCAAAUAUCUAGGAUAUUCUACUAAUUUUAUGGAGUAUAGAAGCCAAAACUUUAACCAACUGAGUAUAAUAGAAUAUAUGAAGCUGUAAAUGGAUUUUCGCCCGCCAUGCGGUAAUCCAUGUAGACAGAUCAUUUCCACAUUUUAAUAAGGAAUGAAUACGAAGGAUCAUUCACCAUGCAUGCGAUAAUCCACAUAGACAUGUUAUUCCAACAGAAUAACAAAGUAUGGAAUAACAGAAGAAUUCACCAUGCAUGCGAUAGACCACACAGACAGGUUAUUCCAACAGAAUAAUAAAGAAUGAAAUACUAAAAGAAUUCACCAGGUGUGCGUAGUCCGCACAGACAGGUUAUUCCAGCAGAAUAAUAAAGAAUAGAAUAACAGAAGAAUUUACCAGGCGUGCUUAAUCCGCACAGACAAGUUAUUCCAACAGAAUAAUAAAGAAUGGAAUAACAGAAGAAUUCUCCAGGCGUGCGUAAUCUGCACAGACAGGUUAUUCAACCAGAAUAAUAAAGAAUGGAAUAAUAGAAGAAUUUUGCCACGCAUACGGUAAUCCGUGUAUACAGGUUAUUCCAACAGAAUAAUAAAGAAUAGAAUAACAGAAGAAUUUCACCACACAUACGGUAAUCCGCGUAUACAUGUUAUUCCAACAGAAUAAUAAAGAAUGGAAUAACAACCCUGACAAGUAUUGAAAGAAAUAACUCUCUUAAUAAAUACGAAAGAAAUAAUACCCCUUACCUUAGAAGAAAACUAGAAUAGUGAGGUAGCAGACUUCUCUUCUUCUUUCUCUCUAUAAUUUCUCUCUAUAAUAAUUUCUCUAUAGCUUUAGUGAAUUGGUGAACAAUAAUGAAGGAAUGAGCUUCUAUUUAUAGAAAAAUAUAGUUUCAACAAUUGCACAUUUUGGGGCUCAAAAAAUUACAGUAUAAUAUCUUCUUCUUUUUCUUCAUUUUUAAUUUAGUCCUGCAAGUAUUAUCAAACUUGCACCACCUCCUCUUGGAAGUCCUUGAAUCAAUCAGCUCGAAACAAUCCUUCUUGGACUCAAAUUCUAGUUAAAAUUACCUUUUCUACGCGUACCCAAGCCCCAGCUUGGGUAUUGCCUUGUAAAUAGUAAGCCCCGGCUUGCUAUGCUUCUGAUUUUGAACUCAGGACCCCAAGCCCCGGCUUGGGUAUAAAGCUUAAAAGAGCAAGCCCCGACUUGGGUGCAAGCUGCUAAUAGUUUUUUCUGCUGCAGUGUCCUCAGGUAAAAUGGCCAUAACUUUUGAUCCGGGAGGAGUUACGGGGCCUGCCACCUAUCAAAUCAAAGAUAUCGACGAGAUCUACAACUUUCAUUCUUUGAGAAUUGAGUAAUAACGAACGAAUGAAGGUAGAAAUUGGACUAGAAAUGACUGUUAUGCAAAUGGCCACCCAAAAUAGCGAAGUUAUUCAACAGUCUCCUGUGCUCCAUUGAUAUUCUCAACAUUCUCGGUUGUCAUUUUCAAAUACUGCCACAAAACAAGGGUUAAAUAACAUCACAUAUUAUCUCUAUACUCUGACCGACCAAUUAAAUACCAAAUAAACUUAGGUAGGUCAUACUAGUUCCCCGUCUCUCCCCACCUAGUUCUUAUCUUACAUUUUAGUCAUGGAUCAUAUCCCUAAGCUUUGAUACCAACUGUGACGCCCCCAAAAUAAGUAUACAUCACCUAUUCUGAGUCGCCAAAUACAUGAUAUAAAAUACAAAUACAAUCUUAAAUAUACAACAUAAGUUGUGAGUUUUAAUACAAACAUUGUCUUCUAGACAGUAUUAAAACUCAAAAUAAGUCAUCAAUACAUUUAUUAACACACUAUUUCACAGAAUAGUGAGGACUACUAAUGCUAUCCUCUGGACCAUUACUCCAUUCCCCGACUCGUCCCAGCUAUAUUCUCAUUUCCUGAAGAGAACAAUGAAAGAAAGGGUGAGCUCAACUAGCCCAAUAAGAAAUAUUAUGACUAAGAUAAUGCAGAAUAAAUUAUCAUUAGUCUUCAACAAUGUUAAACUGAUAAAAUACAAUAACUGCAGCGAAAUAAGUAAUCCAUUAAAAGAGUCAAGUAGAGAAUAAAAUCUACUAUCUUUUAUGAUUUAAAAGGAUUUUCAUCACUUUUAUCGCUGAGACUCAGUUUAAUAAAUAAUCCACAUCAUCGAAUCACCCCUGCACUACGGCCAAGGAUAUUCUUUAGUAUUACAACCAUAAAUAUCCAUGCACUACGGGCCAAGGACAUUCGUGUAUUCAUUAAUGGUCAUGAUCAUGCCAAAAACUGUCCAACAAUACACUACGGUCAAUGAGGACUUUUACCACAUCAUUUGUAACAUUACGGUCGUAAUUAUACUGAAUAAUCCCUGGUUAUAAUCAUACCAAGUCCAUCUAUACACUACAGGCCACAGAUGACUUUCAACAGAAUAUAAACAUGAGGACGAUGACAAUGAUAUAUGAAUUCAAUAAAACAAGUUCAAGAAUUUAUUUGUCCAGGAACCAAUAACGUCCAAAUUGUCAACAAGAUACUGUUUUGUGGGAUAAAAUUCAAGAAUGCUCAGAAGAAUAUUUUCAUAAAAAGAUAUUGGAUGAAGCGCAAAUAUCAAGGAUAUUCCACUAAUUUCAUGGAGUAUAGAAGUCAAAACUUUAACCAACUGAGUAUAAUAAAGAAUGAAAUAACAAAAGAAAUCACCAUGCACGUGGUACUUCGCAUAGACUGGUUAUUCCAACAGAAUAAUAAAUAACGGAACCAGGUUAGGCAAAAUUCGCACCGAUAGGAUGUUCCAACUGAAUAAUAAAGAAUGGAAUAACAACAGAAAUCACCAUGCAUACGGUACUUCGCAUAGACAGGUUAUUCCAACAGAAUACUAAAUAACAGAACCAGGUCCGGCGUAAAACGCACAGACAGGAUAUUCCAACACAAUAAUAAAGGCGGAACCAGGUCCGGCGUAAAAGUCACAGACAUGAUAUUCCAACAGAAUAAUAAAUACGGAACCAGGUCCGGCGUAAAACGCACAGACAGGAUAUUCCAACAGAAUAAUAAAGAAGAAAAUAACAGAAGAAUUUCAUCAAAUAUAGGGUAGCCCGCGUAUACAGGUUAUUCCAACAGAAUAAUAAAGAAUGGAAUAACAGAAGUUCUCUUCAUGAAUACAAAAGAAAUAAUACCCCUUACAGUUACAACAAAUAAUAUCCAUUACCGUAAAAGAAACUGGAUAUAGGAAAAUAAAGUUAGCAGACUUCUCUUCUUCUUUCUCUCUAUAAUUUUCUCUCUUUAAAGUUUCAGUGAAUUCGUAAGAAAUAAUGAAGGAAUGAACUUCUAUUUAUAGAAGAAUGGACUGCAUAGUAACUAAUUCAUGAACGGUCCAGAUUGAUUUACUUUUAAUCGAACGAUCCAUAAUUAAAGCAAAGUUUUUUAAAUAAAAUAUAAUAUAUUAUAUAUAUAACAUGUGCAAGAAAAGAAAAAUCACGGGUGGAAGACCCGUGAAUUCAUCUUACUCCCUCUGUCCAUUUUUUCAAACUUACAUAUAUAUAAUAUAAUAUAAUAUAAUAUACAUAAUAAUACUCCUCCCGUCCAUUUCAUCCAUACCCCCCCACCCAAGACUUUUCAUCACAUAUAUAAUAUAAAACAUAUAUAUAUAUAUAUAUAUAUAUAUAUAUAUAAUACUCCCACUAACUUUUCCUUCAACCAACCCGUGACAAACAUAACAUUUCACCCAAGACUUUCCUCCACAAAUGGGCCCCACCCGUGGCCCUCCUAAAAUAACUUCUAUCGAUUAUUUUGAAAACUGGAUAAAUAGGGAUCCAUAAAAUACGUCAAAAUUCACAACAAUUACUAUAACAAUAAUUGAACAAAACUGAGUAGUUCAACAGUAUUAACGGUAAAACUUCCGCCGUUACUUUCAAUAAAAUAUUUUUGUCGUUUUCUCAAUCCGACAAUAAUUCUGUUGUGGGGUCCACCAAUGAUUGUACCGUCGUACGGAUAUUCCCUGACAAAAAGAAUAUUUCCCGACCAAUCGAAUAUAAUAUGACAACUUGCAUACUUUGCAAAAUUUAUAAAUAUUACCCACAAUUAUAAUAUUAUAUCAAAUUAUUCCAUAAUAUUCAAAAAUGAUAUUUAUUGAAAAUUCAUUUUUAUUCAUAAAAGUUGGGGUCUUACAGUAGUUAAAUUCUUAUUUUUGACAUUUUUCAAAUAUUUCAUCCAUGCUUUUACAAUAGACAUCUUUCACUUUGAUGGCGUUUGACAUGCUUACAACAAGUAAUAGAAAUCAUUUUACAGUCAUUAUUUGCAUUAAUCAAGCAUGUUAGUCACAUAGUCAAGUCGUAGUUUCAAUGGUAAUGAAUAGAUUUCUUAUAUGUAAUACAUUUUUCAAAUAUCUCAUCCAUGCUUUUAUCAUCACCAUUUUUCUCUUUGAUGGGGUGUAGUAUGAUAAUAACAUGCAACCAUACAUAUGUAUAGUUACACCAUAUUAAGAACUUAGUUACAUGAAGUUUUCAUGCUUUGCUUAGAGACUUCUAGCAUACAAGGUGCUUUUGUAACUUAUUUUAUGCCUUUGAAAAUAUUCACAACUUGGUUGAGUAAUUUAUAGUUCUUAUAACACUUUUUAGCUUUAUUCUUGUAUACAAAAGUGUAUCAUUCUUGAUUUUCCUCUCUUUCCCAAAAUAGUCCUAACAUGAUCUAUUUGGGGCAAUCAAGCUAGCUUCUCUUGACCAUUUGGGCUUAGUCAGGCUUGGGGUAGCCUAGAUUGGCCUUGCAGUCCCAAUUGGCCUCUAUCUAUGGCAUGAUUUUAUUAAUACCCUCUUCUAUUAAGGUUUACUCUCACCUAUAUCACCAUUUGAUUCUGUUAUUUAUAGGUGAGGAUUUCUUUGAACUGCUACAUGUUUGCUACUUACUUGAUUUUGUUUUCUUUCCGUUUGUAGCUAACUACUCACUAGUAGCAGCUCUCUACUUUAGAUACUAAAUUUACUAGCUUUUAAUCUCCCACUAAACUUUUGGGUCAGCAGCUAGGGGACACAACUCCCUAAUAAUAGAGCAUAUUGGUUAAUUAUCUUAAGCAAUAUAGUUGUAUUGUCUGAAGGUCUAAAGGACAAGUUCAUUACCCAGCUCAGCUACUGUUGCUAUUAGUUGUUAUUUUUCAGUAAUAGAUUGACAGUCUUCAAACUUACCAUGUUUCUUCUUUAAUAACUUUUGUCUAGAAAAUUUCUAUUGCACUAUGUGCACCUUUGAAUACUUGCUUAAAUAAGUAACAAUUACACUCUAUUUAAUUCUGCAGUUUGCAUUUCAAAUCCAAACUACGUUGCCUAUAGCAGUUUAUUGAGGAUGUUUAUUAUUGCCUUAUAGCAACAACCCCCCCUAUUUUGUAAAAUUUCCCAAAUCACAAUUUUAGAUUAACCUAGACUGCCCAAAACCAUUUUAGUAAUGGCUCAUAGCUACAGUUUUAAGCCAACUGUUGCUGCUCCUAGGUAGCAGCUACAUUUGAUUUUGUUUCAUGCCUUGAACUCUCCCUAAUUUUGGUUUACUUGCACUUUAUUUGAAAGUUAUAUAACUAACAUUUUCAACUAAUAGGGAAACUUUAAAUCAAUAGUGAAAUUAUAAUCUAUAUGAUCCAACAUGUUAGCUAAACUGACCCUAGCGAGUCCAGAACAAUGGUCUACAGUCUUCUUUUGUUUUUCUAUGCCAGCAACCAAGCUUGGCUUGGCCCUGUAAGGCUGAUCACCUAAGCUUGGUGUGGCCCUGCUUGGCCUCACGGUCCCUAAGUCAAAUCCAAAGUUGUUAUAGCAGCUGCUAUCUUGGCAACUGCUGCCAUCAAGGAAUAACAGCCCUGCCACUCUUCUUUAAUUCUUAUACUUGCAAACCCCAGAGGAAUGUUUAUACACUAACUUCAACCAUACAUCCUAGUUAGCUCUUAUAAAGUUAUAUUAAUUUGUUAAACAGACUGCCCAAAACUGCUUUAGCAGUCAUUCACUUGUCGACUGUCGCUGCUUGUUUCUAUAACCAGUAGGCAGCCGUCCCAAGUCUUAUGCCACUAAAAGCUUUUACCUCUUAGAUUGAUAUGAAAUCUUGGCAUGUUAUAGGUGAUUCAAAUUCUGAUUAUUUUUAGCUACCAACUAGACUAGGAGAAAAGCUUGCUAGUGCCACUAAAGGUUAAUAUUUCUGCUGCUGCGACAUGCUUUUUGCUGCUGCUUGCAGCUAAUUGCUGCUGCCAAUGGGCAGCUGCGCCCCUUACUUCAGGCCAUUUUUGGCUUCACAUCAAUUAGCCUAUUCACAACCCACUUUCAUUGAUCAAUAAAUGGUACACCUGCCUUCUAAGCUAACUUAGCAACUGUGGCCCAAAUGUACUAUAUGUAAAUCAAAAUGGUGUGCUAACCUUCCUGCUCGGCUCUGCAGAGCAGUGCAGCACAACGCUGGGCGUUUACUGCCAAUGCCUGCAGUAGCCUCAGCUAGCUUUGCCCAAGCUCAAACAUUUUUUUUUCUUAAAAUUUGUUUUUCUUUCCAUUAAUAUGUCAAAACAUAUUUCCUAAUCUUAUAUAAGACGUCCAUAUAUAACCCCAACUUUAAUUCCCUCUAGAAUUCUCUUUUUAGCCAAAACAGUCCACUUGGGACUUUUAACAAAUAUAUGGUGUGCACAGUUUUAAUUUACUCUUUCCAUAGCCAUUUACUUGUGUUAUAAUCUCAUGUUAGCCUCCUUAUUACUCCACAGCCACCUAUCUCCUUGUGCCUAAAUUACAUACAUCUAGCAUGCUAGUGAAUAACCUUUACAACAAUAAAAAAGUAAAAUAAAUGCUAUGUGACUUUACCAGGCCAUUCGGCCAUAACAGUCCAUCACAACUUGCACGAAAUAGUGUUAAACAAGAUAGUUUAUUACUUGAUAACUUUUCCUUAAAAGUUUGAUAUCACAACUUUUACAGAAGAUUACAAUUACCCAUGACAAGUAUAAUUUACUAACACAUCUACAUUACAACAUUAAUAAUACUAACAAUAUAGCAGCCCCUUCUUUUUUCUUUUCAGGCCAUUCGGCCACUGUAGAUUACUAGCAGCAAGAAACUAAAGUGGAAAAGGAUUGGAAAUCUUACCUUAUUGAUUCGAAGGAAACAAAGAAGUUAUACUGCCCAGCUUCUCCACCUACUCUUAGCCGAACUCUUCCACCCUCUCUCUAUAUGACCGAAUUGCUAUAGCUAUUUUGUCUCUACUAAGUGAUGAAGCUAAACUAGUUAAUAAGCUUGGCCCCUUUUUUAUGGCUGAGCUUGGUUCCUUCUACUGUUAACUGCAUCACCUCCUAGUUGGCCCCUACACAGUCAUCAUUCCUAACCUAGCUUCACAGCCACCCUAGCAGACUCUACUUACCUGCUAAGCCUUAUCUUCUGCAAGCUUAUCUAACAUAUUCUUUGUCUGUUAUACAAACUAACCUACCUGUUAACUAGAACCAACUUAGAAACCAUAUGCUUACAGCCUGACUAUGUACUCACGUUAUGCCACUGCUUUUCUUAUUUAGUCUGAAACAGUUAGCUUGUUAUACACCACUGGGUUUACAGGAUUGGUUUAGGUAGGAGUUUGAUAAAUACUUAAUUUGGGCUUAAACCAAUCCUCAAUGGUGGCUGCCGAAAUUGGGCUAGAAAAUGAGUUAGAAUUGGCUUUAUAUUAGACCCAAUACCAUAACCCUUAUUCCUACAUUAAUUAAAGGAGACUUGCAAACAUACAAUUGCAAAAAUUUAUUAUGGCCUAAUAUUUUAAUAUGGACUCUUGUUAAAUUAACACAUGGACUUUUAUAUAUUAUUUUCUCUAGCAACAAUAGUUAACACAUAUAUCAUUAAAAUGUCUAUUCCAUGUAAUCUUAAAUAAUUCAUGGUGGUACAAUAUUUCUUUAUCCUUCAUAAUUUAAGAUGUUUAAUAACCUAUUAAAUAAAUAAUAGUUUUGUCACAAUGAGAAAUAACAUAAUUAAAAUAAAAUAAAAAAUAUACUCACAAAUUGACAUUAUAAUAAUUAAAUAUUACAUAGGAUUUUUUGAGUCAUUACAUACGCGAUAACUCUGCCGUUCUGCAAAAGCACACAGCCUUGUCCUUUAUGCGAUGCAUCAUUGUAUACCACAAAAUUCCCUGUAUCAUCAGGCAAUGACAACACAGGUGUUGAACUCAACCUUUUCAUUAAUUCUUGAAAACUUUCCUCCCACUUCUCUGUCCAAACAAACUUAACCGUUUUCUAGUUAAAUUCGUCAACGGAGUUGCGAUCUUGAAAAAGUCUUGAAUGAAACGCCUAUAGUAACCCGCCAAUCCUAAGAAACUCCUUACUUCUGACGGUAUCUUCGGCUGAUCCCAGUUUAUUACAGCUUCAACCUUUGAUGGAUCUACCGAAAUUUCGUCCUUAUCAAUAACGUGUCCGAGAAACUGUACACGUUCCAACCAAAACUCACAUUUUGAAAAUUUUGCGUACAACUUUUCUUUUUUCAACGUCUCUAACGUCAAUCUCAAGUGUUCAACAUGUUCCUCUUUGGUCUUGGAAUAUACCAAUAUAUCAUCGAAUCAAAUCCAUGAUAUAUUGGUAUGAACAGGGUGUUUAUAUCAUUUGUCUAAGAAUGGUUUAAACACCUUGUUCAUCAAAUCCAUGAACGCUGCAGGUGCAUUGGUUAAACCAAAAGACAUAACCAGAAACUCAUAAUGACCAUACCGAGUUCUGAACGCUAUUUUUGGUACAUCCUCUGGCCUCACCUUUAACUGAUGAUAACCACUCCUCAAGUCUAUCUUUGAGAAAUAGCUUGUUCCCUUCAGUUGAUCGAACAUGUCAUCGAUUCUAGGUAAUGGAUACUUAUCUUUAAUCGUGAUCUUAUUCAAUUCUCGAUAGCAAUGCAGAGCCGUAUCGAUCCAUCUUUCUUCUUAACAAACAACAUCGGCGCUCCCCAUGGCGACACACUCAGUUGAAUAUACUUUUUGUCGAGUAAUUCUUGCAAUUAUACCAUCAACUCCUUCAUCUCUACUGGGGCCAUUCUAUAUGGUGCAUUAGAUAUCGGGGUCGUUCCUGGUAAUAAGUCAAUUACGAACUCGAUUUGUAGAUCCGGCGGAAGACUCGGCAAAUCGUCUGGAAAUACGUCUGCAAAAUCUCUUAUGAUUGGUAUCUCUUCUAACUUCGCACUCUUCUUUUGUGUAUCGACUAUGUAGGCUAAGUAUCCUACACAUUCUUGUCUCAACAACUUCUUGGCUUGCAUCACCGUUAGACAACUUGCUUGUCGAGGUGACUUGCUGCCGUAGAACACAACCUUUGAUGGAGUCAUAAGGUUAACACAUUUCCUUUCGCAAUCAAUUACUGCUCCGUAAUUGAAUAACCAAUCCAUUCCCAGUAUAACAUCAAACUCACAAAGUCUAAUUGGUAUCAAAUCUACCAUCAUCUCGUGACCUUUUAUAACCACCCUACAAUUCCUAUAUAUAAAUCUAACAGGAAUCACUUCCUUAUUCGCAAUCUCUAUGCUUAAGGGAAAUUCUAAUUCUUCCUGAGGCAAAUCUAAAUUUUGAGCAAAUUCAUUGGAUAUAAAUGAAUAAGUAGCACCCGAAUCAAAUAGUACAUAAGCAUUAAUACCAUUAAUCUAAAUGAUACCUGAGACCACAUCCUUAGACUAUAUAACAUCCUGCACGGUCAUAUUAAAAGUCCUCGCAGUAGGUCGACUUUGUGACGCCCCCAAAAUUAGGUAUACAUCACCCAUCUUGGGUCGCCACUUACAUGGUACAAAAUACAAAUACAACUUAAUUAUACAACAGUCGUGUAAGCUACGACAAAAUAUAAACAAUGAGUUUUAACUCGAAUAUUGUCAUCUAGACAUUAUUCAAACACAAAUAAGUCCUCAAUACAUUUAUUGUCACACUAUUUAACAAAAUAGUGAGGACUACUAAUGCUAUCAUCUGGACUGUCACUCCGUUCCCCGACUCGUCCCCGUUACGUUCUCAAUUCCUGAAGAGAAUAGUGAAAGAAAGGGUGAGCUCAACUAGCCCAACAAGAAAUAUUAUGACUAAGAUAAUGCAGAAUAAAUUAUCAUUAGUCUCCAACAAUGUUAAACUGAUAAAAUACAAUAGACAUCAAGUUUAACUGCAGCGGAACAAGCAAUCCAUUAAAAGAGUCAAGUAGAGAAUAAAACCUACUAUNNNNNNNNNNNNNNNNNNNNNNNNNNNNNNNNNNNNNNNNNNNNNNNNNNNNNNNNNNNNNNNNNNNNNNNNNNNNNNNNNNNNNNNNNNNNNNNNNNNNNNNNNNNNNNNNNNNNNNNNNNNNNNNNNNNNNNNNNNNNNNNNNNNNNNNNNNNNNNNNNNNNNNNNNNNNNNNNNNNNNNNNNNNNNNNNNNNNNNNNNNNNNNNNNNNNNNNNNNNNNNNNNNNNNNNNNNNNNNNNNNNNNNNNNNNNNNNNNNNNNNNNNNNNAAUAAUUAAAACGGAACCAGGUCCGGCGUAUAGCACAGACAGGAUAUUCCAACAGAAUAACUGAAUAAUUAAAACGGAACCAGGUCCGGCGUAGCACAGACAGGAUAUUCUAACAGAAUAACCGAAUAAUUAAAACGGAACCAGGUCCGGCGUAUAGCACAGACAGGAUAUUCCAACAAAAUAACUGAAUAAUUAAAACGGAACCAGGUCCGACGUAUAGCACAGACAGGAUAUUCCAACAGAAUAAUAAAGACAGAAUAAUAGAAGAAUGUCACCAAGUAUAGGGUUGCCCGCGUAUACAGGUUAUUCCAACAGAAUAAUAAAGAAAUGGAAUAACAGAAGUUCUCUUCUUGAAUACAAAAGAAUAAUAUUCCUUACCAGAAAAGAACUUAAUAUAAGAGUAGUUUCAGUAGCAGAAUACUUUUCUUCUUUCUCUCUUACAAUUUAUCUCUCUAGAGUUUCAAUGAAUUUGUAAGAAAAUAAUGAAGGAAUGAGCUUCUAUUUAUAGAAAAAUGGAAUGCAUAGUAACUAAUUCAUGAACGGUCCAGAUUGAUUUACUUUUAAUCGGACGGUCCAUAAAAUAUAUUAUAUAUAUAUAAUAUAUAUAUAUAUAUAUAAUAACAAUAAUACUCCCUCCGUAUAAACCAAAAAAAUAAUUUGACAACUUUGAAAAAAACUCCCAACCUUUCAAUUUUCAAUACCGUGGGCCCCACAUGUUCCCCUCCCCCCAACAUGUCAAUAUCACAAGGGUCUCAUUAUAUGUAAAUAACUUUCUAUCAAUAAUAUUGAAAAAUAGGUAAAUGGGGGUCUAAAUAAUACGCCAAAUUUACAACAACUACCUCAUAAAAAUCCCUUCAAUAUUUUUAACAAUAUUUAUCAUCUUUAUUACAAUUCACAAUAUUAAUCGACCAGGUCGUUCCCAGGAUAGAGGGGGCUUUCCAAUAAGGAUUUCUCUCUAUUGGCGCGCAAUUAGAUUAUCUAACCUCUCCUUGACAGAACUUCUAGACAUCGUUAAUAUUGCAAAUAAUAACAUUAAUAACUUUGUCGUCUCAAUUAUUGAUUUAAUAAUAUAAAGAAUAUCAACAAUAAUUGAAUCAAAUAACGUGAGAUACUAUGCAACAAUUACUAUAACAAUAAUUGAAUAAAACUGAAUGACUUCUCACGUAAGCAUAAAUAAUCAAUACCGUGUGCUACUAUGCAACCACGCGUAUUACUGUACUUUUACUACUGAGUAGUUCAACAGUAUCAACGGUAAAACUUCCGUCGUUAUUUUCAUAAAAAUAUUUUUGUCGUUUUCUCAAUCCGACAAUAAUUCUGUUGUGGGGUCCACUAAUGAUUGCGCCGUUGUACGAAUAUUUCCUGCUAAAACGAAUAUUCCCCAACCAAUCGAAUAUAAUAUAGCAACUUGCAUACUUUGCAAAACUUAUAAAUACUACCUUCAACUAUAACAUUAUAUUAAAUUUAUUGCAUAAUAUUCAAAAAUGAUAAUUAUAGAAAAUUUAUCUUUAUUCAAAAAGUUGGGGUCUUACAACCCCCCCUUCUUAAGAAAUUUCGCCCUCGAAAUUAGGGUACGUACCUGGUAUAUCGAAGAGGUAAGGAUACCUUGAUUUCAUUUUAGAUUCUAACUCCCAGGUCAUUUCCUCAACAUCGUGGUUUCUCCACAAAACUUUGACUUGAGGUAUAACCUUGGAGCGUAAAAUAUGUUCCUUGUUAUCCAAGAUUUGAACAGGAACCUCUUUAUACGUUAAAUCUUCCGCUAUUUCGUCUGGUUCUAGCUCAAUAAUGUGGUUCGGGUCUUCCACAUAUUUACGUAACAUGGAUAUGUGAAAAAUGUUAUGAACACCAGACAUACUAGGCGGUAAAGCGAGUCUAUAGGCCACAGUUCCUACUCGAUUGAGGAUUAAAAAUGGGCCAAUGAAUCGAGGAUUGAGCUUUCUUAUCUUUCCAAAUCUCGUAACACCUUUCCAUGGAGCAACAUGUAACAACACAUGAUCUCCAAUAUCGAAUUCCACGUCCUUUCGAUGAAGAUCAGCAUAACUCUUUUGUCGAUCUUGUGAGGUUUUUAUACGUUGUCGAAUCGUUUGAAUCUUUUCCGUAGUCAUACGUACCAACUCCGGUCCCAACAACGUUGCUUCACCCACCUCAUCCCAGCAUACUGGAGAACAACACUUUCUCCCAUACAACGCCUCAAAUGGAGCCAUGCCAAUACUUGCUUGAUAACUAUUGUUAUAGGAAAACUCCACCAAUGAUAAGAACUUAUCCCAACUUCCAUUGAAGUUAAGGACACAGAGUCUUAAUAAAUCUUCUAGAGUUUGAAUAGUCCUCUCUGAUUGUCCGUCCGUCUGAGGAUGAUAUGCUGAACUAAAUCGUAAAUCUGUGCCCAUAGCUUUUUGCAAACUAACCCAAAAUCAUGAAGUGAAUCUUGGGUCUCGAUCAGAAACUAUGGAUACUGGCAUACCAUGCAGUCUUACAAUCUCGUUUAUGUACAUACGAGCAAGACGUUCAAGUGUAUAAGUUUCUCGUAUAGGUAAGAAAUGAGCAGACUUGGUCAAUCUAUCAACAAUGACCCAAAUUGCAUCUAUGCCUUGAGAAACCUUGGGAAGACCAGUAACGAAAUCCAUGGUAAUGUGCUCCCACUUCCAUUCUGGAAUUUCAAGUGGUUGCAAUGGACCUUUUGGUACUUGAUGCUCCGCCUUGACUCGUUGACAAGUUAGACACCUUGAGAUAAACACCGCUAUCUCUCUCUUCAUAUUGCUCCACCAAAAUGUAUGUCGAAGAUCAUGAUACAUUUUGGUACUCCCAGGAUGGAUUGCAAACGGUGUGUUGUGCGCCUCCAUCAUGAUUUUAUACUUUAAAUCAGGGUCGUUAGGAACACAAAGUCUGGAGUUGACUCGAAGUAUUCCUUCUUCAUCGAUUCUUGCUUCCGACAUAACACCUUCUUGCACUUUCUUCCUCAUACGCAUCAGCUCCAGGUUUGUAGUUUGAGCAGCUUUAACUUUAUCAAUUAAAGUCGAUUAUACUCGUAUGUUCGCCAUCAUCACAUGGGUCCCUGGAGUCUUUAACUCCAUCUCCAUCCUUUGCAAGUCAUACAAAAUGGGCCUUUGUGUUGACAAUAUUGCACUCGUACCCACAUAUGAUCUUCUACUCAAUGCGUCAGCUACCACGUUCGUUUUUCUAGGAUGGUAUUGGAUGGUAUGAUCAUAAUCUUUCAACAGUUCAAGCCAACGUCGUUGUCGCAUGUUGAGUUCCUUUUGAGUGAAGAAAUAUUUAAGGCUUUUAUGAUCCGUAAAGAUCUCCACUUUCUCCCCAUACAAGUAAUGCCUCCAAAUCUUUAGUGCGAAGANNNNNNNNNNNNNNNNNNNNNNNNNNNNNNNNNNNNNNNNNNNNNNNNNNNNNNNNNNNNNNNNNNNNNNNNNNNNNNNNNNNNNNNNNNNNNNNNNNNNNNNNNNNNNNNNNNNNNNNNNNNNNNNNNNNNNNNNNNNNNNNNNNNNNNNNNNNNNNNNNNNNNNNNNNNNNNNNNNNNNNNNNNNNNNNNNNNNNNNNNNNNNNNNNNNNNNNNNNNNNNNNNNNNNNNNNNNNNNNNNNNNNNNNNNNNNNNNNNNNNNNNNNNNNNNNNNNNNNNNNNNNNNNNNNNNNNNNNNNNNNNNNNNNNNNNNNNNNNNNNNNNNNNNNNNNNNNNNNNNNNNNNNNNNNNNNNNNNNNNNNNNNNNNNNNNNNNNNNNNNNNNNNNNNNNNNNNNNNNNNNNNNNNNNNNNNNNNNNNNNNNNNNNNNNNNNNNNNNNNNNNNNNNNNNNNNNNNNNNNNNNNNNNNNNNNNNNNNNNNNNNNNNNNNNNNNNNNNNNNNNNNNNNNNNNNNNNNNNNNNNNNNNNNNNNNNNNNNNNNNNNNNNNNNNNNNNNNNNNNNNNNNNNNNNNNNNNNNNNNNNNNNNNNNNNNNNNNNNNNNNNNNNNNNNNNNNNNNNNNNNNNNNNNNNNNNNNNNNNNNNNNNNNNNNNNNNNNNNNNNNNNNNNNNNNNNNNNNNNNNNNNNNNNNNNNNNNNNNNNNNNNNUCAAAAUCCAAUUUCUCCGGAGUCAAAUUUAAACGUUGAGCGCAAGUAGGAGAAAUGAAAGAGUGGGUAGAACCAGUAUCAAAUAAAGUAUAAACUUCGCUAGAGUUUAUGAUAAGCUUACCCGUGAUGACCUCGUUCGGGUUCUUUACUUUUUGGGAGGUUACAACAAAUGCUCUUCCUUGCACUACCGACUUUGACUUUUCUGGGAUGGCCUUUGGUGACUCUAUCCUAACUGAACUUGUCUUCGGUGCACGACAAAAUCGAGCCAGGUGACCUUCUCUUCCACAGUUGUAACAUGCUUUGGAUGGCAUCGCACAGUUGGGACUGAUGUGUCCCUCUCCUCCACACUUGAAACAUAUGAUAGGUGGUCGUUCCCCUUCCUUAACGACAGGUGCUGAUGUUGACGUCUUUCCAUCAUUGUUGAAUCUCCUCUUUUUGAAAUGUCCAUUUUUAUUGUUUUGGCCAUGAUUACCACCGAAGUGGUUACCAUUUCUGGCCUUUUGAUUUCCUCCACGCUUGUUGUCACCGCUUUGAUGACUGUUCUCACUGGUAUUAUCAUUUUAUUGGCUGCUCUCUUUUGGUUGGCUUAACUCGUUAUCACGCUCCAAUAACUGAGCCCUAUUAACAACAUCCGAAUACAAACACAGUUUAUGAGAGAUAAGAUAUUGACGUAUCUCAGGUUUCAAACCUCUUAAAAACAUUCGCGUCAUUCUCUCCUCAUUAUCAACCAAAUGGGACGCAAACUGGGACAACUCGGCAAACUUGGCUUUGUACUGCGAUACUGUCAUGUUGUUUUGUUCCAGCCUGAUGAACUCUACCUCUUUCAUGUGACGAAUACUUUUGGGAAAGUACUUGUCGUUGAACAAUUCUUUGAACUUCUCCCAAGUCAUCUUCAGUGCGGCAGGUUGAGUACGCUUUACAGAUUCCCACCAGUAAUCUGCCUCUCCUCGCAACAUGAAGGUGGCAAAGGAAAUCUUUUGUUCCUCGGAGCAUCCCAAGACAUCAAAUAUCUUGGUAAUCUACUUUAUCCAUGUCUCCGCCUUAAGUGGUUUUGGUUCUCCAAUAAACUUCGGUGGUCCCAGCUCCUUGAACUGUUUGGCGGUGACCAUCCGAGAGUUGCUAGUGUUUUCACCUGCAUUUUGGACAGGAGCCGCUCCUGCCUGAUGUUGUAUGAAUUGCAUGAAUCCUCGAAACAUUUUGUUGUUCAAUAUUUGGUCAGUGUUGUUGUUUGCAUGAGGAUUUUUGCCUUCCUGAUGCACAUUGUCCUGAUUGUUGAUCUGUGGAGACUCAACGGUCUCCUGUGCUCCAUUGAUGUUCUCAACGUUCUCGGAUGCCAUUUUCAAAUACUGCCACAAAACAAGAGUUAAUUAACACAUCACAUAUUAUCCCUAUACUCUAACCAACCAAUUAAAUAACAAAUAAACUUAGGUAGGUCAUACUAGCGAAGGAAUUCCCCGUCUCUCCCCUCCUAGUUCUUAUCUCACAUCUUAGCCAGGGAUCAUAUCCCUAACCUCUGAUACCAACUGUGACGCCCCCAAUAUUAGGUAUACAUCACCCAUCUUGGGUAGCCACUUAUAUGGUACAAAAUACAAAUACAACUUAAUUAUACAACAGUCGUGUAAGAUACGACAAAAUAUAAACAAUGAGUUUUAACUCGAAUAUUGUCAUCUAGACAGUAUUCAAACACAAAUAAGUCCUCAAUACAUUUAUUGUCACACUAUCUAACAGAAUAGUGAGGACUACUAAUGCUAUCAUCUGGACUGUCACUCCAUUCCCCGACUCAUCCCCGCUACGUUCUCAAUUCCUGAAGAGAACAGUGAAAGAAAGGGUGAGCUCGACUAGCCCAGUAAGAAAUAUUAUGACUGAGAUAAUGCAGAAUAAAUUAUCAUUAGUCUCCAACAAUGUUAAACUGAUAAAAUACAAUAGACAUCAAGUUUAACUGCAGCGGAACAAGCAAUCCAUUAAAAGAGUCAAGUAGAGAAUAAAAUCUACUAUCUUUUAUGAUUUAAAAGGUUUUUCAUCACUUUUAUCGCUGGGACUCAGCUUAAUAAAUAAUCCACAUCAUCGAAUCACCCCUGCACUACGGCCAAGGAUAUUCUUUAGUAUCACGACCACAAUUAUCCAUGCACUACGGGCCAAGAAUAUUUGUGUAUUCAUUAAUGGUCAUGAUCAUGCCAACAACUGUCCAUCAAUGCACUACGGGCCAAUGAGGACUUUUUCCACAUCAUUUGUAACAUUACGGUCAUGAUUACACCGAAUAAUCCCUGGUCAUAAUCAUACCAAGUCCAUCUAUGCACUACAGGCCACAGAUGACUUUCAACAAAAUAAUAACAUGAGGAUGAUGACAAUGAUAUAAGAAUUCAAUAAAAUAACUUUCAAGAAUUAAUUUGUCCAGGAAUCAAUAACGUCCAAAUUGUCAAUAAGAUAUUGUUUUGUGGUGUAAAUUAUUCAAGAAUGCUCAGAAGAAUAUUUUCAUGAAAAGAUAUUGGAUGAAGUGCAAAUAUCAAGGAUAUUCCAUUAAUUUCAUGGAGUAUAAAAGUCAAAAUUUUAACCAACUGAGUAUAAUAACGAAUGGAAUAACAAAAGAAAUCACCACGCAUGCGGUACUUCGCAUAGACAGGUUAUUCCAACAGAAUAAUAAUAACGGAACUAGGUCAGGUGAGAUUCACACCGACAGGAUGUUCCAACAGAAUAAUAAAUAAUUAAAACGGAACCAGGUUCGGCGUUUAGCACAGACAGGAUAUUCCAACAGAAUAACUGAAUAAUUAAAACGGAACCAGGUCUAGCGUAUAGCACAGACAGGAUAUUCCAAAAAAAUAACUAAAUAAUUAAAACGGAACCAGGUCCGGCGUAUAGCACAAACAGGAUAUUCAAACAAAAUAAUAAAGACAGAAAAAUUGAAGAAUGUCACCAAGUAUAGGGUUGCCCGCGUAUACAGGUUAUUCCAACAGAAUAAUAAAGAAAUGGAAUAACAGAAGUUCUCUUUUUGAAUACAAAAGAAUAAUAUUCCUUACCGUAAAAGAACUUAAUAUAAGAGUAGUUUCAGUAGUAGAAUAAUUUUCUUCUUUCUCUCUUACAGUUUAUCUCUCUAGAGUUUCAAUGAAUUCGUAAGAAAAUAAUGAAGGAAUGAGCUUCUAUUUAUAGAAAAAUGGAAUGCAUAGUAACUAACUGAUGAACGGUCCAGAUUGAUUUACUUUUAAUCGGACGGUCCAUAUUUAAAGUAAAAUCUUUUAAAUAAAAUAUAUUAUAUAUAUAUAUAUAUAUAUAAACAAUAAUACUCCCUCCGUAUAAACCAAAAAAAUAAUUUGACAACUUUGAAAAAAACUCCCAACCUUUCAAUUUUCAAUACCGUGGGCCCCACAUGUUCCCCUCCCCCAACAUGUCAAUAUCACAAGGGUCCCAUUAUAUUUAAAUAACUUUCUAUCAAUAAUGUUGAAAAAUAGGUAAAUGGGGGUCUAAAUAAUACGCCAAAUUUACAACAACUACCUCAUAAAAAUCUCUUCAAUAUUUUUAACAACAUUUAUCAUCUUUAUUAAAAUUCACAAUAUUAAUCGACCAGGUCGUUCCCAGGAUAGAGGGGAUUUUCCAAUAAGGAUUUCUCCCUAUUGGCGCGCAAUUAGAUUAUCUAACCUCUCCUUGACAGAACUUCUAGACAUCAUUAAUAUUGCAAAUAAUAACAUUAAUAACAUUGUCGUCUCAAUUAUUGAUUUAAUAAUAUAAAGAAUAUCAACAAUAAUUGAAUCAAAUAACGUGAGAUACUAUGCAACAAUUACUAUAACAAUAAUUGAAUAAAACUGAAUGACUUCUCAUGUAAGCAUCAAUAAUCAAUAUCGUGUGCUACUAUGCAACCACGCGUAUUACUGUACUUUUACUACCGAGUAGUUCAACAGUAUCAACCGUAAAACUUCCGCCGUUAUUUUCAUAAAAAUAUUUUUGUCGUUUUCUCAAUCCAACAAUAAUUCUGUUGUGGGUUCCACCAAUGAUUGCGUCGUUGUACGAAUAUUCCCCGCUAAAACGAAUAUUCUCCGACCAAUCGAAUAUAAUAUAGCAACUUGCAUACUUUACAAAACUUAUAAAUACUACCCACAACUAUAACAUUAUAUUAAAUUUAUUCCAUAAUAUUCAAAAAUGAUAAUUAUAGAAAAUUCAUCUUUAUUCAAAAAGUUGGGGUCUUACAGACUUGACUGUGCUGAUCCAGAGAUAGUUAAUGUACCACCAACGUUGUUGUUUCCUUUUCCACCACUUGCACUUCCUGCUGGCUUCUUAGGGCAAUCACGAGCCAUGUGAUCCUACGAACCGCAGGUAAAACAUGCUCCUUUAUUUGGACUAAAACAGUUCAGUGUAAUGUGUCCCUCCUGACCACAGUUGAAACACACCCGCUUUCCCUUCAAACAUACUCCAUUAUGAUUGUUUCCAUAAGUCGCAUAAGCUUCAAACUUUUUCUUCUGCUGAUUUCCUUGUUGUCCUCCCGCAGUCGAAUUUUCACUCCACUUCCUCUUCUGAUUGUUAUUUCCAACGUUACUUCCACCAGCCUUAUUUUCAUUCUCAGUCUUCCUCUUCUUAUAUUCUUGGUUGUACUUGGUCAAGGCAUCGCUUUCACCUUCUGCGAUAAUUGCCUUUUCCAGUAUAACCGCAAAUGUAUUUAACUGAAAUAUUGAAACCUUGCUAUACAGCCAGGGUUUCAAUCCAUGUUCGAACCUUAUCGCCUUUCGUUCAUCAGUAUUGACUUAAUAAGUGGCAAACCUUGCCAAUUCAUUAAACUUCGCAGCAUAUUCUGGCACCGUCAUAGUUCCUUGUUUCAGUUCCAGAAAUUGCAUUUCCAACUUAUUCUGAGAACUCGCUGGAAAGUACAUUUCAAAAAAUAUCUCCUUAAAUCUAUCCCACGCUAUCACUCCUUGUCCCCCACGAACCUUAUUUGCCUGCCACCAGUAGCUAGCUUCAGACUUCAGCAUGAACGUUGUGAACGCAGUCUUCUGAUCCUCGUUGACUCUAGAAACGUUGAACACUUUCUCCAUUUCCAUGAUCUAGGUUUGGGCUUCUACUGGAUUCAUAGACCCUUGAAACUCUGGCGGUCCAACCGCUUUGAAUUCCUUAAAGGUCAUGACUUGAGCUUGCGGUUGAUUCGCAAGUGCACCUGUUAACAAGGUUACCAACUGCUGAACCGGGUUAGCAUUGGCCUCGUUAUUAUUUUUAGUAGACCCCUCAGGAGGUGGUUGUUGACGUGUUUUUCUUCUUCUAGGAGGCAUUUUCUGUUAAGAUAUACGCUCAUUAGUUCAUUACUCAACUUCUUGAUUAUUUGAAGUUUAACUUAAAUAUUCUAAGAUUAAAGUUAUAACACAUAACAUUUCAAAUAAACUCUGGUAUUUUAUUCAUUCAUAAUGUUUUAAAACAUAUUAAAGAUAGCAUAACCGCUAUUAACAUUCACUUUCCUGAACUAAGCAAGUUUUAGGAUUACAUAUUCAUACUACCCCUUUAUUUAUCUCAAAAUAAGGGAUUCACAGUUUAUAUACUCACUUACUUAACCACGUAUUAUUAUUCUCAUUCUUUCUAUCUAGACAUAUUAAGAUGUCGUAAGGCUUCUCUAUGUUCUUCCUCCAUAAUUCGAUACAUCGUUCUACGAUCCAUCAUGAACUACAACGAAUCUUCAAAUUGAGGUGGAUAAUAAAAGACUCGAUCCUGGGCCCUAUCAAUUGCAGAAUUAAAGGCAUAAUCCAUCCCAUUCAUCUUGGCCUUCUUCACUUGAACUUUAUCCUCGGCACGGUCUGCACGUUAAGUCACCUUUAUCCAAGCGUCCUCUGCUCUCGUACGUUUAGUUGAAUCCUCUUUCAAGUCAUCUUUUAACUUCUCCACAUCAGUCUUCAUCUUCUUGUUCACUGCCAACAAAUCUUCAUGCUGACCCUUGGUAUGAAAUAGGUCCCACUCCGUGUUUCCAAGUCUUGAGUCGAGUUCUUGAAUCUCCGCAUCCUUCUGCUCUAUCGUAGCGUGAUGCAUCUCAACCAACUCCUUCAGCUCCUGAACUUUGUCUUGUAAUUCUAUGUUACGAUCGUACAGAGCAUCAUACAUCUCAGCUGAUAUGGAGCUUUGUGGAAACGCCACAGGAUCCUCUUCCUCAUCAUCCAACUCUAUCUCUUCAGAACUAUCCUCCUCGGGAUCGGUCACAGGUUCAUCCUCCUGGAUCAACUGUUCACGCAUAACAUGAAUAUCCCGGGGUUCCUCAUCUCUAGGUAUCUGAGGUAUUACUUCCCUAGCUGGAAUGGAUCCUCCUUCAUUAGACAUCCUAACAACAAAAUAUUUUAAGUUUACUUAACAUUUUUCGAUACUCGCGAGCACAUAAGUUAUUACACAUAGCACAUAAUGUCUUUUAUUAUUUAUCUUCAAUGGAUAGCUUAAUCCAUUCAUUAAAACUCGAUAAGAGUUAGACACCUCUAUAUUUUCUGUCUUCUUAAAGGUUACUUCCUAAGGUUUCCCCACCUAAGGUUCAUAACCUAAAGCUCUGAUACCAACAUGUGACACCCCCAAAUCUGGGUAUUCCUUUUCCACAGGAUUUGGUGCUCACUAUCCAAAACCAUUACAUCUAACUACCCAUAACAAAGGAUAAAGACAUAAUUUAAAUAACUUAACAAUAAUCUUCCCAUUAAAGGGUUACAUCGUCAUAAAACAAUCCCAAAUAAUUUAAUCUUAAAUUAUUACAUAAGUUUGCGGAAUACAUCAUAAAAUAAAACAAGUCUUAUAACAUAAACAUUUAAAUAAACUUUCAUAAAUCUUCAACACUUGGACAUCUUUCCCUUUUCUUUGCUAGUAGAUGGCUCAUCGACUUUCUCAACUUUAGCUGCAGUGUUAAAUGCAAGAGUGAGCAAACAAUUGCUCACUGAUAUAGAGAGUAGUAAUGAUAACAACAUAAGAUUAAACAACGAAUGCUGAACAAUAAUGAAAUUGUUCUAUGAAUAAAAAAUAGAAAACAAGUUCAAAUUUAAUAUCUGAGGGUCUUAAGACCACGAACUAUGUCCCCGAUAUUUAGGUAUUAUUACCCAACCUUAACAGUCAUUUAGACUAUACAAACCCUUCUUAACGUACUUAGGGGGAUCAGCCCUUUGUACCAUGUAUUGUGCACAAACAUCUAAACGUUACACGUACAAAAUCCCCUAUGUUAGGGUUGUUCGUCUCAGCUUGAAUUUAGAAUUUCUGCACUAAAGAGAGUUUAGCUCGGAACUAACUUAUCAAUGGUUCUAGAAUUUUAGAACACUACUCAAUUAUAGACUAAUUCAAUCAAUAAGAGUUUGCUUGCUACUUGAAGAUUUAAUAUAACAAAAAUAGAAUUGAACAAGGCUAUCAAAGUCAAAGAUCGAAUAUCAACAAUAUACAGUUGAGCACUACAACAAAAAAGCUUAUCAGCGACCGCCUAUCAGCGACCGCCUGUGGUCGCUGAUAUCUAUCUGCGACCGUCUACUCGAGUAAACAUGAUAUACAUGCAAAGUACUAUAUCCAAAAGAGUUAGAAUAAUCUCCUUUGAAUCAAUGUAUUAGAACAAUAUAUUCUUUUGAAUAACAAUAUCAAGAUUUAGGAAAGUGAAACUCGCUCAAUGUAACAAACUAGAUUACAAGAGAUUGUACGAUACACGAGAUAGAAUCAAUAGGCUUGCUGAACUUUAAUGUAAAAUUUAGAAUUAGAAAGCUUGUUUGACAUAAAAGAUAACAUAGCUAUGAAACUUGCAUUCAUUAAUAAAAGAAUGAAGUUAGAAAACUUGCUCAAUAAAAGUUUAGGAUAAGAAACUUGCCUUGUAUGUAAGCUACACAAGUGUAAUAAUGUUCGCCAAUUACCCUACACAUAUCAUUGGAAUCGCAAUAACAAUUAGUUGUAUUAUUAUUAGCUUUAAGGGUUUAAACCACCAUUUAGGUCAUAACCUUAACUUAACAUCUAACCAUGUUGGUUAACACCUUUAACAAAUCUAAAAUCCCUCUAUAAACUAACAUAAACUUUAUCAUUCAUUUCUUACUUUCAUAAACAUUAUUUUUUUAUUCAUUACAUAACUUAAUUAAAUAAUCACUUAAAAUCUUCAUACUUUAUAUUACAUCACGUUGAAAUAUGUUAUUGUAGUUCACGUUAACAUGUAUGCCAAACUAGAUUAAGUCCAUUAAUCAUAACCUAUAAAUAAGCAGAAGUCAUUGCCUAGGCUCAGGGCACGGCGCAGCUGCGCUGUCCCAAGCCUUGGCAUCGGCACAGCUGCGCCGUACACGGACAGGAACUGCAGCAGCAGCUCUGUUACACAGCACACACCAAAACUCAAUCAAAUUUCACAGAAAUCAUAAAACUCAACAUCUAAAACUUUGUGAUAACAUUAAUAAUGAUGUUAUUCAUCAUUCUCACUACCUAAACAUUAUAUAUAUUAAAUUUUAAAAGAUCAAAACCCCAAUUUUUCCAAUUUCAUCAUUUUUUUACGCUUUUAGCGAAUUCGAUUGCUACGAAUUCAUUUCUUAAUCAAUUGACACAAUUCAAACUACGUUGUUUUCGUUUCUUAACAUACUAACACAUUCUAACAUCAAAUUACAGAUUAUAGCAAGUAUUGAUCAUGAAAUUUCGUACUUUCUAAAGCCAUUUUUCAAAAAUAAACACUAUUAUUAUAACUUCUUCCUUACAAAGCCAAUUCUCACAUGUUUGGAAAUCAAAUAGCACUCACAUAUAAUGAUUAACAGAUUAUAAACCAUAUAUACAUGUAUUUGUAUUAAUCCAUCGUAAUUAUCAAUAGAAAUUUCAAACAUAAAAGUUAGAAUUAGAGUUAUACCUUACUCCUUUGAUUGUUUGCUAGCAAAAAGAUGGUGACUAGGUUUAGAAAUCCCUCUCCUUGACAAUCAUAAAGAAUUCAAACUCACUGUGUUUUCCUCUCUUGCUCUCUCUCCAAGCUCUCUGUUCUUCACUAAUAUCUAGCCUUAGGGAAAGGAAUAAUACGCGUAAAAAAAUAUACUAACUCCCACUUUCCCCACUAAUGUCAGGUCACAAACCCAAAAGUUUGUGUCAGUUAGAAAUAAGCCAAAGGCCACAGGGCCUUGUUUGGCUAACCACAAUUUCUCCUCUACUAGAUUAUUUUUAUAUUAUUUUUAUUAUAUAGUUUUUAUUUGUCACACUUGCCACCAAUUUAAAUAGCUUACAAUAAUAAUUAUAAUAAUUAUAAUUUUUAUUAUAAUUAUUCUGAUGAUUAAUAAAUAAUUAUAUAUAUAUAAUUUAAUUAAUAAAUUUGACUUAAACAUUACUUUAUUUAAUUUACCUAUUUUCUUUAAUAUAAAAAAAAAUUUAAUUUAAUUUAAUUAUUUCAUUAAAUUAAAUCUUUCAAAUAAAAAAUAGCAUUAUUCAAUUUAAUUAACAUUAAUCAAUUUAGUCACUAAAUUAAUGCACCACAAUUCAUCAAUUAUUUAUUUUUCUCAAUAAAUAAAUUAUUUAAAAUAUUUAUUUAAUUCAAUAAAUAUUUAAAUUAAAUUACAAAUUUCUCGAUCGUUACACUAUUCAUUCGGUUAGUAUUUACCCGGGGUACUAUUCAUGACAAAAAUUGAUUUCUUUUAUGUCCAAAUUAUUUUUGAUACAAUAUUAUUCUUGAAUUUUACUCCACAAUUGGUGAUCAUGUUGACAAUUUAGAUAUUCUUAAACUCUGGAUAAAUUUAAUUAUAAAUAUUUAAUAUUUAUCCUUUAUCUCGUUUGAUUGAUUCUUUAUAUCAUUGUCAUGAUCCUCAUGCUUAUAUUGUGAUAAAAGUCAUCUUUGGCCCGUAGUGCAUAGAUGGACUAUUGGUUAUUGGUUUUACAGUUGUUUUUCUUUGGCCCGUAGUGCAAAGAAGAACUGUUGAUUGAUAUCUUUGGUCGUAGUGCAAAGAUGAAUUGUUGAUUGAUAGCUUUGGCUCGUAGUGCAAAGUUGGACAGGUGUAUGACAUGAUCAUGACCACUGGUGAUACUAACGAAUAUCCUUGGCCGUAGUGUAUGGAUAAUUCAAUGAUGUGAUUGGCAGGAUCAUGACCAUUAGUUAACAGUUGAAUGUCUUCGGCCGUAGUGCACUGACAGACAAUUGAUUGGUAUGAUCAUUGUUAUUACACUUGAAUGUCUUAGCCUUUGGGGUAAGGAUAUUGAGUAAACGUUCUAUUAAGCCUUUGUGGCAAGGAGAAACUGUUGAUUCACAUUAUUAUAAACAUGAAUUGUGAAUUUAUCUAAAAUCUUUGGUGGUUCAGGUGAAGACAGGUGAUGAAAUUUCUCUUUGUCUUGGUAUAAUAAAGAACUGUUAAUGGGUAUUAUAGGGAUAAAAUUGAUGAUAAACUUUUAAAUCAUAGAAGAUAGUAGAUAUCAUGCUCUACUUGACUCUUCUAAUAGAUUGCUUAUUCCACUGCAGUUGUUGAUCUAAAACUUGUUGUCUAUUAUAUUCUAGCAGUUGUUAUACUGUUGAAGGCUAAUGAUAAUUUAUUCUGCAUUAUCUUAGUCAUAAUAUUUCUUACUGGGCUAGUUGAGCUCACCCUUUUCUUUCAUUAUUCUCUUCAGAAAAUGAGAAUAUAGCUGGGACGAGUCGGGGAAUGGAGUGAUGAUCCAAGAUAAGUGGCUUUAGUAGUCUUCACUAUUCUGUGAAAUAGUGUGAUAAUAAUUGUAAUGAGGACUCCAUUGAGUUUGGAUAUUGUCUAGAAGACAAUAUUUGUGUUAAAACUCUCAGCUUAUAUUUUCUCGUAUUCUACACGACAGUUGUAUAAUUAAGUAGUAUUUGUAUUCUGUACCAUGUAUCUGGCGACCCAAGAUGGGUGAUGUAUACAUAUUUUGGGGGCGUCACAUCAACAACCACCACAAAUAUAAAACCUUUGAAGCCAAGCCUGUGAGACCCCAAAUUUUAUGAAUAAAGAUUUAAAUUUCUCGAAAUAUUUUUUUUGAAUAUUACGGUGUGGAUUUGAUAUAAUGUUAUAGUUGUGGGUAAUAUUUAUAAAUUUUACAAAGUAAACAAGUUGUUACAUAAUAUUCGUUUGGUCGGGGAAUAUUCUUUUUGUUGGGGAAUAUCCGUACGAUGGUGCAAUCAUUGGUGGACCCCACAACGGAAGUAUUGUCGUAGUAAGAAAAUGACAAAAUUAUCUUUUUAUAAAAAUAAUGGCGAAAGUGUUACCGUUAAAACUAUUGAACUACUCCGUAGUAAAAGUACAGUAAUACGUGUGGUUGCAUAGUAGCACACGAUAUUGAUUAUUAAUACUUACGUAAGAAGUCACUCAGUUAUACUUAAUUAUUGUUAUAGUAAUUGCUGCAUCUAUCUCUCAUAUUAUUGAUUCAAUUAUUGUCACAGUAUCAUCUGCAUAAUAUGUUAUAUUAUUAAAUCAAUAAUUGAGACGACAAAGUUAUUUAUAUUAUUAUUUGCAAUAUUGAGAAUGUCUAGAAGUUCUAUCAAGGAGAGGUUAGAUAAUCUAAUUGCGCGCCAAUAGGGAGAAAUCCUUAUCGGAAAGCCCCCUCUUUCUUGGAAACUACCUGGUUGUUAAAUAUUGUGAGUUAUAAUAUUAAUGAUGUAUAAGUUUGUGUUGAUUAAAGAUGAAAUUGAUAGUUCCAUUGUGUUGGGAUUAUUAGUGUUAGUGGAAAUCGACAUUUAUUUCGAUAAUAAUUGAUGUUUGGAAGUUAUAUUGACCAAUCGGGUAAUUAACCGGAUAAAUGAGCAAUUAAUUGCUAUUAAUUCACAUGCUUAUAACUAUGUGUUCACAUGUGUGUACUAUUGAUUCACAUGAUUUACUAUUAGGGGAGUUGGUGCAAGAUUGAUAAUACUUGCAUGACUAAAUUAAAAAUAGAGGUAUAGAUGAAGGUACUAUACUGUAAUUAUUUUUUUCACAUGUUUAGAACUAUUGAGUCACAUGAUUUACUAUUGAUUCACAUGAUUUACUAUUAGGGGAGGUGGUGCAAGUUUGAUAAUACUUGCAGGACUAAAUUAAAAAUGAAGAAAAAGAGGAAGGUAUUAUACUGUAAUAUUUCGAGCCCCAAAACGUGCAAUUAUCGAAACUAUAUUUUCCUAUAAAUAGAAGCUCAUUCUUCCUUCAUUUCUCACCAAUUCACUAAAGCUUUAGAGCAAUUAUUAUAGAGAGAAAUUAUAGAGAGAAAGAAGAAGAGAAGUCUGCUACCUCACUAUUUUAGUAUGCAGUUUCUUCUAAGGUAAGGGUAUUAUUUCUUUCGUAUUCAUGAAGAGAGUUAUUUCUUUCAAUACUCGUAAGGGUUGUUAUUCCAUUCUUUAUUAUUCUGUUGGAAUAACCUGUCUGUGCGGACUACACACGCCUGGUGAAUUCUUUUGUUAUUACAUUCUUUAUUAUUCUGUUGGAAUAACCUGUCUGUGCGGACUACGCACGCAUGGUGAAUUUUUUUUUAUUCUAUUCUUUAUUAUUCUGUUGGAAUAACCUGUCUACGCAGACUACCGCAUGCAUGGUGAAUGACCCUUCGUAUUCAUUCUUUAUUAAAUUAUGUAAAUGAUCUGUCUACGUAGAUUACCGCAUGACGGGUAAAAAUCCAUUUGCAGUUUCAUAUAUUCUAUUAUACUCAUAUGCGAUAUCAUUUCUUUUGUACUCGUCAUAUAAUAUCAUUUUCUUUGGAAUUUUUCUUUUACGAGUUACUAUUGACAGAUUACUAUUCACCUGAUUAUUAUUCACUCUAGUAUUAUUCACUCAGGUAUUCGGGGCACUUUUCGUGUCAGAGUAUUAUUCACGGGUUACUAUUCACCCGAUUACUAUUCACUCUAGUAUUAUUCACUCGGAUAUUUGGGACACUUUUCGUGUCGAGGUACUAUUCACGGAGUACUAUUCCUGAAGUACUAUUCAUGAAAUACUAUUCACCCAAAAAAUAUAUUUCUUUUCAGUCCAAAUUAUUUUUGGGUACAAUAUUAUUCUUGAAUUUUACUCCACAAAACAAUAUCAUGUUGACAAAUUGGACGUUAUUGAUUCUUGGAUAAAUUAAAUUAUAAAUCUUUAAAAUUUAUCCUUGAACUUUUUUUAUUGAAUUAUUAUGUCAUUGUCAUCAUCCUCAUGCUUAUAUUGUGAUGAAAGUCAUCUUUGGCUUACGUGCAUAGAUGGACUUGGUAUGAUUAUGACCAGGGAUUAUUCGGUAUAAUCAUGACCGUAAUGUGACGAAUGAUAUGGUGAAAGUCCUCAUUGGCCUGUAGUUCAUUGAUGGACAGUUGUUGGUAUGAUUAUGACCAGGGAUUAUUUGGUAUAAUCAUGAACAUUGAUGAUUACAUGAGUAUCAUUGGCCGAGAUGCAGGGAUGAUUCGAUUUUAUUUAUUAAGUUGAGUCUCAGCGAUAAAGUUGAUGAAAAACUUUUUAAAUCAUAGAAGAUAGUAGAUUUUAUGCUCUACUUGACUCUUCUAAUGGCUUGCUUAUUCCGCUGCAGUUGUUGAUCUAAAACUUGUUGUCUAUUAUAUUCUGUCAGUUGUUAUACUAUUGAAGGCUAAGGAUAAUUUAUUCUGCAUUAUCUUAGUCAUAAUAUUUCUUACUGGGCUAGUUGAGCUCACCCUUUCUUUCACUGUUCUCCUCAAGAAAUGAGAAUAUAGCUGGGACGAUUCGGGGAACGGAUUGACGGUCCAGAUGGUUGUUUUAGUUGUCCUCACUAUUCUGUGAAAUAAUAUGAUAAUAAUUGUAAUGAGGACUCCAUUGGGAGUGGAUAUUGUCUAGAAGGCAAUAUUCUUGUUUAAACUCUCAGUUAUGUUUUGUCGUAUAUUACCCGACAGUUGUAUAAUUAAGUUUGUAUUUGAUUUAUGUACCAUAUAGUUGGCGACUCAAGAUGGGUGAUGUAUACCUGUUUUUGGGGUGUCAAAGUUGGUAUCAAAGCUUAGGGAUAUGAUCUCUGGCUGAGAUAUGAGACAAGAACUAGGAGGGGAGAGACUGGGAAUUCCUUCGCUAGUAUAUAUGACCUACCUAAGUUUAUUUGGUAUUUAAUUGGUCGAUCAGAGUAUAGGAAUAAUAUGUGAUAUGUCAAUUAACCCUUGUUUUGUGACAGUGUUUGAAAAUAGCAUCUAAAAAUGUUGAGAUCAGCAAUGAAGCACAUGAGACCGUUGAGUCACCAACGAUUAAUACCUAGGAUAAUGUGCAACAGGAAGAUAAUAAUCCUCAGGUAAAUAACAACACCGAUUAGAUGAUGAACGAUGGGAUGUUCAGAGGCUUUAUGCAAUUCAUGCAACAUCAGACGAGAGAGACUCUUGUUCAAAAUGCAGGUGGAAACACUGUCAACUCUCGGAUGGUCACCGCUAAGCAGUUUAAGGAGUUGGGACCACCAGAGUUUUUGAGAGAGCCAGAACCACUUAAGGCGGAGACGUGGAUAAACAGAUCACCAAGAUAUUUGAUGUCUUGGAAUGCUCAGAGGAGCAAAAGGUUCCCUUUGCCACCUUCAUGUUGCGAGGAGAGGCAGAUUACUAGUGGGAAUCAGUAAAACGUACUCAGCCUGCCGCACUGAAGAUGUCUUGGGAGAUGUUCCAAGAACUGUUCAACAACAAGUACUUUCCUGAAAGUAUUCGUCAUGUGAAAGAGGUAGAGUUCAUCAAGCUUGAGUAAAACAAUAUGACCGUGGCGCAGUACGAAGCUAAGUUUGCCGAGUUAUCUCAGUUUGCGUCCCACUUGGUUGAUAAUGAAGAGAGAAUGACGCGGAUGUUUCUAAGAGGUUUGAAACCCGAGAUACGUCAAUAUCUAAUUUCUCACAAACUGUGUUUGUAUUCAGAUGUUAUGAAUAGGGCUCAAUUAUUGGAGUGUGAUAAUGAGUCAGCACAACCAAAAGGCAACGACCAACAACACGAUAAUAAUCAUACCGGUGGCAACGGCCAUCGGAACAAUGAUAACCAUCGUGGGGGAAAUUAUUAUGCCAAGAAUGGUAACCACUUCGGUGGUAAUCAUGGCCAAGUUAAUAGAAGCGGAAAUUUCAAGAAGAGAAGGUUCAAUAAUGAUGGAAAGACGUCAUCACCAGCACCCGUUGUUAAGGAAGGAGAACGACCGCCGGUCGUAUGUUACAAAUGCGGAGGGGAGGGACACAUAAGUCCAAACUAUUCACAGCCUUCCAAGGUAUGUUUUAGUUGUGGAAAAGAUGGUCACAUAGCUCGAUUUUUUUCUUGUAGCGAAAUCAAGUCCAGUUGGGACAGUGGCACCAAAGGCGGAUACGGACAAAACAAAGUCGGUGGUUUCAGGAAGAGCGGUUUUUAUGACUUCUCAAAAAGUGAGUAACCCGAACGAAGUUAACACGGGUUAGUUAAUUAUAAAUUCUUGCGAAGUCUAUACCUUAUUAGAUAUCGAUUCUACCCAUUCUUUUAUUUCUCUUGCUUGCGCUCAGCGUUUAAAUUUGACUCCAGAGAAAUUAGACUUUGACUUAUUGGUUGAAACUCUGUUAGGAGAAACCUUCGUUACACCCACUGUUUAUAAAUCUUGUUUUAUUCAAAUCGACACUUUCACGUUACCUGUCGAUCUUAUCUCUUUGAAAAUACUUGCCUUUGAUGUGAUUUUAGGAAUCGAUUGGUUAACUACUCAUCAUGCCAAAAUUGAUUAUUUUUGUAAGGUUGUUAGCUUUCAUAUUCCUAACCAACUUGUUAUGCGAAUUCAAGCAACCAAACCACUAAAGUCAAUCACUGUCAUAUCAAGCCAUAAGUAAAGAGCCCCGAGCCUUUCGUUGGUGACUUCCUUGUGUGGAAUGCAUCGAAGCCGAACUUUCUGUAGGGGACGUCGUGAAUAACAGUGGCAAGUUGAUAGGUAUCAAUGUGACGUGUUAUCCAAGUCUUGGGAUGAGAGUCACAGUUUUGAAUGAUAUUUCUAUUGUUAAUAAAUUUCCUAGCGUAUUCUUGAAGACUUCUUAGCCUACCCCUAGAGCGUGAAAUCGAAUUUUUUAUUGACCCCAAUACAAAACUCAUUUAUAAAACCCUCAAAUAUUUUCUUUACCCAAAACGAACGUAUAAUGUGCCAAUGACGUUGGCUCGAGCUGUUGAAGGUUACGACUAUACCAUUAAAUUCCAUCGUGGGAAAAGCGAACGUGGUAGCUGACACAUUAAGUAGAAGAUCGUAUGCGUUUACGAAGUGUGACGUUGUUAACACAAAAACCCAUUUCGUAUAACUUAUAAAUAAUGAAGAUGGAGUUAAUGACUCUAGAGACCCACGUGAAGAUAACGAAUAUACGAGUAAAAUCGACUUUAAUCGAUAAAGUUAAAGCCGCUCAAACUACACACUCGGAGCUAGUGAAUACGAAGAAGAAGGUUCAAGAAGGCGUUAUUCUAGAAGCAAGAGUCGAUGAAGAGAGAAAAUCUCAAUCCUCGAUUUAAUUGGGCCAUUUGAAAUCCUCGAUGGAGUAGGAACUGUGGCCUAUAGACUUGUUUUACCGCCAAGUAUGUCGCGUGUUCAUAACAUUUUUCAUGUAUCGAUGUUACGUAAAUAUGUGGACGACCCGAACCACAUUAUUAAAUUGGAACUAGACGAGAUAGCAGAAGAUUUAACAUAUGAGGAUAUACGUGUUAAAAUCUUGGAUAAGAAGGAUCGUAUUCGACACUCAAAUUUUAUACCUCAAGAGUUAGAAUCUGAAAUAAAGUCAAGGUAUCCUUAUCUCUUCGGCAUACCAGGUACGUACUUAAAUUUUGAGGGCGAAAUUUCAUAAGAAGGGAAGAUUGUGAGAUCCCAAAUUUUAUGAAUAAAGAUUUAAAUUUCUUGAAAUAUAUUUUUUGAAUAUUACGGUGUGGAUUUGAUAUAAUGUUAUAGUUGUGGGUAAUAUUUAUAAAUUUUGCAAAGUAAGCAAGUUGUUAUAUAAUAUUCGUUUGGUCGGGGAAUAUUCUUUUUGUCGGGGAAUAUCCGAACGACGACACGAUUAUUGGUGGACCCCACAACGGAAGUAUUGUCGUAGUAAGAUAAUGACAAAAUUAUCUUUUUAUAAAAAUAACGGCGAAAGUGUUACCGUUAAAACUGUUGAACUACUCGGUAGUAAAAGUAUAGUAAUACGCGAGGUUGUAUAGUAGCACACGGUAUUGAUUAUUGAUGCUUACGUAAGAAGUUACUCAGUUAUACUCAAUUAUUGCUACAGUAAUUGUUGCAUCAUAUCUCUCAUAUUAUUGAUUCAAUUAUUGUCACAGUAUCAUCUGCAUAAUAUGUUAUAUUAUUAAAUCAAUAAUUGAGAUGACAAAGUUAUUCAUAUUAUUAUUUGCAAUAUUGACAAUGUCUAGAAGUUCUAUCAAUGAGAGGUUAGAUAAUCUAAUUGUGCGCCAAUAGGGAGAAAUCCUUAUCGGAAAGCCCCCUCUUUCCUGGGAACGACCUGGUUGUUAAAUAUUAUGAGUUAUAAUACUACUGAUGAAUAAGUUUGUGUUGAUUAAAGAUGAAAUUAAUAGUUCCAUUGUGUUGAGAUUAUUAGUGUUAGUGGAAAUUGACAUUUAUUUUGAUAAUAAUUGAUGUCUGGAAGUUAUAUUGACCAAUCGGGUAAUUAACCGGAUAAAUGAGUAAUUAAUUGCUAUUAACUCACAUGCUUAUAACUAUGUGUUCACAUGUGUGUACUAUUGAUUCACAUAAUUUACUAUUAGGGGAGUUGCUACAAGAUUGAUAAUACUUGCAUGACUAAAUUAAAAAUGGAGGUAUAGAUGAAGGUACUAUACUAUAAUUAAUUUUUUCACAUGUUUAGAACUUUUAAGUCACAUGAUUUACUAUUGAUUCACAUGAUUUACUAUUAGGGGAGGUGGUGCAAGUUUGAUAAUACUUGCAAUUAAAAAUGAAGAAAAAGAGGAAGGUAUUAUACUGUAAUAUUUUGAGCCCCAAAACGUAUAAUUAUUGAAACUAUAUUUUUCUAUAAAUAGAAGCUCAUUCUUCUUUCAUUAUCACCAAUUCACUAAGCUAUAGAGCAAUUAUUAUAGGGAGAAAUUAUAGAGAGAAAGAAGAAGAUAAGUCUACUACUUCACUAUUCCAGUAUCCAGUUUCUUCUAAGGUAAUGGGUAUUAUUUCUUUCGUAUUCAUGAAGAGAGUUAUUUCUUUCAAUACUCGUAAGGGUUGUUAUUCCAUUCUUUAUUAUUCUGUUGGAAUAACCUGUCUGUGCGGACUACACACGCCUGGUGAAUUCUUUUGUUAUUAUAUUCUUUAUUAUUCUGUUGGAAUAACUUGUCUGUGCGGACUACGCACGCCUGAUGAAUUCUUCUAUUAUUCCAUUCUUUACUAUUCUGUUGGAAUAACCUGUCUACGCGGACUACCACAUGAUUGGUGAAUUCUUCUGUUAUUCCAUUCUUUAUUAUUCUGUUGGAAUAACCUGUCUACGCGGACUACCGCAUGCAUGGUGAAUGACCCUUCGUAUUCAUUCUUUAUUAAAUUAUAGAAAUGAUCUGUCUACGUAGAUUACCGCAUGGCGGGUGAAAAUCUAUUUGCAGUUUCGUAUAUUCUAUUAUACUCGUAUGAGAUAUCAUUUCUUUUGUAUUUGUCAUGGAAUAUCAUUUUUUUUGGUAUUUUUCUUUUACGAGUUACUAUUCACGGGUUAGUAUUCACCUGGUUACUAUUCACUGUAGUAUUGUUCACUCGGGUAUUCGGGACACUUUUUGUGUCGGAGUACUAUUCAUGGGUUAUACUAUUCACGGGUUACUAUUCACCCGAUUACUAUUCACUCUAGUAUUAUUCACUCGGGUAUUUGGGACACUUUUUGUGUCGGGGUAUUAUUCACAGGGUACUAUUCUCGAAGUACUAUUCACGGAGUACUAUUCACCAAAAAAAUAUAUUUCUUUUCGAUCCAAAUCAUUUUUGGGUACAAUAUUAUUCUUGAAUUUUACUCCACAAAAUAGUAUCAUGUUGACAAAUUGGACGUUAUUGAUUCCUAGAUAAAUUAAAUUAUAAAUCUUUAAAAUUUAUCCUUGACUUGGUAUGAUUAUGACCAGGAAUUAUUCGGUAUAAUCAUGACCGUAAUGUGACGAAUGAUGUGGUGAAAGUCCUCAUUGGCCUGUAGUUAAUUGAUGGACAGUUGUUGGUAUGAUUAUGACCAGGGAUUAUUCGGUAUAAUCAUGACCAUUGAUGAUUACAUGAGUAUCCUUGGCCGUGAUGCAGGGAUGAUUCGAUUUUAUUUAUUAAGUUGAGUCUCAGCGAUAAAGUUGAUGAAAAACUUUUUAAAUCAUAGAAGAUAGUAGAUUUUAUGCUCUACUUGACUCUUCUAAUGGAUUGCUUAUUCCGCUGCAGUUGUUGAUCUAAAACUGUUGUCUAUUAUAUUCUAUCAGUUGUUAUACUGUUGAAGGCUAAGGAUAAUUUAUUCUGUAUUAUCUUAUUCAUAAUAUUUUUUGCUGGGCUAGUUGAGCUCACCCUUUCUUUCACUGUUCUCUUCAGGAAAUGAGAAUAUAGCUGGGACGAGUCGGGGAACGGAUUGACGGUCCAAAUGGUUGUUUUUGUAGUCCUCACUAUUCUGUGAAAUAAUGUGAUAAUAAUUGUAAUGAGGACUCCAUUGGGAGUGGAUAUUGUCUAGAAAGCAAUAUUCUUGUUUAAACUCUCAAUUAUGUUUUGUCGUAUAUUACCCGACAGUUGUAUAAUUAAGUUUGUAUUUGAUUUAUGUACCAUAUAUUUGGCGACUCAAGAUGGGUGAUGUAUACCUAUUUUGGGGCCGUCACAAAGCCCAUACACUCCCAUUUUAGAUCAUAGCUCCUAUGCCCAGACCCAUUAAGAGCAUACCCAGCCCCUACUAAUAUGCACAAUCUAAGCUCCCAUGAUCUAAAGCCCCUGACUUUGCAAAUAUAGAUCGAUAGAUAGAUUUUCGGGAAGGAUCACAUUUUGGUAGAUAGAUGGUUUAAUUUGUUUAACUAUUUAUUAUAAAAUUGAGUAUAAUUUAAUAUAAUUAAUUAUUUAGCUUACCUUCUCUCUCCUUGUCUGCAUUGACACAUAGAUUUAUUGAUUGCCACGUCCUUCUUCUGUUAAAUGGUUAACAGACAUAGACGACAAAAUUAAUUUUUGUAAAUAAAGUAUAGUUCAAUGAGUUGACCGUAAAAAAAUUUAGUUUAGUGAUGCAUUUGUAAACCGAUGUUGAGUAGAGUGGAGAAAAGUGUAUUUAAUCCGCUCCAAAAGUCACCACUUUACAAGUCUCGUCAACAAUCAGCACCAUGUAAACACUCACCCUCUUUGGUGAACUUGAAGAGUUUGAAAAUCAACUUAGGAGGUAUGAUGAUGAAAAUGAGGCACCAAUAAAGAAGACAUUGACACUUCAAGCUGAGAGUAACAAUGAAUGUGAUAACGAAGAUUUUGAUAAAGAAAUUGAAAUGCUCUCAAGAAACUUGAGAGACUAUUUCAAAAGAAAAUAAAAAAGGUAGCUCAACUCCAGUGGGUAAGUUCAAAACAGAACAAGAAGAAGAAAUUGUCCAACUCUAUUUCAUAGGACUAGAAGAUGAUGAUCAACUUGAGGUAACAAAUUUUCAUGAAGCUUUUGAAAUAUCUAUGCCUGAUUAUAUUGCUUUACAAAAUGAAAAUCAACAACUCAAAAAAAAAACUGUUUAUUUUAAGAAUUGCGUAAAUGCUAAUGAAUGAAGUUAAGUCAUUUAUUAAAGAGAGAAAAGAAAAUGAAUAUCUUAAAAAUGAAAAUGAAGUUUUAAAAGAAAAUUUAAAAAUGAGAGAUGAAUGCAUAAAUGCUUUUAAUGAUGGAAAAAUGAUGAAUGUGCAACAUGAUGAUAAUGUCACAAAUGCAAAAAUAACAUCUUUAAAAAAUGAUCUUGCUAAAUUUGUGCAAUGAGAAGAGAACCUAAAUGUUAUGUUAGGGGCACAAAGGUCUAGUCUUGAUAAAUAAGAAAUUGGGUAUAAUCCUAUUAAAAUGUGAAAAAUAGAACUAAUAAUAAUAUUAUAAUGAUUAAUAGAAAACCAAUGCAUAAACCACUUUAUUGUUCACCGUUUGUUACUUGUAAAAAAUAUGGUUUUAAAGGUCAUUUUAAAAUGUGGCUUUAUUAGAAUAAAGCAAAUUUGGGUAAAGAAAUGUGAUUUAUAUGCUACUAACCUAAUAGGACCCAAGAAGAUUUGGGUACCAAAAUGGUAGAGACUAUUUGUUCAUUUUGUAGAUGUCUCAAGGUCAAAAAGGAGACAGAUAAUACUUAUAAAUUAUUUGGCAAAAUUCGCAAGUACCUUAUUUUUUUAAAUAGAUUUUUAAUUAGAUAUAUUAUGAAAACUCUAUGGAUUUCGUAUCAUAUGGCUUCAUAACAUCAUUUAUUAUAAAGUUUUUAUUGUGCUAAAUGCUCCAUAUUUAAUACAAACGACAAUCUUGAUGAGGAAUAAGUGAAUAUUAUUUUUGAUGAACUUAACCAUGAUCUGUUAAAGGAAGAGAAUGAGGUUUCUGCUGGAAAUGACUAUCUGAAUUGUGGAACCCAAACAGUUCAAUCCGGAUAGUCUAAGCCGUCUCUAUCAGAAGGAAAGAUAGAUGAAAUCAGACAAUUUGACCCGUCUGUUUUAGAAGAAAACUCAAAUUUACAAACACCUAAAUCCAAACAGAUCGAGUCGUCUACUUUAGAAGACAAAACAUAUGAAUAUUCGGAUGCAGUAACUUAUAUUCCAGAGGAUGAAUCUCAAAAGCAAAUGACUACUGCCAGGCUUCCUAAAUCUUCUAGAACUAUGGGAAAUCAUCAUCCAAGUCUGAUCAUCAGAAAUUUCAACAUUAGGAUGUCCACAAGAAGAGGUUUUGAAGAAAUUUGUUUGCUACACUAAGGAGCUUAUCUAUUAAGCUUAUUGUUGGUAACAAAAUUGUGGAUAUAUAGGUAACAAAUCACAAAGGUAUGGUCAUUUUAUUUAAUUGCUAUAUGUGAUAUUGUUAUAAGCUUGCUCCCGUGUCUUUAUUUUAUGAAUUAUUUUUUGUUUGUCACAAAUGGGAUAGAGAUAUAACUAAAUUGAUGAUUUUUUUUUUUUUGAUAAUAACAAAGGGGAGAAAUGUUUAGAAAAAUUGAUGAUUAUGAUAUCUGAUGGUUAUAUUGAUUAUAAUAUGUUUAGAUUUUUUUGAUAUCAUAUUGAUGAUAAUGGUUGGAUAUUUUGAUUCAUUAUCUGUUAUAGCUUAUCAUUAUGCAUUAUUUAUCAUAACAGUUAUGUGAUCUUUAUAUCUCCUAUAGGCAUAAAUUUAUGGGGAGCAUGAUUGCAAGGAAUAAUAUAUUGUCAUCAUCAAAAAAGAGGGAAAUUGUUAGUUUUAUUAUUUGUGAUUUUAAUAAUGACAAUAUAUUUGUAAAUAUAAUUUAUUUAAUGUAUUGAAUUAAUUUUGUAAUGGUUUGUUGAAUAUGAUAUAUAGUAAGUUUGGUUCAUGAUAAUUUAAUUUGGUUAUAAUUCAAAUUGUUAUUACGUGCAGGAUUGAAUUGAAAUAUUUUCUUCCAGGUUGUUAUUUUGUUAAAACAGGUUGUUUCAAUUUUGAAUUGGAAUAUGUUAAGGAGUUUGUUUAGCAGUGUAAUCUAUCUAUUAAAUAUAUUAAAAUGCAGUACAUGAUAUCAUAGCUUGACAUAUGUCAUUCUCACAAUUCAACACGUGUCCUGUCUAAUUAAUAUUCCUUAAGACCCUUAACAAAAGUGCCCAGCUAACAUAACAAAUGAGGAUGAAAACAAACUUUAAUUCAUUCCCCUAAAUUUUAGAUUUAUAAUCCCCUAAAUCAUGCUACAAAUCUAAACUAUUUUGAUAAUAUCAACUGUUUUGAUAUUAUCCUUUGUAAUUUAAUUAUUAUUUAAUAAAAUUACUUUUUUAUGCUAUUAAUUAAUUUUUUAGAUUUAUAAUCUUCUAAAUAACUACAAAUCUAAACAGUUAAUAACAUAAUGUCAUUCUCUUAAUUUUUUAAAUUUACAAUCCUCUAAAUCACUACAAAUCUAAACUGUUUUGAUAAUAUCAACUGUUUUGAUAUUAUCCUUUGUAAUUUAAUUAUUAUUUAAUAAAAUCAUUACUUUAUCUCAACACCACCCCCUACAAUGUAUAUUCAUUUGUUUUUCUGUGUAAAAUUUGAUCAUCGCACAACAAUCUACCAUCUUCUUAUUAUAUUUUAAUUUAUUAAUUAUACAUACAUAUUUAUUGAAUAAUUCCGCCCGCAACGCACGAGUUUGUAUCUAGUGUGGUCUAAUUUGGAGUCUUUAAAUUAACUGGUUUAGAUAUUUGUGUAGAGUAUGGGCUCUAUCUACUCGUUAAUUUUAGCCUAUGUUGAUUACGUAUCUUUGAUUUUCUAAUUUUGAGAAUAUUUUAAGCUGUUAGCUAUAUCUAUAGUUCUGAAAUAUCAAAUUCUCGAAAUGAAAGACCAAGUCAUGCUAACCAUUUCAUAUAGUCGUUGGACUGAGUUCUAUAUAUUUUCUUCAUGUUUGUCUAUAGUGAGCAGGACUCUUGAAGCUUAUAGCAGCCAUAUUACACAGAUUAAUCAAGAGCUUUUCAAAGUUAUUUUCAGCUACUCAUUAUAUUGUUAAUUUAUUUCAGUUAAAAAUUAAGAGUCUAUUAUAAUCUAUAUUUAUUGUAUUAAAUUUUAGUUCAAGUCUUGUUUGGCUUGAUCGAUCCAAUAGUGGAUAGGUUUGUUCGAAGAAAACUUUUAAGGUUGCAGAGGUGCAAAUGUCUCAGUGGUGAGAAAGGUUGCAAUGAUGCAAAGGGGCAGAGGUGUUCAUCGCAGUGGAAAAUUUUAUUUGAACAGGGAGUUCUUUUUAUUAUACUUAAUGGAGUCUUAAAAGUUUAAUAAAAAGAGUCCAAUACCGGUUGGUUUUGAACGUGGAUUAAGCCGUUAGAGUUUAAGGGCAGAACCACGUAAAAAUUCUUGUCUGUGGUUUGUUAAUUCUUCUGGGUUGAUAAUUUAUUUCUCACGUUGCAUCUAAUCUCAUUCAUAUUACAUUUUAUUGUUGGUAGGAAAAGUAUACUAAUCUAGACACUAUCUUCUGUCUUUAUAACAAAAGUAAAAUUGACUCUAAAGCAGACACUUUUAUUUGUCUGUUUUAAGUUUAGCAGCAAGUUCAGCAGCAGGAAAAUAAAAUUAGUCAUUGUUAGUGUGCUUAUUUAUAGAAUUACAUCCACAUCUGUAAUUCUACUGAGAUUUAAUGAAUGUUUAUUUUGCCGAUUAAAAAACAAAGGAAAAAGAAUAAAAGUAAUAAGAUGUUCGAAACAUUUGAUUGUAUUAUUAUAUUUUUGUGAGCCAAGGUGAAAGCAAAGCCACCUAGUGGUAGUUGUUUUAUUUAUAAUAUGGUAAUAACAACCAUGAACUGAUAGUUGAUUUAUUUAUUAUAUGCUAAUAACAGCUAUCAGCUAGUGGUUGAUUUAUUUAUUAUAUUCUAAUAAACAGCCAUCAACUAGUAUAUAGUUUCUUGAUCAACUGUUCAUAGGAAGAUUACUGAUCGUUCAUUUAGGCGUUGGGGGGACUAAUUUGAACACCAUAGAUAACUAAACCCGUCUCCAUAGUCGUGUUUUCACUCCCGUCGAGAGCAAAUUUGAAAUCUCCAGAGUCAAAGCUAUUCAAGAAUUCCCCAGCUUUGAGUGAAAUCGGUGUGUUCCUCGGACAAUCCAUCAACCUAUAUCCAUUCACUUGCGUGGACCCAUCCGGAGGAGUAAGUGUAAGACUCACCGGACUUUCUAUGUUAAGGUUGUCUUUCAGCAGCACCACAAAAGACACCUCAUAAGUUCAUUUUUCAAGAGUUUCUGUCGGAUAUUUUCCAUCAACAUGUAGGACUAAGCUACCAAUUAAUUCAGCACUGGCAUCACUGAAAAAAAAUGAUAGUAGAAUUAAAGUCAGAAACUUUUGAUAUAAGGAGCUUAAAUUCAUUAAGGUGAUUUUAUUGAUUUUUUUUUCUGGAAAAUUUUUAAUGUUAAGUCCUUCUAUCUGACUAGAGUCUAGACUUCAAUAAAAUUUCUAUAGUCCUUCUAUCACUUUAAUUUAAUGACAUAGUUGCUUAUAUAUCCCUAUUUUUAACUGAAUAAAAUUCAGGUGUUUAAACACAAAUCUUGACCUUUGACAUCAAUUAAGUUAACUAAGUCUUAUUUCUACUUACGUAAACUUCCAGCCUGAAGGGUUGGCAUAAUUGAGUUCCUUUGCAUGCACAAAAGCCCAACUGCUCUGAAUAAGUCAACAGAAAUUUACAUUAUUAUAUGGAUAGAUAAGGCAAACCAGCGGUGACCAAUAAAUGAUAUGUCGAUGCCUUUAUAAAUAUAUAUAUAUAUAUAUAUAUAUAUAUAUAUAUAUAUAGAAUAUUGACGGUUGACAUUGUCAAAAUAACAAUUAUAAAAGUGUUGCCAAAUGUAUAUUUACUCUGAUAGCGAUGACAUUAUCAACCACCUAUAUAUAAAUAGCAAAUGUUUCAUAGCAAAAGUUUAUUACAGAAUAUGUAUCACUCAAACCAUCUUAUAUCAAUCAUGCAUUACAACAUCAGAUAGAUGAGAUCUUAAAAUUUUUGAACACUCCGCGACAUUAUGUUGCAAAUGGUACCAAAUUUUAAAAAUCCCAAAGGUGUAAGAUGGUCUAAAUUUUGCAAAAAUGUAUCACUUGCAAAAUUUACAAAUAUUAAGGAUUAUUUUUGUUCUGUAGACAACUUUAGUGUGUAUAUAUAUUUGAUGUUUGUUUCCAAUUUCAGUGGACUUACCUUCUGGCCCGGGUCCUUUUUGAGCAACGCAUUUUCCUUAGCUUGAGACAACAAUGUCUUGAGGUCAACCUUGUGAUACCUCACUACUUGUGCCAUUUCGCCUUUAAUUCUGCUAUAUAUAUUUUUUGUUUUUGUUCUUGAUGUCUAUAUAUCUCUCUUCCAAAGGCUAGCUCUAUUUAUAGAUAGCACAAAAGAGGGUAUAUUCAAUAAUAACCUAUCUUCAAAUAUUCCUUCCUUUUUCACAGUGGGGAUCCUGAUAAGUUUAACAUCAUCAUCAUCAUCGCCAAGGAUAUAGAGCAUCAGAUUCUGUUUAAUAAUUUUGUUGGAAUAUUUCUUUUCCAUUUCUCAGUUCAAUAAUUCUUUCUUUAGCUUGUUGCGCUGGCAAAAUUCGAUGAAGGCGAAAGGUACGUAGGCAUUCAAGUAAGUGAUGAUUUUCUUCUAACCAGAAGUAUGAGCAGGUUGAUGAUACAUAUGUCAUGCCAACAUAACAAACUUUAGAGGAGCCGAGUUCGAAAAAGAGAGGGUACUGGUAUAAUUGCCUUAAUUCGAUCUUAUCACCCAAGCACGGGUGCCAUCUAUUUUGGUUCAAUAUAAUGGAGUAUAUAUUCAAAUCAACAAAACAAGGCAAGAACAAAAAAUAAAUUUAAAGUGCAUAUUUUAAUAGGAAUAUCUAUUAAUAUAUAUAGGUAUGUUACUCAAAUAUCUAUACCAUCUAUACCAAUUUAUAGCAAGAUAAAUACGAGUUAUUUAAGUUGGUCUUGAGCCAAUUUAGUAAUCCAAUUUUGGUGACUCCGUAACUCAAAAUGUUUUUUUUUUGUUUUUUUGUUUGAUUUUUAUGUAUUCUUGGUCAUAAAUUUUGAUAUUCCCAAAAGUCAACUAAAACACUCAAAAGUUAUAUAUUUUCACAAAAUUUUAGUACACAUUUAUUAUUAAAGAUGGAAUAUAUUAUCUAUCAUUAAGAAUUGAGUAAAUAUAUAAAAAUAAAAUAAAAUUAAUGAAAUAACUUUUGAGCUAUCAAGUCAUCAAAUUUGGAGAGCUGAGUUGACUUGAGUUAUAUUAAAAUGUCAUUCAAAAAUAUUAUAUAUAUAAUUUACCAAAUAAAUCGUUUUUAAACUUAUCCGUACUUCGUACGGAUUAUUAAUUUUGUUUGUAUUAAAAGUAGAAGUAUAAGCAUCUCGCAGGCCAAAAAUAAAAAAAGAAAAAAAAAAAGAAAAGAAGAGCAAGACUACUUCUUUUUCUUCCUUUUUAUCUCCUUUCUUUCUUUGUUUCUUUUUAGACGGAGGACUUCAUUUCAUCUUUGAAAAUAAACAUAAGAAUUUAUCAAAGGAAAUACAAGAUAGACGAUACAAAUAUUGAGAUCUAAUGGAACUUUUGUUGUCUAAUUAUUAUUAUUUUUUAUUUUCAAAUAUACGCAUACAUGAUAAAGAUUCACAAUUAUAUAUAAUAGGCUAAAAUCAACAAUCCGCUAAAAAAUUUGCGGUCUGUCAAAAUGUUUAGUUGUCGAGCUAGUAUAAAUUACCGUCUACCAAAUCGUUAUUAGUUAACAAACUAGUGUAAAAAUUUCACUUUGGAAGCUAAUAUAAACUAUCAUCUAUCAAAUUGUUAUUAAAUGGGGAGCUACGAAUGUAAACUAUCGUCUAACAAACUUUAUUAGCUGAUGAGCUAGUGUAAAAUAUCAUUUAUCAAACUGUUAGAUAGAGUGUUGGUUACAGUUAAAUGUGUCUUUGGAUCAAUUCCUAUACAGUCCGCUUCUCCAACGGACCGGUUUGUCAGCGAACCAACUAUAGUGACGGUUCAAUCCGUCGUUAUAGCAUAGAAAAAUGUUAACGCCAAGAUUCGUCCACGUGCAAAAACGAAAUCACACAGAGGAACUUGUCGGCUUGGGCCGCCAGGGGAUAGCUCUGGUAUAAGAAUAAGUACUGACUGAAUAAAGUUAACAAUGGAGGCUUAUAAUUUUAGUGCUGAAAAAAUAAUAAGAUAUUGUGUGCAUGUGAACCAGGGUAUAUAUAGCCUUGUAUUUAUAGUGAUCACACCUCUUUAAAACGCAUCAUCUCGUAUAGGAGUAGAAUUCCUCAUUAAGAUGGAUACCUUAAUGGGACAUGAUUGAAUCUCCUUAAAAAAAGAAAGUCGGAUACUAUCCUGACUCUUUCCUUAGAAGUUAGAAAUUAAAUAUAAUUAGGAAUCCUAGAUUCCUUAAAAUUCUCCCACUGCCCGUGGGGAGACUUCCUCCACGUGGACUAUGGCCCACCGAAUUCUGUGGUCCCAAAUAAUCAUGUUCCAACAUUGUCCCCCAUUGUAAUACCUAGAAAAAUAAUUAAAAAAAUAAAAAACAUUUAAGUUUAUAUUUUAAAAUAUAUUAGUUGGAUUUUAUUAUUUAUUUGGGUCAAAGUGGUCAUUAAUUUAUGUGGGCUAAUAAAUAUUAAUAAAUUAGGGAUAAAUUAAUUUGAUAAAAUUGAGCCUUAAAACUAAUUGGGUCUAAUUUAUAUUUGUGUAAUAAUAAAUCUUAUUAAAAUUUUAUUAAAAUUAAAAGAAUUAAUAAAACAUAUUAAUUAAUGAAUAAAUAACAAACCUAAUCUUACUUUUAUUAUACAAACUGAGGGAAAGAAAAAGAAGAGAAGUAGGUGAGGCGACUUAAGAGUGAAGAAUGAAAAUUUGUCACUCUUGAUAUUUGGCAAGACACAUUUAGUAAGUUGUUACUAUUUGUUUUUUAAAUUGUUAGAUCCAUCAUGUAGAAAGCCAGUGAUUCAUAAGAAAGUUAAAAUACAUUAUAUAUGAAGUAUACUUUUAGAAGUUUGAUACAUUAUUGGUUAAUGUGGAUAGCCUUUAAGGCAGAGUAUCCAUGUGAAUUGGAUAUCGUGAAUGGCAUACUAAAAUAAUAUACGCUUAGUAUAUGGCGUGAAUCAGAUAAGAUCAAAAGGUAUUUACUGAUUAAAUGUAUCUGAAUAUAUCUAAAUAUAUCUGAAUGUAUCUGAAUUGUAUGUUCUCCAAAAUCCUAGCACCCAUAUUUAUAGGCCAUAGAAAAAUCCAUAACCAAUUAAAUAGGAUUUUUAAUAUAAAAUUGAGUAUAGAUAGAAACGAUAACUUUUCUAAAACAGAUUCUAGGUAAUACCUAAACCCAAAUCCAAUAAGGAUUCAUGUUAUACCCAACAAAUGUCCACCUUGACUUGAAUCCUCCGAAUAUUGCACAAACAGUAAACUUUUUCCUCUUCUCAAAAUGCACAACUCAAGUGCAUCGAACACUAACCACGUCCAAGCAAUGUUUGAACUUGGUAUGUGUUAACGGCUUCGUUAACAUGUCAUAUGGAUUUUCUGCUGUACCAAUCUUCAAGACCUUAUUGUCACCAUCUUCAACAAUGUCUCGAACAAAAUGAUACCUGACAUCAAUAUGUUUCCCCCGAGGACAAUACUCACAGAAGUCAAACUUUAUUAUUUUUUGUAUAGACAACUCGCUAGAUUUCUUCGUCUCCUAAUCCGUAUCAGACAUAUCUACAGGCUUCAUUGGCUUCCCUACAAUGGCUUUCUUCAAGCCUUGCUGAGUAAAAACAGCCUUCAUCCGAACCUGCCAAAGACUGAAACUAAUUUUCCCAUCGAAUUUGUCAAUAGAAAAUUUUGUUGAUGAAGUCGAACUCAACGUCAUAGUAUAUAUCGAUAAUAACCAAGCUCUGAUACCAAUUUAUUAUGACAAACUAUGACAAACACAAUAAAUCAAUGCAGAAAGAUAAAGACAAUAACACAAGGUUUUACAUGAAAACUCAAAUUGGAAAAAAACUACGGAGAAGGCAAAAGAAAUCCACUAAAUAAAUAUCUGAAGAGUACAAGAUAAAAAAAGAGAAUACUAAAUUGAGUAUAGGUAAAAAAGAUAACUUUUCUAAACCAAAACAGAUUCUAGGUAAUACCUAAAUCCAAAUUCAAUAAGGAUUCAUGUUAUACCCAACAAAUCUCCACCUUGACUUGAUCAUUCCUCCAAAUAUUGCACAAAUAUUGAACUUUCUCUUCUUCUCAAAAUGCACAACUCAAGUGCAUCGAACACUAACCACAUCCAAGCAAUGUUUGAACUUGGUAUGUGUUAAUGGCUUCGUUAACAUGUCAUCUGGAUUGUCUACAGUACCAAUCUUCAAGAUAUUAAUGUUACCAUCUUCAACAAUUUCUUGAAAAAAAUGAUACCUGACAUCAAUAUGUUUUCCCCGGGACAAUGCUCACAGAAGUACAACUUUCUUACUUUCUGUCCAGAUAACUCGCUAGUUUUCUUCGUCUCCCAAUCCGUAUCAGAGAUAUUUACAGGAUUUAUUAGUUUCCAUACAAUGGCUUUCUUCAAGCCUUACUGAGUAAAAACAGCCUUCAUCCGAACCUACCAAAGACUGAAACUAAUAUUCCCAUCGAAUUUGUCAAUAUCAAAUUUCGUUGAUGAACUCGAACUCAACGCCAUAGUUUGGAUCGAUAAUAACCAAGCUUUGAUGUGACGCCCCCAAAACAGGUAUACAUCACCCAUCUUGGGUCGUCAAAUACAUGGUACAUAAUACAACUACAAACUUCUUUUAUACAACUGUCGUGUAAAAUACGACAAAACAUAGCUGAGAGCUCUCAAUGGAGUCCUCAGUACAUUUAUUAUCACACUAUUUCACAGAAUAGUGAGGACUACUAAAACAACCAUCUGGACCGUCAAUCCGUUUCCCAAUCAGUCCCAGCUAUAUUCUCAUUUCCUGAAGAGAACAGUGAAAGAAAAUGAUGAGCUCAACUAGCCCAGUAAGAAAUAUUAUGACUAAGAUAAUGCAGAAUAAAUUAUCCUUAGCCUUCAACAGUAUAACAACUGAUAGAAUACAAUAGACAACAAGUUCUAGAUCAACAAAUACAGCGGAAUAAGCAAUCCAUUAGAAAAGUCAAGUAGAACAUAAUGUCUACAAUCUUCUAUGAUUAAAAAGUUUAUCAUCAAUUUUAUCGCUGUAAUACCCAUCAACAGUUCUUUAUACCAAAGACAAAGAGAACUUUCAUCACCUGUCUUCACCUGAACCACCAAAGAUUUUAUUUAAAUUCACAAUUCAUGUUUAUAAUAAUGUGAAUCAACAGUUCCUCCCUGCCACAAAGGCUUAAUAGAACGUUUACUCAAUAUCCUUACCCAAAGGAUAAAGAUAUUCAAAUGUAAUAACAAUGAUCAUACCAAUCAGUUGUCUAUCUUUGCACUACGGGCCAAAGAUAUUCAACUAUAAAACCAUUAGUCAUGAUCAUACCAAUCAAUUGCAUGUCGGUGCACUACGACCAAAGACAUUCAACUGUUAACUAAUGAUCAUGAUCCUGCCAAUCACAUCAUCGAAUUAUCCCUGCACUACGGCCAAGGAUAUUCUUUAGUAUCACCAGUGGUCAUGAUCAUGUCAUACAGCUGUCCAUCUUUGCACUACGGGCCAAAGCUAUCAAUCAAUAGUUCAUCUUUGGAUUACGACCAAAGAUAUCAAUCAACAGUUCUUCUUUGCACUACAGGCCAAAGUCAUACAACUGUAAAACCAAUAACCAACAGUCCAUCUAUGCACUACGGGCCAAAGAUGACUUUUAACGCAAUAUAAGCAUGAGGAUCAUGACAAUGAUAUAAAGAAUCAGUCAAAUGAGAUAAAGGAUAAAUAUUAAACAUUUAUAAUAUAAUUUAUCCAGAGUUCAAGAAUAUCCAAAUGUUAUCAAUCACUUAAUAAUCUCAUAAUCUAAUAUCAUUAAUAUUAUAACAAUAUUUUAAUCAUUUCUUAAACUUAAUUAUAAACAAUUUAUUUUAAUUGUUUACACUUUACUAAUUAAUGCAUUUAAUCAGCCUAAAAUGCCAAACUCAUAAGAUUUCAUCACCAAUAACCAAAACUCUCAUAAAAAAUCUGCAUAUACCUUAUAUAGGAUUUUCAAGCCAUAAAAUCCUAUUUAUCAAUUUUUUAACUUCACAUAACUUAUUUAAUUUAUAUGUUCGUAACUAAACUAUUUUCAUGAAAAAUAUCAAAUCAGUCUAAAAAAGUUUUCUUUUCUGAGAUUUAGCAGAAUAUAGUCCCAUAUUGAACAUAUAUUUUUCUCGAAAUUUUUAAAAUUCAUUUACUAUUUUUCAUAUGGCCAAAAUUACCGAAUAUUUAAACAUUUAUCAUAAACUAUACUUUUGUCCAAAAAUUCCAAAAUUUACAGGGUAUACUCCUUUGAUAUAUAUGUACGCCCAAUAAAUUUUUUAUCAAUUUUGGAGUUAACCACAAGGAUUUAUAAAGGUUUACUUUUAAAAUAGUCUUUUCCCAUAAAAUUCAUAACUUCUAAUCUAUACAUCCAAAAAUCACCAUUUUUGGACACAAUCUAGAAAACUCAUCAAAUUAUCAUUUCAAAUUUUUCCAGAAUUUUUGACGGUUAGAAAAAUUACGAAACUGCAAAUGGAUUUUCACCCACCAUGCGGUAAUCCACGUAGACAGAUCAUUUCCACAAUUUAAUAAAGAAUGAAUACGAAGGGUAAUUCACCAUGCAUGCGGUAGUCUGCGUAGACAGGUUAUUCCAACAGAAUAAUAAAGAAUGGAAUAACAGAAGAAUUCACCAUGCAUGCGGUAGUCCGCGUAAACAGGUUAUUAAUUCCAAUAGAAUAAUAAAAAAUGGAAUAACAGAAGAAUUCACCAUGCAUGCGGUAGUCCGCGUAGACAUGUUAUUCCAAUAGAAUUAUAAAGAAUGGAACAACAGAAGAAUUCACCAUGCAUACGGUACUCCGCGUAGACAGGUUAUUCCAACAGAAUAAUAAAGAAUGGAAUAGCAAAAGAAUUCACCAUGCAUGCGGCAGUACGCGUAGACAAUUUAUUCCAACAGAAUAAUAAAGAAUGGAAUAACAACCCUUACGAGUAUUAAAAGAAAAUAACUCUUUUCAUGAAUACGAAAGAAAUAAUACCCCUUACCUUAGAAGAAAACUGGAUAAUAGUAAGGUAGCAGACUUCUCUUCUUCUUUCUCUCUAUAAUUUCUCUAUAUAAUAAUUGCUCUUGUGAGACUUAGUGAAUUAGUGAGAAAUGAAGGAAGAAUGAGCUUCUAUUUAUAGGAAAAUAUAGUUUCAAUAAUUGCACAUUUUGUGGCUUGAAAUAUUACAGUAUAAUACCUUCCUUUUUUUCUUCAUUUUAAUUUAGUCCUACAAGUAUUAUCAAACUUGCACCACCUCCCUAAUAGUAAAUCAUGUGAAUUAAUAGUUCAUUCAUGUGACUCAAUAGUAUAAUCAUGUGAAAAAAAAACUAAUUAUAGUAUAGUACCUCCAUCUAUACCUCCAUUUUUAAUUUAGUCAUGCAAGUAUUAUCAAUCUUGCACCACCUCCCCUAAUAGUACUUGCAUGUGAAUCAAUAGUACACACAUGUGAACAAAUAGUUAUAAGCAUGUGAAUUAAUAGCAAUUAAUUGCUCAUUUAUCCGAUUAAUAAUCCGAUUGGUCAAUAUAACAUCCAGACAUCAAUUAUUAUCGAAAUAAUUGUCGAUUUCCACUAACACUAACAAUCCCAACACAAUGGAAAUAUUUUUAUCAACAAAUUUAUUUUUGAAAUUUUGAAGUUUGACUUUUUCUGCAAAAGUCAAAUGUUGACUUUUUGACCAAAAAGUCAACCCCAGUAAAUUUUGUGUUUAUAGUCUAUUUUUACUAAUUUUAUCGUUCUGGACUCAAAUAUCACGUUCGCGUCUCCAAAUUUAAUUCUGAACUCAAAUUCUAGUUUUUAAUAACAUUCAUAAUUAAUAUUAUAACUCACAAUAUUAACAACCAGAUCGUUCCCAAGAAAGAGGGGGCUUUCCGAUAAGGAUUUCUCCCUAUUAGCGCGCAAUUAUAUUACCUAUCCUCUCCUUGACAGAACUUCUAGACAUCGUCAAUAUUGCAAAUAAUAAUAUGAAUAACUUUGACGUCUCAAUUAUUGAUUUAAUAAUAUAAAAUAUUAUACAUAUGAUACUGUGACAAUAAUUGAAUCAAUAAUAUGAGAGAUAUGAUGCAGCAAUUACUGUAGCAAUAAUUGAGUUUAACUAAGUGACUUCUUACAUAAGCAUCAAUAAUCAAUACCAUAUGGUACUAUGCAACCACGCGUAUUACUGUAUUUUUACCACCAAUUAUUAUAUGACAACUUACUUACUUUGAAAAAUUUUCACAUAUCACCCUUAACUUUAACAUUUUAUCAAUUUAACUAUUUACUAAAUAGAAUAAUAAUUAUAAAAAUUGAAUACUUUCAUUUCGUAAAAUUCGGGGUCUUACAAUCUCAUCUCCUUAUGAAAUUUUGUCCUCGAAAUUUACGUACCUAGUAGUUCGAAGAGAUGAGAAUACCUUGCUUUCUUUUUCGUUUUGUACCUUCCCGGUUAUUUCCUCUCUAUCAUGAUUUUCCCAUUUCUCAUCUCCUGUAUUUCAGAUAUCAUUCUAGAAUAUAGAUUCAAAAUAAGGGUUAAUUAACAUGCCACAUAUUAUCUCUAUAUUCUGACCAACCAAUUAAAUAACAAAUAAACUUAGGUAGGUCAUACUAGCGAAUGAAUUACCCGUCUCUCCCCUCCUAGUUCUAGCCUCACAUCUUAGCCAGGGAUCAUAUCCCUAAGCUUUGAUACUAAUUGUGACGCCCCCAAAACAGGUAUACAUCACCUAUUUUGAGUCGCCAAAUAUAUGGUACAUAAUACAACUACAAACUUCUUUUAUACAAUUGUCGUGUAAAAUACGACAAAACAUAGCUGAGAGUUUAAACAAGAAUAUUGCCUUCUAGACAAUAUCCACUCUCAAUGGAGUUCUCAUUACAUUUAUUAUCACACAAUUUCACAGAAUAGUGAGGACUACUAAAACAACCAUCUGGACCGUCAAUCUGUUUCCCGACCAGUCCCAGCUAUAUUCUCAUUUCCUGAAGAGAACAGUGAAAGAAAAGGGUGAGCUCAACUAGCCCAGUAAGAAAUAUUAUGACUAAGAUAAUGCAGAAUAAAUUAUUCUUAGCCUUCAACAGUAUAACAACUGAUAGAAUACAAUAGACAACAAGUUUUAGAUCAACAACUGCAGCGGAAUAAGCAAUCCAUUAGAAGAGUCAAGUAGAACAUAAUGUCUACUAUCUUCUAUGAUUAAAAAGUUUAUCAUCAAUUUUAUCGCUGUAAUAUCCAUCAACAGUUCUUUAUUAUACCAAAGACAAAGAGAACUUUCAUCACCUGUCUUCACCUGAACCACCAAAGAUUUUAUUUAAAUUCACAAUUCAUGUUUAUAAUAAUGUGAAUCAACAGUUCGUCCUUGCCACAAAGGAUUAAUAGAACGUUUACUCAAUAUCCUUACCCAUAAGGAUAAAGAUAUUCAAAUGUAAUAACAAUGAUCAUACCAAUCAGUUGUCUAUCUUUGCACUACGGGCCAAAGAUAUUCAACUAUAAAACCAAUGGUCAUGAUCAUACCAAUCAAUUGUAUGUCAGUGCACUACGGCCAAAGACAUUCAAUUUUUACCUAAUGGUCAUGAUCCUGCCACUCACAUCAUCGAAUUAUCCCUGCACUACGGCCAAGGAUAUUCUUUAGUAUCACCAGUGGUCAUGAUCAUGUCAUACACCUGUCCAUCUUUGCACUACGGGCCAAAGCUAUCAAUCAACAGUUCAUCUUUGGAUUACGACCAAAGAUAUCAAUUAACAGUUCUUCUUUGCACUACAGGUCAAAGACAUACAACUUUAAAACCAAUAUCCAACAGUCCAUCUAUGCACUACGGACCAAAGAUGACUUUUAACGCAAUAUAAGCAUGAGGAUCAUGACAAUGAUAUAAAGAAUCAGUCAAAUGAGAUAAAGGAUAAUUAUUAAAUAUUUAUAAUAUAAUUUAUCCAGAGUUCAAGAAUAUCUAAAUGUUAUCAAUCACUUAAUAAUCUCAUAAUCUAAUAACGUCCAAGUUGUCAACAUGAUACUUCUUUGUAGAGUAAAAUUCAAGAAUGCUCAGAAGAAUAUUUUCAUGAAAACAUACUAGAUGAAGCGCAAAUAUUAAGGAUAUUCCACUAAUUUCAUGGAGUAUAGAAGUCAAAACUUUAACCAAUGGAGUAUAAUAAAGAAUGAAAUAACAAAAAAAAUCACCAUGCAUGCGGUACUUCGCAUAAACAGGUAAUUCCAACAGAAUAAUAAUAACGGAACCAGGUCAGGCAUAAUACGCACCGACAGGAUAUUCUAACAGAAUAAUAAAGAAUGGAAUAACAACAAAAAUCACCAUGCAUGCGGUACGUCGCAUAGACAGGUUAUUCCAACAGAAUAACAAAUAAUGGAACCAGGUCUGACGUAAAACGCACAGACAGGAUAUUCCAACAGAAUAAUAAAGACGAAACCAGGUUCGACGUAAAACGCACAGACAAGAUAUUCCAACAAAAUAAUAAAGACGGAACCAGGUCUGACAUAAAAUGCACAGACAAGAUAUUCAAACAGAAUAAUAAAGAAUGGAAUAAUAACAGAAUUUCACCAUGUAUGCGGUACUUCGCAUAGACAUGUUAUUCCAGCAGAAUAAUAAAUAAUGGAAUAACAAAAGAAUUUCACCAAGUAUAGGGUAGUCCGCGUAUACAGGUUAUUCCAACAGAAUAAUAAAGAAUGGAAUAAUAGAAGUUCUCUUCAUGAAUACAAAAGAAAUAAUACCCCUUACAGGUACAACAAAUAAUAUCCCUUACCGUAAAAGAAACUUGAUAUCGGAGUAGUGAAGUAGCAGAAUACUUUUCUUCUUUCUCUCUAUAGUUUCUNNNNNNNNNNNNNNNNNNNNNNNNNNNNNNNNNNNNNNNNNNNNNNNNNNNNNNNNNNNNNNNNNNNNNNNNNNNNNNNNNNNNNNNNNNNNNNNNNNNNUAACUUUAUAAAAGUAUUCUGUUUUAUAUAAAAAGAUUUUACUAUUAGCCUAAUAAAACGAAUAACUUUAUAAAAGUAUUCUGUUUUAUAUAAAAAAAAAUUCUAUUUUAUUACAUUAAUAAUACUAAUAAAACAAAACUUAUAUAUAUAUAAUAUAUAUAACAAUCAACAAUAAUUGAAUCAAAUAACGUGAGAUACUAUGCAGCAACUACUGUAGCAAUAAUUGAACAAAACUGAGUGACUUCUCACGUAAACAUCAAUAAUUAAUAUCGUGUGCUACUAUGCAACCACGCGUAUUACUGUACUUUUACUACCGAGUAGUUCAACAGGUUUAAUGGUAAAACUUCCGCUGUUAUUUUCAUAAAAAUAUUUUUGUCGUUUUCUCAAUCCGACAAUAAUUCUGUUGUGGGGUCCACCAAUGAUUGUGCCGUCGUACGAAUAUUCCCUGUUAAAACAAAUAUUUCCCGACCAAUCGAAUAUUAUAUAACAACUUGCAUACUUUGCAAAAUUUAUAAAUACUACCCACAACUAUAACAUUAUCUCAAAUUCACACCAUAAUAUUCAAAAAAAUAUUUCGAGAAAAUUAAAUCUUUAUUCGUAAAAUUUGGGAUUUUACAUUGUCGGCUCACAAUCUCCAGAAGACUAAAAGCCUCCUAUAAUUUUUCAUUAUAAUGUGUUUUUACCCGGAGAUAACUUAACGAAAGAGCCAGCCAUAGUUCAGAAUACAUGGAUCAAUGAUAUUGGAUGGGGGAAGAAGGAAAGAUGCCCUGACCAUCGAUCCACUAACAUUGUGAAAUGUACAUUAUAUACAUUCUCCUUGCUAGCUUUUGUUGGUAACCAAACCUUCACACCAAGGUAACCAAACUGUCAUACCAAGGUAACCAAUCCACACCUCCAUACCAAGGUAACCAAACCUUCAUACCAAGGUAACCAAUCCACACCUGUAGUUUUUUCAUAAUGCAGUUGGUAACCAAACUUUCAUCUCAAGGUUACCAAACCUGCAGUUUUUUUAUAGUGCAGUUGGUAACAAAACUUUCAUACCAAGGUUAUCAAUCCACCUCCACACCUUCAGUUUUUCAUAGUGCAGUUGGUAACUAAACCUCCAUACCAAGGUAACCAAUCCACACUUGCAGUUUUUUCAUAGUGCAGUUGGUGACCAAAUAAACUAUCAUACCAAGGUUACCAAACCUGCAUACCAAGGUUACCAAUCCACCUCCACACCUGCAGUUUUUUCAUAGUUCAGUUGGUAACCAAACUUUCAUACCAAAGUAACUAAACUGUCAUACCAAGGUAACCAAUCCACUUCCACACCUUCAGUUUUUUCAUAGUGCAGUUGGUAACCAAACCUUCACACCAAGGUAACCAAACCUUCAUACCAAGGUAACAAACCUUCAUACCAAGGUAAUCAAACCACAUCCACACCUGCAGUUUGUUCAUAGUGCAGUAAUUGGUAGCCAAACAUUCAUACUAAGGUAACCAAUUCAGUGUUAUUAGGUUACCAAUUUAUUUUGAAUGUGAUGCAGUUGGUAGCCAAACCUUUAUGCAGUGGGUAGCCAAACAUUCAUACCAAGGUAACCAAUUCAGUUUUAUUAAGUUACUAAUUUAUUUUGAAUGUGAUGCAGUUGGUAGCCAAACCUUCAUGCAGUUGGUUGCCAAACUUUCAGUCCAAGGUAACCAAUUCAUACUGUAGGCGUUGAUGUAGAUUGGUUACCUUAGUAUAAAGGUUUGGUUACCUUGGUAUAAAAGUUUGGUUACCUUGGUACGAAGGUUUGGUUAUCAACAUUACAUUACACAUCACUCUCUUAUCUCUCUCUUUUCUAUUCAGAAAAUAAUUUUUUUUUAUAAAACUAGAACUGAAGGUGUUCCAGUACUAUUAUUAAGUAGCUAGCUAGCUUAUUACAUGAUGACACCAAUUAUGCCUUUAUCUCCGUUCAUGUCAUGAACUCUAAUUGCUCUCUGGUGCCAUGACAUUACUAAUGAUCUUCUCCUCUGCAGUAUCUCGUGAAUUUUCUUUUCUUACCGGAAAACGGUUGCUCCCGCCACCACUGCCCCACCCUCCACCUCCACCGUCUCUGUAACCACCACCUGAGCCACCACCGCCAACUCCNNNNNNNNNNNNNNNNNNNNNNNNNNNNNNNNNNNNNNNNNNNNNNNNNNNNNNNNNNNNNNNNNNNNNNNNNNNNNNNNNNNNNNNNNNNNNNNNNNNNNNNNNNNNNNNNNNNNNNNNNNNNNNNNNNNNNNNNNNNNNNNNNNNNNNNNNNNNNNNNNNNNNNNNNNNNNNNNNNNNNNNNNNNNNNNNNNNNNNNNNNNNNNNNNNNNNNNNNNNNNNNNNNNNNNNNNNNNNNNNNNNNNNNNNNNNNNNNNNNNNNNNNNNNNNNNNNNNNNNNNNNNNNNNNNNNNNNNNNNNNNNNNNNNNNNNNNNNNNNNNNNNNNNNNNNNNNNNNNNNNNNNNNNNNNNNNNNNNNNNNNNNNNNNNNNNNNNNNNNNNNNNNNNNNNNNNNNNNNNNNNNNNNNNNNNNNNNNNNNNNNNNNNNNNNNNNNNNNNNNNNNNNNNNNNNNNNNNNNNNNNNNNNNNNNNNNNNNNNNNNNNNNNNNNNNNNNNNNNNNNNNNNNNNNNNNNNNNNNNNNNNNNNNNNNNNNNNNNNNNNNNNNNNNNNNNNNNNNNNNNNNNNNNNNNNNNNNNNNNNNNNNNNNNNNNNNAGAGUGUUGGGAGAUAGCAUUAGAUAUACAUAAUAUUUUUACAUAUUUACUAAUACACAAAAUCAUUUUCUAAUUUCUCUUUCAUCUUUCAUUCUAAACUAGCUAUCAAAGCAAAACAAAAAAGAGAGAGGGAGAGCAUAGAUUUGAUAGCCUUAAGGAGGUAAAGGGGAAGAAUUUUAAUCUUCAUGCACCCUAAGUUCAUCAAUUACUUUGGUAAAAGAAGAAGAACAUCCCAAAGAACAAGGUAAAGACCCUAAAAAAUUUCAAGUUUUGUUACUUUCUUUUGAUAAGUUUUGAUGAAAUAAAGAGCUUGUGUUCUUGAACUUUAAAACUCUUGAUCUACAUGUGUAUGCUUUUUUCACAUGUAGGUCUAGUUAUUUUUGAAGUUAAAAGUUUUUAAAAAAAAGAAAAAAGAAGAAGAAAUGAAAGUAUGUUCAAAAGGGGCUAAACACCCUAAAUUAACUAUUUUUUUUAUUUAGUUUUUUUUGAUGAAAUGUAAAGAUGAUGUUUCUAAGUUCUAAAAUUUUUUAUCUUUAUGUUUUCUAGUGUUUCAUAUAAAGAUCUAACCAUUUUUUAUGUUAAAGGUUUGAUCAAAGGUAAGGAAAGGAAACUAGUUUUUUUUUAACGAAUAAAAACCCUAAAACUUUUUAUUCACUUUGAAAUGCUAUCAUUUAAAAUCUACAUCUCCUAUUUAUGAUCCGUCAAAGAUGGGUGCUAGAUAUAGGAGUUAGCUUUCAAACCUAAGUGGUAUCACUCAAAUAUGUUGAAUUUACAAGCUUUGGUGACUGUUUUAACAAAGCUAUCCAGAUUUUUAAAAGAGAAAAAUGGAACAAUCUCAUUAUACUACAAAACAAUAUUAUUAAGGUUUAUUUACACUAUUUUAAGAGAAGCUAGAAAUGAGUUGCUGUUUGUCCAUAAGCAACAGCCACAAAGGUACUGUCUGAGAGCCUAGGAAGAGCUCCCAGACACUGUUUGUAUGCCUACUGCUACUGCCGAGGCAGUAGCCCUGCACCAAGUUCACUUUUAGCAACUUCUGAUAUUCUACUUUGCUUAGGCUAAAUUUUUAGAGAUGGUAAAGGUACUAUAUUAGUCUCUUUUAGAAACCUACGAGGCUUAAAUUUCACGUUUAUUUACUGUCCAAAAACAAUUGUCAAAGUGACUUAACAUAAUAGGUUUUAAUUUUUCACUUUGGCCUAAUAAUGUAGUUUAUUUCAUUUUAGUAAUGUUAAACUUAUUAAUUAUCUUUAUAUGUGUUGUCUCAACCACACUCAAGCUGCAAUUCCUUCUAAAAUCCCAUUUUUAGUUAAAACAGUUCACCUAGGACUUUUAACAAACAGGUGGUGUGCACAGUUCCAAUUUCUUCUUUUCAUAGCCAUUUAUUUGAGUUAUAAAUCCAUUUUUAUCCUCCUUAUUAUUCCUCAGCCCAACCUAGCUCCUUAUGCCUAAAUCCAGCUCAUAACAGUUAAAUACACGAUUUAAUAUGUGUAUAAUCAAGUAAUUGACAACUAUCUAGUUAUAACUUAGUUAGCUCACUAAUUUUCUUACUUUCAACCUUAUUAACAAUACAUUUCCAGCCCCAACAGUAGGCACAAUCCAUAACAGUUCUAGGCAUAGCAAUAUAUUGUACAAUCAUAAGCAUGUGCAAUCACUUAUUACAAUUAUAGGCAUAAGCAGUCACUUAUUACAACCUAACAAUUUCAAUUCUUGACAUACAAACUUAGUAAACAAUGGUUUUAUUACUCUACAUAAACAAGGUUCACAACUUAUAACUUUAAGCAUGAUAACUAGAAACAACCUCUAUCUUGAUUAAGGUGAAUAUUAAAGCACUUGGAAUAUGUAGUCUCUAAAAGAUAUUUGCAUACAUAGCUUCAAUUGGAUAAAUUCUUAGCUUACAUGUGAUUCUCACAACACAGUUUUUUUAUUAGUUAGUAAUAUAACCAAAUCAAGUCAUGACUUUGAAAUUAUAGGUAGCUAGGGGUUGUUUUGAAUCCUAAUCCAAAACAGGCCCAGAUUUGCCCUACUCUAGGCUCUUUUGAAAACUUCCAUAAACCUUCAUGGUUAGGUUCUUUAGACCCCAUGUUAUAAAGUAUAACCCACUUCAUUUUCAAGGACAGAUAAGUUCUUAUAUAAGUUUAUCAAUCUAGUUAAAAGUGGUUUCAUUUUGCUUAUGUAUAUGAUUGUCAUGGUAUGUAAGUUAUACCAAUACAUGUUAUACUUAGGCAUAGAGGGUACUUGAAGCAUAGCUACCCUUUAAAUGAGAACUUAAACAUAAUUUUGGACUCCAUUCCCAGCCAGCCUAUUUUGACACUAUAACAGUUUUAGAGUAGCAUUUUAGGCAUGGUUUAUUACACCAAAACAGUAGCAAGCACUAACGUAUAUGCCUUUCUAACACAUGAACCUUUUAUGUACCAUAUUUUCAUGAUUUAAAGCAUCUAAAGUCAAGGUCUUUAUGCUUUAGGCCAACACAACCCUCUUUAGUAUUUAAAUUCAAAAACAAACAUGGUUUACCAACAUGUUUACGAAGAUAGCAUAAGUGUGCAACAUAGAAGCUUAUACUAUCUUUUUAUAUAGUAUUUAACAUGCAUAAUAUAUGUUUGGAUGACAUGGAAUAUGUAAGACCCCAACUUAUUAUAAAUAAAAUUGAAUUUCUCUAUUUAUUAUCUUGAAAUAAUAAGGUGAUAAUUUGAUAUAAUACUUUAGUUAUGGGUGAAAUGUGCAAAUUUUGCAAAAUAAGCAAGUGGUUAUAAAAUAUUCAUUUUUGUCGAGGAAUAUUCGUUUGGUCAUGGAAUUUUCUUGUUGUCGGGGAAUAUUCGUAUGACGACGCAGCCAUUUGUUGGACCCAUAACAGAAUAAUUGUCGGAUGAAGAAAACAAUAAGCUUGAGUUUUUAUAAAUAACGGCGUAGUUGUUACCGUUAACACUGUUGGAAUACCCGGUGGUUAAAAUACAGUAAUACGCGUGAUUGCACAGUAGCACAUGGUAUUACACAGUAUUUUUGAAUUAUUAAUUCUUACAUAAGAAGACACUACUUAAUAAUUGUUACAGUAAUUACUGUUCAAUAUUUUAUUUUAUUUAUUCAAUAAUUGUUGCGUUGAUAUUUUAUAGUAUUGUUGUUUCAAUAAUUGUCAUUGCACAGUAUUUCCCAUUAUCAGAUCAAUAAUUCAUAAUAUUUGAAUAAUAUUAUUAGAUAGCAUUAUUGGCAAUGUCUAGAAAGUUUUGUCAAGGAGAGGUUUGGUCACUUAAUUGCGCGCUAGUAAGGAGAAAUUCUUAUCGAAAAGCCCCCUCUUUCCUGGGAACGGCCUGAUUGUCAUUAUUGUGAUUCUGUAAUAUUAUUUGUGAAUAAUUAUUUAUUGAUUUAUAUGAUAAGGAAAUAAUUAUUUUAUAUGGACAUAAAUGAUAUGAGACCCCAGAUUUUAUGAAUAAAUAUUUAUUUUUCUCGAAAUAAUUUUUUAAUAUUAUGGCGUGGAUUUGAUAUAAUGUUAUAGUUGUGGGUAGUAUUUAUAAAUUUUGCAAAGUAUGCAAGUUGUCAUAUUAUAUUCGAUUGGUCGGGAAAUAUUCUUUUUGUCGGAGAAUAUCCGUACGACGGCACAAUCAUUGAUGGACCCCACAACGGAAUAAUUGUUGGAUUGAGAAAACGAUAAAAAUAUUUUAUUAAAAAUAUCGGCGGAAGUUUUACCGUUAAUACUGUUGAACUACUCGGUAGUAAAAGUACAGUAAUACACGUGAUUGCAUAGUAGCACACGGUAUUGAUUAUUGAUGUUUACGUGAGAAGUCACUCAGUUUUGUUCAAUUAUUACUACAUUAGUUGCUGCAUAAUAUCUCACGUUAUUUGAUUCAAUUAUUGUUGAUUGUUAUAUAUAUAUAUAUAUAUAUAUAUAUAAGUUUUGUUUUAUUAGUAUUAUUAAUGUAAUAAAACAGAAAAACUUUUUAUAUAAAACAGAAUACUUUUAUAAAGUUAUUCGUUUUAUUAGGCUAAUAGUAAAAUCUUUUUAUAUAAAANNNNNNNNNNNNNNNNNNNNNNNNNNNNNNNNNNNNNNNNNNNNNNNNNNNNNNNNNNNNNNNNNNNNNNNNNNNNNNNNNNNNNNNNNNNNNNNNNNNNNNNNNNNNNNNNNNNNNNNNNNNNNNNNNNNNNNNNNNNNNNNNNNNNNNNNNNNNNNNNNNNNNNNNNNNNNNNNNNNNNNNNNNNNNNNNNNNNNNNNNNNNNNNNNNNNNNNNNNNNNNNNNNNNNNNNNNNNNNNNNNNNNNNNNNNNNNNNNNNNNNNNNNNNNNNNNNNNNNNNNNNNNNNNNNNNNNNNNNNNNNNNNNNNNNNNNNNNNNNNNNNNNNNNNNNNNNNNNNNNNNNNNNNNNNNNNNNNNNNNNNNNNNNNNNNNNNNNNNNNNNNNNNNNNNNNNNNNNNNNNNNNNNNNNNNNNNNNNNNNNNNNNNNNNNNNNNNNNNNNNNNNNNNNNNNNNNNNNNNNNNNNNNNNNNNNNNNNNNNNNNNNNNNNNNNNNNNNNNNNNNNNNNNNNNNNNNNNNNNNNNNNNNNNNNNNNNNNNNNNNNNNNNNNNNNNNNNNNNNNNNNNNNNNNNNNNNNNNNNNNNNNNNNNNNNNNNNNNNNNNNNNNNNNNNNNNNNNNNNNNNNNNNNNNNNNNNNNNNNNNNNNNNNNNNNNNNNNNNNNNNNNNNNNNNNNNNNNNNNNNNNNNNNNNNNNNNNNNNNNNNNNNNNNNNNNNNNNNNNNNNNNNNNNNNNNNNNNNNNNNNNNNNNNNNNNNNNNNNNNNNNNNNNNNNNNNNNNNNNNNNNNNNNNNNNNNNNNNNNNNNNNNNNNNNNNNNNNNNNNNNNNNNNNNNNNNNNNNNNNNNNNNNNNNNNNNNNNNNNNNNNNNNNNNNNNNNNNNNNNNNNNNNNNNNNNNNNNNNNNNNNNNNNNNNNNNNNNNNNNNNNNNNNNNNNNNNNNNNNNNNNNNNNNNNNNNNNNNNNNNNNNNNNNNNNNNNNNNNNNNNNNNNNNNNNNNNNNNNNNNNNNNNNNNNNNNNNNNNNNNNNNNNNNNNNNNNNNNNNNNNNNNNNNNNNNNNNNNNNNNNNNNNNNNNNNNNNNNNNNNNNNNNNNNNNNNNNNNNNNNNNNNNNNNNNNNNNNNNNNNNNNNNNNNNNNNNNNNNNNNNNNNNNNNNNNNNNNNNNNNNNNNNNNNNNNNNNNNNNNNNNNNNNNNNNNNNNNNNNNNNNNNNNNNNNNNNNNNNNNNNNNNNNNNNNNNNNNNNNNNNNNNNNNNNNNNNNNNNNNNNNNNNNNNNNNNNNNNNNNNNNNNNNNNNNNNNNNNNNNNNNNNNNNNNNNNNNNNNNNNNNNNNNNNNNNNNNNNNNNNNNNNNNNNNNNNNNNNNNNNNNNNNNNNNNNNNNNNNNNNNNNNNNNNNNNNNNNNNNNNNNNNNNNNNNNNNNNNNNNNNNNNNNNNNNNNNNNNNNNNNNNNNNNNNNNNNNNNNNNNNNNNNNNNNNNNNNNNNNNNNNNNNNNNNNNNNNNNNNNNNNNGAUAUUGUUUAGAAGACAAUAUUUGUAUUAAAACUCACAGCUCUCUUGUUGUAUAUUAAAGAUUGUAUUUGUAUUCUGUACCAUGUAUUUGGCGACUCAGAAUAGGUGAUGUAUACCUAUUUUGGGGGCGUCACAGUUGGUAUCAAAGCUUAGGGAUAUGAUCCCUGGCUGAGAUGUGAGAUAAGAACUAGGAGGGGAGAGACGGGGAAUUCCUUCGCUAGUAUGAACUACCUAAGUUUAUUUGGUAUUUAAUUGGUCGGUUAGAGUAUAGGGAUAAUAUGUGUUAUGUUAAUUAACCCUUAUUUUGUGGCAGUAUUUAAAAAUGGCAUCCGAUAAUGUUGAGAAUAGCAAUGGAGCACAGGAGACCGUUGAGUCUCCACAGAUUAAUAAUCAGGACAAUGUGCAACCGGAUGACGAUAAUCCUCCUGUAAACAACAACACUAAUCAAUUGACGAACGACGGUACGUUUAAGAGCUUUUUAGAAUUCAUGCAACACCAAACGAGAGAGACUCCUGUUCAUAAUGCUGGAGGAAACAAUGGCAACCCACGGUUGGUCACCGCUAAGUAGUUCAAGGAGCUGGGACCACCAGAGUUUUUGGAAAAGCCAGAACCACUUAAGGCAGAGACGUGGUUAAAGCAGAUCACCAAGAUAUUUGAUGUCUUGGGAUGCUUGAAAGAGCAAAAAGUUCCAUUCGCCACCUUUAUGUUUCGUGAAGAAGCAGAUCACUGGUGGGAAUCUAUAAAACGUACCCAGCCUGACGCACUCAAGAUAUCUUGGGAGAAGUUCCAAGAGCUGUUCAACGACAAGUACUUUCCUGAAAGUAUUCGUCACAUGAAGGAGGUGGAGUUCAUCAAGCUGGAGCAAAACAAUAUGACCGUGUCGCAGUACGAGGCUAAGUUUGCCGAGUUGUUCCGAUUUGCGUUCCAUUUGGUUGAUAAUGAGGAAAGAAUGACGCGAAUGUUUCUAAGAGGUUUGAAAUCCAAUAUACGUCAAUACCUCAUUUCUCACAAACUUUAUUUAUAGUCAGAUGUUGUGAAUAGGGCUCAGUUAUUGGAGCACGAUAAUGAGUUAGCACAACCAAAAGGCAAUGACCAACAACACGAUAAUAAUUAUAUCAGUGGCAACGGUCAUCGGAACAAUGAUAACCAUCGUGGGGGAAAUUAUCAUGCCAAGAAUGGUAACCACUUCGCUGGUAAUCAUGGACAAGAUAAUAGAAGUGGAAAUUUCAAGAAGAGAAGGUUCAAUAAUGAUGGAAAGACAGUAGCACCAGCACCCGUUUCAAAGGAAGAAGAACGACCACCGAUCGUAUGUUUCAAAUGCGGACAGGAGGGACACAUCCGUCCAAACUGUAUGCAGCAAUCCAAAACGUGUUUUAAUUGCGAAAGAGAAGGUCACCUAGCUCGAUUUUAUCGUAUGGUAAAGUCAAGUCCAGCUGGGAUAGUGAUGCCAAAGGAUGUCCCAGACAAGCCAAAGCUGAUAAUUUAAGAGAGAACGUUUUUUUUCUCGUGACGAGGAACCUGAAUAAAAUUAUCAUGGGUAAGUUAAUCAUAAACUCUUGCGAAGUCUAUACCAUGUUAGAUACCGGUUUUACUCACUCUUUUAUUUCACCUAGUUGUGUUCAAUGUUUGUACUUAACUCCGGAGAAGUUAGAAUCUGAUUUAUCUAUUAAAACUCCGUUGGGAGAAACCUUCGUUACAUCUAUUAUUUAUAAAUCUUGUUUGAUUCAAAUCGACACUUUCAUGUUACCUGUCGAUCUUAUCUCUUUGAAAAUACUUAUCUUUGAUGUGAUUUUAGAAAUCGAUUGGUUAACUACUCAUCAUGCUUUUCGUAAGGUUGUUAGAUUUCAUAUUCCUAACCAACCUGUUAUGCAAAUUCAAGCAACCAAACCACUAAAUUCAAUCAUUGUCAUAUCAAGCCAUAAGUAAAGAGCCCCGAUCCUUUUGUUGUUGACUUCCUUGUGUGGAAUGCACUGAAGCCAGACUUUCUGUAUGCGACAUCAUGAAUGACGAUGGCAAGUUGAUAGGUAUUAAUAUGACGUACUAUCCAAGUCUUGGAUGAGAGUAACAGUUUUGAAUGAUAUUUCUAUCGUUAAUAAAUUUCCUGACGUAUUCCUGAAGACUUCAUAGCCUACCCCUAGAGCAUGAAAUCGAAUUUUAUAUUGACCCCAGUACAAAACCCAUUUCUUACACCCUCGAAUAUUUCUUCAACUAAAAUGAACGUAACAUACGCCAAAGACGUUGAAUCGAGCUGUUGAAGAUUACGAACGUACCAUUCAAUACCAUCGUAGGAAAAGCUAACAUGGUUGCUAACGCGUUGAGUAGAAGAUCGUAUGCGGUUACAAGUGCGAAUAUAAGAACCCACGUGAAGAUAAUGAAUAUACGAGUAGAAUUGACUUUAAUCAAUAAAGUUAAAGCCGCUCAAGCUAAAUACUCAGAGCUGAUGAAUGUGAAAAAGAAGGUUUAAGAGGGUGUUAUUCUAGAAGCAAGAAUCGAUGAAGAGAGGAAAUCUCAACCCUCGAUUUAAUUGGCCCAUUUGAAAUCCUCGAUUGAGUAGGAACUGUGGCUUACAGACUCAUUUUACCGCCAAGUAUGUCGCGUGCUCAUAACGUUUUUAACGUAUCGAUGUUACGUAAAUAUGUGGACGACCCAAACCACAUUAUUAAUUUAGAACCAGAUGAGAUAGCAGAUGAUUUAACGUAUGAGGAGAUACGUGUUAAAAUCUUGGAUAAGAAGGAUUAUAUUCGACACUCAAAGGUUAUAUCUCAAGAGUUAGAAUCUGAAAUGAAGUCAAGGUAUCCUCACCUGUUCGGCAUACCAGGUACGUACGUAAAUUUUGAGGGCGAAAUUCCAUAAGGAGGGGAGAUUGUGAGACCCCAGAUUUUAUGAAUAAAUAUUUAAUUUUCUCAAAAUAAUUUUUUAAUAUUAUGGUGUGGAUUUGAUAUAAUGUUAUAGUUGUGGGUAGUAUUUAUAAAUUUUACAAAGUAUGCAAGUUGUCAUAUUAUAUUCGAUUGGUUGGGGAAUAUUCUUUUUGUUGAGGAAUAUCCGUACGACGGCACAAUCAUUGGUGGACCCCACAACGGAAUUAUUGUCGGAUUGAGAAAACGACAAAAAUAUUUUAUUAAAAAUAACGGCGGAAGUUUUACUGUUAAUACUGUUGAACUACUCGGUAGUAAAAGUACAGUAAUACGCGUGGUUGCAUAGUAGCACACGGUAUUGAUUAUUGAUGCUUACGUGAUAAGUCACUCAGUUUUGUUAUUGGUAUUAUUAAUGUAAUAAAACAUAAAAUCUUUUUAUAUAAAACAGAAUACUUUUAUAAAGUUAUUCUAUAAAUAGAAUAUAUUAUAUUCUAUUAUGCAUAGUGUUUUGCAUAGUAAAAUCUUUUUAUAUAAAACAGAAUACUUUUAUAAAGUUAUUCUAUAAAUAGAAUAUAUUAUAUUCUAUUAUGCAUAGUGUUUUGCAUAGUAAAAUCUUUUUAUAUAAAACAGAAUACUUUUAUAAAGUUAUUCUAUAAAUAGAAUAUAUUAUAUUCUAUUAUGCAUAGUGUUUUGCAUAGUAAAAUCUUUUUAUAUAAAACAGAAUACUUUUAUAAAGUUAUUCUAUAAAUAGAAUAUAUUAUAUUCUAUUAUGCAUAGUGUUUUGCAUAGUAAAAUCUUUUUAUAUAAAACAGAAUACUUUUAUAAAGUUAUUCUAUAAAUAGAAUAUAUUAUAUUCUAUUAUGCAUAGUGUUUUGCAUAGUAAAAUCUUUUUAUAUAAAACAGAAUACUUUUAUAAAGUUAUUCUAUAAAUAGAAUAUAUUAUAUUCUAUUAUGCAUAGUGUUGCAUAGUGUCUGCAUAGUGAUUUGCAUAGUAAAAUCUUUUUAUAUAAAACAGAAUAUUUUUAUAAAGUUAUUCGUUUUAUUAGAUUAUAAAUAGAAUAUAUUAUAUUUUAUUUAAAAGAUUUUGCUUUAAAUAUGGACCGUCCGAUUAAAGUAAAUCAAUCUGGACCGUUCAUGAGUUAGUUACUAUGUAGUCCAUUCUUCUAUAAAUAGAAGCUCAUUCCUUCAUUAUUUUCUUACGAAUUCACUGAAACCCUAGAGAGAGAAAUUAUAGAGAAAAAAAAGAAAAGUAUUCUGCUACUUUACUACUCCGAUAUCAAGUUUCUUUUACGGUAAGAGAUAUUAUUUGUUGUACUCGUAAGGGGUAUUAUUUCUUUUGUAAUCAUGAAGAGAACUUCUGUUAUUCCAUUCUUUAUUAUUCUGUUGGAAUAACCUGUAUACGUGGUCUACCCUAUACUUGGUGAAAUUCUUCUGUUAUUCAAUUCUUUAUUAUUCUAUUGGAAUAUCCUGUCUGUGCGUUUUAUGCCAGACCUGGUUCCGUCUUUAUUAUUCUGUUGGAAUAUCCUGUCUGUGCGUUUUACGCCGGACCUGGUUCCGUCUUUAUUAUUCUGUUGGAAUAUCCUGUCUGUGCGUUUUACGCCGGACCUGGUUCCGUUAUUUAUUAUUCUGUUGGAAUAACCUGUCUAUUCGAAGUACCGCAUGCAUGGUGAUUUUUGUUGUUAUUCCAUUCUUUAUUAUUCUAUUGGAAUAUCAUGUCUGUGCGUUUUACGCCAGACCUAGUUCUAUCUUUAUUAUUUUGUUGGAAUAACCUGUCUAUGUGAAGUAUCGCAUGCAUGGUAAUUUCUGUUGUUAUUCCAUUCUUUAUUAUUCUGUUGGAAUAUCCUGUCGGUGUGUAUUACGCCUGACCUGGUUCCGUUAUUUAUUAUUCUAUUAGAAUAACUUGUCUAUGCGAAGUACCGUAUGUAUGGUGAUUUCUUUUCUUAUUCCAUUCUUUAUUAUACUCAGUUAGUUAAAGUUUUGACUUCUAUACUCCAUGAAAUUAGUGGAAUAUCCUUGAUAUUUAUACUUCAUCCAGUAUCUUUUCAUGAAAAUAUUCUUCUGAGCAUUCUUGAAUUUUACUCUACAAAGAAGUAUCAUGUUGAAAAUUUGGACGUUAUUGAUUCCUGGAUAAAUUAAUUCGUGAACUUGUUUUAUUGAAUUAUUAUGUCAUUGUCAUCAUCCUCAUGUUUAUUUUUUUUGAAAGUCAUCUGUGGCCUGUAGUGCAUAGAUGGACUUGGUAUGAUUAUGACCAGGGAUUAUUCGGUAUAAUCAUGACCGUAAUAUUACAAAUGAUGUGGAAAAAGUCCUCAUUGGCCCGUAAUGCAUUAAUGGACAGUUUUCGGUAUGAUUAUGGCUAUGGAUUCUCUUCGGCCAAGGGUGCAAAAAUGAAUUGUUUUAUGUCAUGAUCAGGACCGUUGAUGAAAACACGAUUUUCUUUGGCCCGUAGUGCAUGGAUAAUUCGUGGUCGUGAUACUAAAGAAUAUCCUUGGCCUGUAGUGCAGGGAUGAUUUGAUGAUGUGGAUUAUUUAUUGGGCUGAGUCUCAGCAAUAAAAGUGAUGAAAAAACUUUUUAAAUCAUAAAACAUAGUAGAUUCUAUUCUCUACUUGACUCUUUUAAUGGAUUGCUUGUUCCGCUGCAGUUAAACUUGAUGUCUAUUGUAUUUUAUCAGUUUAACAUUGUUGAAGACUAAUGAUAAUUUAUUCUGCACUAUCUUAGUCAUAAUAUUUCUUACUGGGCUAGUUGAGCUCACCCUUUCUUUCACUGUUCUAUUCAGGAAAUGAGAAUAUAGCUGGGGCGAGUCGGGGAACGGAGUGAUGGACCAGAUGAUAGUAUUAGUAGUCCUCACUAUUCUGUUAAAUAGUGUGAUAAUAAAUGUAAUGAGGACAUAUUCUGAGAGUGGAUAUUGUUUAGAAGACAGUAUUUGUAUUAAAACUCACAGCUCUCUUGUUGUAUAUUAAAGAUUGUAUUUGUAUUAUGUACCAUGUAUUUGGCGACUCAGAAUAGGUGAUGUAUACCUAUUUUGGGGGCGUCAAAAAUGAUGGGUAGAAAAAUAUUUAUUUUGUGUGGUUAUAAAUGAAGAAAUUAAUUUUGAGGUAUUUUAUAAUUAUUUUGUCAGAAUGGAUGUAUUAAAAAUCAUCCGUAUGUGGAUUUCGGACAUUUUUUGUUUAGAAUUUGGAAAAACUUUCUUCUCUAAAGUUGUAGAGAAUUUGAUUUCCUAUGGAAUGGACAUAAAAUUCAUAUUUUUCUGAUAAAAGAGCUAUUUAUUGUGAAUUAAAUGGAGUAAAGAUAAUCAAAUUGAAUUAGUUUUCAAAUUGAAUUUGAAUUCUUUUAUUUAUUUAUUUUUCAAAAAUAUGUGAUAAAUUAUUGGGGUGGGUGAGCAAAGUUGGACAAUCUUGAUUCAAGUAAGGUGUGCGUAGAAGAGAAGGAAAUAAGAAUAUUAUUUUAUUAUUUUAGUCUCCUUUGGCGUUCUAGCAUUUUUCUAUAAAUAGGUGCUUAAGUUAGAAUUGAAAAUCACACCAGAAACAUAAGCUUUCUCUCUCUAGAUUAUCGAGCGUAUUAUUGUGAGUAUUUUUCUUGAGUAUAGGAAUACUUUGAGCGUAGUUUUCUGCAAGAUUUUCUCAGAAUAAUAUCCAAUAUUCCAGGCAAAUCCAGUUUCUACUAAGGUAAAGGAUAUUAUUUUAUUGCUUUUAUAAUUCCUGAAAUGAUUAGAAAUUUCACUUCAUCUAAUAUCCUUUUAUAGGAAUAUUGGUCUGAACUUUUUAUCAAAUUUAGAACUUUUCAUGACGGGUACUGUUCACCGGUACUGUUCACGGGUACUGUUCAAAAAAGAAAAAAAAAUUUCUCCUUCCCAGUUAUCUGUUGUGACCUUUAAUCCUGAAAUUGAAUCCAUGUUUUUGAUCUUUAUUCUUGAAUUUUACUCCAUUAUGGUUUAUUAUGGAGUAUUUUUAAACUUGAGUUAUCUAAAGUACAAAUCUCUAAACUUUAUCCUUUUAUCUCACUUGAUUCGUUCUCUAAAAUGUUUUUCAUCAUCCUCAGUCCUUAAUGGUGAUACUUGAUAAAUAUCUUUGGCCUGUAGUGCAAAGAUGUAUGAUUACCUGAUGAAUAUCUUUGGCCUGUAGUGCAAAGAUGAACAGGUGUUGAGAUGAACAUGACCAACUGGUGAUACAAAUGAAUAUCUUUGGCCCGUAGUGUAAAGAUGAAUAUUUGAUUCAAGAUGUAUAUUGAUUGAUGUUACAGGGAUAAAAUAUUGAUGAUGGACUUUUAAAUUCAUAGAUGAUAGUAGAUUUCAUUCUCUACUUAACUCUUCUAAUGAAUUGUUGUUUCCGCUGCAGUUGUUGAUCUAAAACUUGUUGUCUAUUGUAUUCUAUCAGAUUUUUCCCUGUUGAAGACUAAGGAUAAUUUGUUGUAUAUUAUCUUAGUCAUAAUAUUCUUUACUGGGCUAGUUGAGCUCACCCUUUUCCUUUUUGUUCCAUUUUUCUUCUCAGGAAGCGAGAACAUAGCAGGAACCAGUCGGGGUAUAGAGUGAUGGUCCUAGACAGUUGUUUUAGAAGUCCUCACUAUUUUUGUAAAAUAGUGCAUCAAUAAUUGUAAUGAAGACUUUAUUUGAGUGUGGAUAUUGUCUAGAAGACAAUAUUUGUAUUUAAACUCACAGUAUGUGUUGUCGUAUUUUGCACGACAAUUGUAAUAAUAAAGUUGUAGUUAUUUUCUGUACCAUAUAUUUGGCGACUCAGAAUGGGUGAUGUAUACCUAUUUUAGGGGCGUCGCAGAAUAGCUUAUACCAUAUCAGUCAUUAUCAAAUCCUCUAGUCUAGCAUACAAAAUCCUUAAAACGGUGGCUAAGUCUUAGUUAAAUGCUUAGCUCAUAUAUAGACCGGUAUACACCAAGUUAUAAUCAUCUUAUGCUCAUGCAAAACUAACCUUUUAAGCACAUUUGCAUCUUUAGAAUUUUAAUAUAGAAUAUUGGCAUAGGAUUAGACUUGGCUGUACUCAUUUUCAACACAGUUGACUCCAAUAGUCUAUUAACAGACAUUUUACCAAACAGUUGGGAUGCGGUUCAUAUCUAUCCAUACAAUACAUAUAUUCUUAGCUUAGUGAUCCCAGCCUUAUGGCUUAAACAAUAACAAGCAUAAGAUGAUACAUAACAACUCCAAUCACGGUAAUCCAAAUAGCAUUGAAACAGGCAUCCUAUUGUACCAAUUCCAAUAUAACAGCCAUACAUGUUACCUAAACUCUAACAGUCCAGUUGCUAUCAUUUAAAGAAACAGGAACGAAUGGAAAAGGAUUGGAAAGGUCAGAAUUGGCUUACCUUGUUGAUUUGAAGGUUACAAGUGGGUUGAGCUGCCCAGUUUCUCCUCCUUCUCUAGCCGAAGCUUUUCCUCUCUUACUCUAUAUGACUGAUACCGUUACUUCUUCCCUUUUUCUUUUAACUUUGCUAAGUGGUGAGCUAAUCGGUUCUAGGCCAUAAGCUUGGCCUUUUAUGGUUGAGUUUAUCUCCUCUUUUCUGGCAGUACUAUCACCUUUAGUUGGCCUCUACACAACCACCCUAUCAAGCUCCCAUCCAUCAUUCCUAUUCUAGUUCACUUGGCCCCUAUAGGGCCUGUCAGACCAUAGCUAUUCUGCUUCCUCUUAUCCACUGCAAGUUUAUCCCACCUGCUAGCUGACUGUUAACUGAACUAACAUGCUAACUAGAAACCAACUUAGAAUUCGUAUAACUUGCUACUUGACUUGGUGCUCAAGCCAUGUUAUUGUUUUUCUUAAUUGGUUUGAAGCAGUUAUCUUGCUAUACAUCACUGGGUUUACAGGAUUGGGCUGGGGGAACAAUGUGACAAUUUUAAUUUGGGUUUAAACUAACCCUCCCUCUUUAACCAUGUAGCUGCCAAAUUGCACUAAGAAAAUAGGUUAAAAUUGGCCCUUUUAAUUUUGUUAUAGACCUAAUACAACAACCCAUACCCUAAAAUAGUUGAAAGGGGCAUACAAGCAUACAUAGCAAAAUUUAAUAUGGCCCAAUGUUUUAGAAUGGACUCAUUUUAAACACAAAAUUUUUUCUAUCUUAUUAAAUUCCUUUUAGGCUAGCAACAAUAGUUGGUACAUAUAUCAUUAACUCUUUUUUUUUACCAUUCAUGAUCUAAGAUACUUAAUAAAAUAUUAAGUAACAAAUAAUUAUAAGGUCAGGAUACAAAAAUAAAAUAAAAUUUAUACACAAAAUUGACAUUAUAACAACUGAAUAUUUUAUAGAAUUUCUGAGUCAUUACAUUUACUUUGUUAAGGACUAAUGAUAAUUUAUUUUACAUUAUCUUAGUCAUAAUAUUCUUUACUAGGCUAGUUGAGCUCACCAUUUUCUUUCAUUGUUCUUUUCAGGAAAUGAGAAUAUAGUUGUGACUAGUCGGAGAAUGGAGUGAUGGUCCAAGAUGGUUGCUAUAGUAGUCCUCACUAUUCUAUAAAAUAGUGUGAUAAUAAUUGUAAUGAGAACUUCAUUUGAGUUUGGAUAUUGUCUACGAAAUAAUAUUUGUAUUAAAACUCACAACUUACGUUUUGUCGUAUUUUACACGACAAUUAAUAAUUGUAUAAAUGCAGUUUGUAUUUGAAUUUUGUACCAUGUAUUUGGUGACUCAGAAUGAGUUGUAUGGACCUAUUUUGGGGGAGUCACGAAUAGGACCCAAGAAGAUUUGGGUACGAAAAAGGUAGACUAUUUGUUCAUUUUGUCAAUGUCUUAAGUUCAAAAAGGAGACGAAUAGUACUUAUAAAUUAUUUGGCAAAAUCUGUAAGUACCUUAUAUUUUUUUCUAAAAUAGUGUUUUAAUUAGAUAUAUUAUGAAAAAUCUAUGGAUUUCGUAUUACAUGGGUUCAUAACAUCAUUUAUUAUAAAGUAUAUAUUGUGCUAAAUGCUCCAUAUUUAAUACAAAUGACAAUCUUGAUGAGGAAUAAGUGAAUAUUAUUUUUGAUUAACUUAACCAUGAUCUGCUAAAGGAAGAGAAUGAGGUUUCUGUUGGAAAUGACUAUUUGAAUUGUGGAACCCAAACAGUUCAAUCCGGACAGUCUAAGAUGUGAGACCCCGAAUUUUAUGAAAUAAAAGUAUUAAAUUUUUCUAUUUUGGUAAAUAGUUAAAUUGAUAAAAGUUUAAAGUUAAGGGUCAUAUUUGAAAAUUUUGCAAAGUAUGCAAGUUGUUAUAAAUAUUCGAUUGGUCGGAGAAUAUUCUUUUUGUCGGGGAAUAUUCGUACGACGGCACAAUCUUUGGUGAACCCACAACGGAAGUACUGUCGUAGUUAGAAAAAGACAAAAAUAUUUUAUGAAAAUAACGACGAAGGUUUUACCGUUAAAAUUGUUGAACUACCCGGUAGUAAAAGUACAAUAAUACUCGUGGUUGCAUAGUAGCACACGGUAUUGAUUAUUGAUACUUAUGUGAGAAGUCACUGAGUUAUACUCAAUUAUUGCUACAGUAAUUGUUGCAUCAUAUCUCUCAUAUUAUUGAUUCGAUUAUUGUCAGUAUCAUCUGCAUUAUAUGUUAUUUUAUUAAAUCAAUAAUUGAGACGACAAAGUUAUUCAUAUUAUUAAAUUGCAAUAUUUAUAAUGUCUAGAAGUUCUGUCAAGGAGAGGUUAGAUAAUCUAAUUACGCGCCAAUAGGGAGAAAUCUUUAUCGGAAAGCCCCCUCUUUCCUGGGAACAACCUGGUUGUUAAAUAUUGUGAGUUAUGAUAUUAAUGAUGGAUAAGUUCGUGUUGAUUAAAGAUGAAUUUUAUAGUUUUAUUGUGUUGGGAUUAUUUGUGUUAGUAGAAAUUGACAUCUAUUCCGAUGAUUAUUGAUGUCUGGAGGUUAUAUUGUUCAAUCGGGUAUUCGGGACACUUUUCAUGUCAGAGUUAUUAUUCAUGAGUUACUAUUCACGAGUUACUAUUCAUGAGUUACUAUUCACUAGUUACUAUUCACAAGUUACUAUUCACCUAAUUACUAUUCACUCUAGUAUUGUGCAUUCGGGUAUUUGGGUACAAUAUUAUUCCAUGAGGAGAUGUGUUAAUUUUUCUGACCGUUGGUUGAAAUUAUAAUAGUAAAUCAAUAUGGAUCGUUGAUUUAAAGUCUUAAUAGUAACUUGUCCCUUCAAUAUUACCAAGAGUUAAUUGCCCCUUCGUAAAUAGUAGUUGUCCCUUCAAUAUUACCAAGAGUUAUUUGCCUCUUCGGUGUUCCAAGAGUUAAUUACCCCUUCGCAAACAGUAGUUGUCUCUUCAAUAUUACCAAGAGUCAUUUUGACCCUUCGUUAAGACCAAGAGCCACUCUCAGUUUUUCUAUAAAUAGAAGCUCAUUCCUUCAUUAUUUCUUACGAAUUCACUGAAACUCUAGAGAGAGAAAUUAUAGAGAGAAAGAAGAAGAGUAUUCUGUUACUUCACUACUUCGAUAUCCAGUGUCUUUUACGGUAAGGGAUAUUAUUUGUUGUACCCGUAAGGGGUGUUAUUCUUUCUUAGUCAUGAAGAGAACUUCUGUUAUUCCAUUCUUUAUUAUUCUGUUGGAAUAACCUGUAUAAGCGGCAUACCCUAUACAUAACCUGUAUAUGCGGCAUACCCUAUACUUGGUGAAAUCCCUUUGUUAUUCCAUUCUAUAUUAUUAUGUUGGAAUAACCUGUUUAUGCCAAGUACCGUAUGCAUAGUGAAAUUCUUCUAUUAUUUCAUUCUAUAUUAUUAUGUUGGAAUAACCUGUUUAUGCGAAGUACCGCAUACAUGGUGAAAUUCUUCUAUUAUUCCAUUCUUUAAUAUUCUGUCAGAAUAUCCUGUCGGUGUGAAUUUCGGCUGACCUGGUUCCAUUUAUUAUUCUGUUGGAAUAACCUGUAUACGCGUAUUACCGUAUACUUGGUGAUGUCUGUUGUUCUUCCAUUCUUUACUAUUCUGCUGGAAUAUCCUGUCUGUGCGUUUUACGCCAGACCUGGUUCCGUCUUUAUUAUUCUGUUGGGAAUAACUUGUCUGUGUGGUCUCUAUCGCAUGCAUGAUGAAUCCUUCUGUUAUUCCAUUCUUUAUUAUUCUGUUAGAAUAACCUGUCUAUGUGGAUUACCACAUGCAUGGUGAAUGAUCCUUUAUAUUCAUUCCUUAUUAAAUUGUGGAAAUGAUCCGGUUACGUUGAUUAUGAUGAGAGUCAUAAUAAAAGUAUUGGACUAAUGAAAAUCAUGGGUAUAUGUGGUAUUAGUAAGUGUUAUGAUGAGUUAUGUUGGUUAUUAUGUGAAAACAUGAAAGUUUCUUAGAAAUCACAAAGGGUUGAAAAUCAGAUUUUGGUGAAAAUAGAACAUGAAAUUCAAUUGACCAUAUCUCCUAUUAUAUUUCAAAUUUUUGGGUGUGGUUAAGUUCUAGAGUUAGGUCUAUGAGUUAUGUAACUUAUCCAAGUGGAAUCACUGGAAAAGGUGUUGUAGAUUUUCGUGUGGACUGAUUUUAGCAAAGGAGUGCAAAGCUGCAAAAACCCAAAACUCUACUGCCCAGAAACUUUAAGGGGCUGUUUCGGCUACUUAAUUUGUGAGAACAAUUCUGGCCUUUUGGGACAUGAAAUUAUAUGAUAUAAAGUACCUCCUGUCCAAAAAUGAGCUCAUUCUGACUUAAAAUGAGCAAGUUAUGACCAUUUCAAUAUUUAGGUUUUUCCGACGAAAAACGCUAUAACCGGAGUUCUAUAACUCCGAUGACCAUGAAAUUUAAAUUGGAAGCUCAUGUUAACAUGUGUAAGAUUAUGCCAAGAUUUGGGAAUUUUUGGAGUUAACCUUGAGGUAGCUAACUUCUUAAGGAAUUAAUUAGAAAUUGAUUUUUGAAAAAUAGUAAAUGAAUUUUAAAAAUUCCGAGAAAAAUAUAUGUUCAUUAUGGGACUAUAUUCUGCUAAAUACCAGAAAAGAAAUAUUUUUGGGACUGAUUUGGUAUUUUUCAUGAAAAUAGUUUAGUUACGAACUUAUGAGUUAAAUAUGUUAUGUGAAGUAACAAAAUUGGAAAAAUAGGAUUUAUGGUUUGGAAGGUAUAUGCAGAUUUUUGAUAAAGAAUUUGAUUAUUGGUGAUGAGAUCUUAUGAGUAUGGCAUUUUGAAUGAUUAAAUACAUUAUAUGGUAAAGUGUAAGCAAUUGAAAUAAAUUAUUUAUAAGUUUGAGAAGCGAUUAAAAUAUUGUUAUAAUAUUAAUAAUAUUAGAUUAUGAGUUAUUGAUAAUAUUUGGAUAAGUUUAAAGUCUUUAGUAUUUAUCCUUGUUUUCGUAUGAUUAAUGCUUAUAUCAUUGUCAUCAUCCUCAUGCUUAUAUGGUGAUGAAAGUUAUCUUUGGCUUACGUGCAAAAAUGGACUUUUGAUUAUUGAAUUGUAUAUCUUUGGCUCACGUGCAGAGCUAGUUUGUUGAUUAUUGGUUUUAUUGUUGUAUAUCUUUGGCUUACGUGCAGAGAUGAAUUUGGUAUGAUUAUGACCAAGGAUUAUUCGGUAUAGUCAUGACUAUUGAUGAUUUAAUGAAUAUCCUUGGCCCGUAGUGUAGGGGUGAUUCGAUGAUGUGGUUUAUUUAUUAAGCUGAGUCUCAAUGAUAAAAAUGGAUGAAAACAUUUUUAAAUCAUAGAAGAUAGUAGAUUUUAUUCUCUACUUGACUCUUUUAAUGGAUUGCUUGUUCCGCUGCAGUUAAACUUGAUGUCUAUUGUAUUUUAUCAGUUUAACAUUGUUGAAGACUAUUGAUAAUUUAUUCUGCAUUAUCUAGUCAUAAUAUUUCUUACUGGGCUAGUUGAGCUCACCCUUUCUUCACUGUUCUCUUCAAGAAAUGAGAAUAUAGCUGGGACGAGUCGGGGAACAGAUUGACAGUCCAGAUGAUAGCAUUAGUAGUCCUCACCAUUCUGUUAAAUAAUGUGAUAAUAAAUGUAAUGAGGACUGAAUUUGAGUUUGUAUACUGUCUAUGAGGACUCCAUUGAGAAUUGAUAUUGUCUAGAAGGCAAUAUUCUUGUUUAAACUCUCAGUUUAUGUUUUACACGACAGUUGUAUAAUUAUGUUGUAUUUGAUUUAUGUACCAUGUAUUUGGCGACUCAAGAUGGGUGAUGUAUACCUAUUUUGGGGGCGUCACAUAAGACGUCUGCAUCAGAAGGAAAUAUAGAUGAAAUCAGACAGUUUGACCUGUCUGUUUUAGAAGAAAACUCAAAUUUACAAACACCUAAAUCUAGAAAAAUCGAGAGGUCUGCUUUAGAAUAAAAAACAUAUGAAUAUUCGGAUGCAGUAACUUAUAUUCCAGAGGAUGAAUCUGAAAAGCAAAUGACUUCUUCCAGGCUUCCUAAAUCUUCUAGAACUAUGGGAAAUCAUCCUCCAAGUCUGAUCAUCAGAAAUUUCAACAUUAGGAUGUCCACAAGAAGAGGUUUUGAAGAAAUUUGUUUGCUACACUAAAGGAGCUCAUCUAUCAAGCUUAUUGUUGGUAACAAAAUUGUGGAUAUAUAGGUAACAAAUCACAAAGGUAUGGUUAUUUUAUUUAAGUGCUAUAUGUGAUAUUGUUACAAGCUUGAUGUCGUGUCUUUAUUUUAUGAAUUAUUUUUUGUUAGUGACAAAUGGGGAGAGAUAUAGCUAAAUUGAUGAUUUAUUUCUUUUUGAUAAUGAUAAGGGGAGAAAUGUUUAAAAAUAUUGAUGAUUAUGAUAUUUGAUGGUUAUAUUGAUUAUAAUAUGUUUGGAUUUUUUGGAUAUCAUAUUGAUGAUAAUGGUUGGAUAUUUUGAUUCAUUAUCUGUUAUAUACAGCUUAUCAUUAUGCAUUAUUUAUCAUAACAGUUAUGUGAUCUUUAUAUCUCCUAUAGGCAAAAUUUAGGGGGAGCCAUAUAGUUAGGGAGAGCAUGAUUGUAAGGAAUAAUAUAUUGUCAUCAUCAAAAGGUGGAGAUUAUUAGUUUUAUUAUUUGUAAUUUUAAUAAUGACAAUAUAUUUGCAAAUAUAAGUUAUUUAAUGGUCUGAAUAUAUUUGCAAAUAUAAGUUUGGUUCAUGAUAAUUUAAUUUGGUUAUAAGUCAAAUUGAUAUUACGUGCAGGAUUGAAUUGGAAUAUUUUCUUUCAGGUCUAAUUUGGAGUCUCUAAAUUAACUGGUUUAGAUAUUUGUGUAGAGUAUGGACUCUAUCUAUAAUAUAUUGUUACUCCUUAAUUUUAGCCAUUGUUAGAUUACAUAUCUUUGACUUUCUAAUUUUGAGAAUAUUUUAUAGCUGUUAGCUAUAUCUAUGUGCUGAAAUCUCUAAUUCUCGAAAUCCAAGACCAAGUCAUUGACGAGCCUACUAAGUUUACACAGCAACCACGAUUUGUUUGUAGACUUGUAGUUAUUCAUUUUAUACCCGAAGUUAACAAAUUGUAUGAAAGGUUCAUCCUUUCAAUUAUCUACAUAAUUUAUUUUUUCCUACUCUAUGCAUUCCUAAGUAUCAGAUCGGAUCAGAUCAUAAACAUCACAAUAAACCAUCUAGUGGUAAUUGUUUUAUUUAUAAUACGGUAAUAACAACCACCUAGUGGUAGUUGAUUUAUUUAUUACAUGCUAAUAACAACCAUGAGCUGAUUGUUGAUUUAUUUAUUAAAUGCUAAUAACAGCUAUCAGCUAGUGGUUGAUUUAUUUAUUAUAUUCUAAUAACAGCCAUCAACUAGUAUAUAGUUUCUUGAUCAACUGUUCAUAGGAAGAUUACUGAUCGUUCAUUUAGGCGCUGGGGGGACUAAUUUGAACACCAUAGAUAACUAAACCCGUCUUCAUAGUCGCGCUUUCACUCCCGUCAAGAGCAAAUUUUAAAUCUCCAGAGUCAAAGCUAUUCAAGAAUUCCCCAGCUUUGAGCGAAAAUGGUGUGUUUCUCGGAUAAUUCAUCAAUCCAUAUCCGUUCACUUGCGAGGAUCCAUUCGGAAGAGUAAGUGUAAGACUCACCGGACUUGCUAUGUUAAAGUUGUCUUUCAGCAACACCACAAAAGAUACCUCAUAAGAUAAUUUUUCAAGCUUUUCUGUCAUAUAGUUUCCGUCAACAUGUAGGACUAAGCUACCAAUUAAUUCAGCACUGGCAUCACUGAAAAAAAAUGAUAGUAGAAUUAAAGUCAGAAACUUUUGAUAUAAGGAGCUUAAAUUCAUUAAG